AUUCUUUUUUUUUUUUUUUUUUUUUUUUUUUGGGUCAAAACGACAGGAUUGUAUUGAUCGAACAAAAGUCGAUAUAGGUGAGCACUUGCUCGAUGCUUUACAAUGUGCAUUUAGUACAGUAGGAGAGCUUCUGUCAUUCAGUUUUGUUCUUUUCUCUAGUUCUAUCGGUGUCCUUGGGCCCUAAAGGGCCCUUUUUGCCUUUUCACUACGCACUGCGCUUUUAGAUUAAACGCCUCCACAAUUGUCAUCUCCCCAAUGAACGAGCUGGAGAACCCUUUUGCUGGGCUUGAGCUUAUCCAGAUAAUUUAAAAGUUUUAACAACUGGCAGGGGGAAAAGAUGCAUUUUCCCACUUCCGUUUAGUUUAAGUAAUGCAAAUUAAAAAAUAUAGCAUAUACUAGUGGUCUCAGAGUUCCUGGGGUUCUUUUUUUUUUUUUCAUUUUAAUGAAAAAAAAAAGUUCCUGGUCCUUGAAGGAACUUGGUGGCCAGUAAUUAAAACAGUGUGUAAAGUUAUUUUAAUUAAUUAAUUGUCACAAAUUGAACUAAUUUAUAUGCUAAGCGUGGUUAAGUAGAACGUAAUCAAAUUAAAGAAGCUGGGAAAUGACAAAGCAUUGAGUCAUGCUCAAUCACCAUCCGGGACAAGCACUUCUUCAUUGGUGGAAUCAGACUCUACCGUCUGUCAGCAGAACGGCAUUGCAAAAUAGCCACACAACAAUACUACGAGAUUUUGUUCAUCACUGGAACUAAUCAGACGACCUGGUAUCGAUCCCUUAUCGAAAUUUUUAGGUAACCAAACAAAUGAGCUCAACUAUAUACGUCGAGUCAAGUUCGAGUCGAGCUAAAACGUACAUAGUAAAUUAGUAGAUUCCCUACAAGAUAACAUAAACAACGAAAUCAGAAGAGGUUUUAGAUGCGUAGAUUCCCUUUCACCAGAUAAGAUCAUGGCUUUGCUGCAUAGGUUCAGCAUAAUGUACCAUUUCAAUUGCACGCAACUGAAGAACCUUAUGUGAAUGCUAUGUUUAAACAAUUGAUGAAUUUUAUGCUUUUUGAUAACAUCCAAGGCCUAAGAAGAACUCUAGUACAACUAAAUAAUCAAAUUGGAAACUAGAUAGGUGAUUAAGUUUAAGGAAUUUUCUAACGAGUACCUGAUUAGUACAUUUAAAUCACACUGAACUUACUAUGUAAAAGUGUACAUUCAUAUCUAUUGUCUCUUUGCAUUUCCAUACUUUCUCGAAUUAACUUCACUCUCACAAAAACUUAACAUGUGAGGACUUCAUUAACGAGGGUUCAAUGGACACUGGUUAGCCAAAUCCUAAGUGUAAAACAAGAAAAUAAAACUUUUAGCAGCCUAUGGUAAUUGUAUAAAAAUAUUUAAAUCCAGUGAAAAUUAUUCCGCUCUGUCAUAAAUACAUUUCUUAAUCCUUUUAUGUUUUCAAUGACUUUUACACCUCACAUUCACAAAUUUUCAAAUAGUACUAUUCUGAAAACUUUUUUUUGCAAAUAAUAUUUAAUCCAAAUAGACCAAUUGUAUUGUUCCUUUUAAUAAUUAGCAUAAUAACAACGUUUACGGGCAUAACUUUUUUUUUUUUGUUUUUUAAACUCUAAUCCUAAAUAAGGGAAGGGAAAAAAGGGUCGAAAUAGAGGGAAAAAUUCGAGAGUCAAAACAAAAACAUUACUUUUUCUUUCUUUAUUACCCGAACGGUAGAAUUUCAUUAAUAGCAAUUGAAAAUACAAGAAUAUUACAAACUAAAUAAGGGCAGCUACUCUCAUAACUGCCUCUGCAGACUCAUCACGCUACAUGAAGAAUUUCAAUAAGGGACUUUACAGCCACAUGAUUUCUGUAGCUGCUACAUCCUUUACCAGCCCAUGCGCAGUAAGCAGUUAUAUUGGGUUAAAUCCGCACUACAACGGGAGUCUAGUUUGGGCUCUACUAUGGAUUUCUUGAACGGGUCAAGCAUUGGGCUUGCCAAACCAUGCUCAGAAAAUUCUUUCAGUUGUACUUCUACAGACAGACUGUUGAUAGUCGAAAUGCUGUAUACGACAGCGUUUCUAGCAGAAGUGGGACUUGCAGACGUUAAACUUUAAACCGCCGCCGCCCGAUUUGAUUUAACCGGAAAAAAAUCGGAGAAAGAUGGAAGAAAGAGUGAAAUUUUUGGCUAUGAUCGGCGCCGGAGCUCUGUUGGGUUCUGCUGCUACCGUGGCUGUUCUCAAGCUUCUUCCUAGGUUCCUUACCAUGCACAACUCUUCAUACUUAACAACAUUUUCACAGUUACCUAAAGCAUUAAUUUCUACUGUUCUCUGUGUGUUUUUUUUUGGGGUGCAGAAGAGUGAAAAACGAGUGCAUAAGGAAAGCAGCCAAAACGAAUGGCGGUAUUUCUGUUCUAGCUCUCUUUAUUAUUGUGAUCGUCAUUAAUAUUAUUGUUAAAUUGUACUUUUUGAAGUUUUCUCAUGGGUUACACACACACACACACACACACUCACUUCUACUUGAGUAACAGAUACAAUGUUGACAUUUGUGUCAGGUACGAAACAUUAUAACUAUCCUGCGGUUGUGGAUCGGGGGGUUGGAAAUCCAGACCUGCUAGCUGAUGAAGUAGUUUCUGAGCACCUUACUAGGUACAGUUGGGCUUUUAACUCGCAAAAAAUUUUUUUCCCUGAGCAGCUCACUACUAACUGAAGAAUCUUAUGUAGGACUUUUCUUAUUACAACCACGUAACUCCUUUUUGUGGUUAGUCCGACAUUGCAUUCUAGCUGUUGUUAUGUGUUUAAAACUUUUCGUUCCCCUUUUCAAACCCUUGCACUUUGAGUGCUUUUUUUUUCUUUUUUGUCUUCUGGAUUAUUGUUUCAACUACUGGGAAGUAGGAGGCAUCUUUCAACUCUAGAGCUAUUCAAAUUUGUGAUUUGAAAUAAUGAUCUGAUGCUAAUGGCCUGUUCUUUUGUGUUCUCGUUAGGAACAUUCAGUUCUUUGGCCUAGAGUCCCAAGAGAAAGUCACUCAAUCAUAUGUGGUGGUAAUUGGACUUGGUGGAGUUGGAAGUCAUGCUGCCUCUAUGCUUUUGAGGUCUGGGGUUGGGCGACUGCUUCUGGUGGACUUUGACCAGGUACCUUCUUGUUGAAAUGCCAUCCUUAGUUGUGUACAAUGUUCGACUGUAUGCUUCUUCACUAAUUGGUGUUUAAUUUUACUUAUGGAGUGUUUUCUUUUACUCUGUAUUUUCUCUGUUUAAUCAUCUCAAUUCCAUCUUGGCUGAUCAACACUUUACCUGUUUAAAUAUAAUUUACUUACCUGUUUAAAUCGAAAACUUCCAGAUUUCAUAUCCAAAACAUUUAUAAGAUUUAAUUUUCUUUCUUUGGUGAUUGUUACAAUAAUGUUAAACUUGAUCUAAUUGCAUAUGAGUAACAAUUAAAAUCUAGUAAACUUGAAGAUAUUUACUAAUACAGAGGAUUUAAAUUUAUUGAAUAUAUUGAAUUGAUUUACUUUAAAAUGGACAUCAUAACAAAUCCACUAAUUGAGCAAUGAUAAUCUAACCAUAGGCAAAAGGUGCUACACCCAAUUGUAGGAAGUUAAGCUAGCAGAGAUCUUAAGGGAAAUGACCAUGCUUCCUCCACUUUAACACCGGAUCCAGAUAUUAAAAGAAUAUUUUCAAAGAGAAAUGGAAAGCAGUGAAGCUAUGAUUUCAUAUGACUAUCAAGUUCUGAAUCCCAAAGCCUUCUCGGGUGCUUUUCAGAUGCCUUUUCGAUCAGGUUGAGGGCUCAAGUUUGAAAAGAUGGAAGUGUUUGAAAACUGGAUAUAUGGUUUUGAGCCCUUUUGUUUUGUUUAGUUUCUAUGCUAAGCUGUUUUUCAAUUCUUCCCUUACUGGAUUACCUACCUGUACAACUUUUGUUCCAGCUUGGGUCCUGGUUUCCAACAUUCAAGAGAACUUUAUCCUAAAUGGUCAAGUUUUAAAAUUGGCUAUUUGAAUGUUUUCGUCUAAAUUUAGCUUGAAGGGACUUUUUUCGGAUUUUUUUAUAUAUUAUCAAAGUACAUUUUCUAUAUAUAUAUAUAUAUAUAUAUGUAUGUAUGUAUAAUGCUAUUACUUUUAAAGCUAUUUUGUGUAGGUAUCAGUUUCGUCAUUGAACCGGCAUGCUGUAGCAACAAGAGAGGAUGUUGGUACUCCAAAAGCUUUAUGCCUUAAGAAGCAUUUUCAGUCCAUUUUCCCCGAGUGUCAUGUAAAUGCAAAGGUCCUGCUAUAUGAUUCAUCCUCUGAAGAAGAAAUUCUUUCAGGCAACCCUGAUUUUGUUUUGGAUUGCAUUGACAAUAUUGACACUAAGGUAACUUCUAGUGCUUUUUGUUUGCUAAACUUUUAAAACACUUCCCAACACAGUGUGGAAGUAUGUUCUUACCUGCUUAUGGGUCCCUGCUUGACUAGUUAUUGUUUUGACUAACGUUUCUUUUGCCAGAAGUUCUGGCUUGAAUGUAAAUUUCUAUCAACUUCUGGAAGAAUUGUAUGUUUAAUACAUUGAUUCUCUUUGUUUUGUAUAAGAUCCUUAACCUGGGGAAGUUCUGGUACACCCUAAACUCAUGUCUAAAUGACAUGAUAUAUGUUGGUAAGGAUUCUCAGUCAAAUGAAAUGAUAGCAUCAUUCUACCCUGUAUAAUUUGACCAAUAGAUUAUAAAUUUUUCCCAUCAAAAAGUUAUGUAGAACUUGUGCAUCAGUUUUCCAUUCAUUCGUGGACUAAAAUGAACCUGACUUAUCCUCUUUCACGGGCAGAAUAUCAACUUUGUCCUUCUCAAUCAAUGAAAAGUUUUCAUCUGCCCCUGCCCUACUUCUGUUGCCAACAUCUAAGACUGAAUAAUUGUAGUAAUCAUUAGUCUAGUCAAAUUUGAGAUUUUGAUGUACAAAAGUUAACUUUUAGUUUCCAUGUGAUACAGGUUGCACUUCUUGCUGCCUGUGUACGUAGAGGUUUAAAAGUUCUUUCUGCCACGGGAGCUGGUGCAAGAGCUGAUCCAACAAGAAUCCGUGUGGCAGACUUAAGAGAGUCAACAAAUGAUCCGUUAUCCCGAUCGGUAAUUGAUUUGCCUUUUGGAUUUGGUGUUGCACUUUAGGUCUAUGUAUAAUAUGUUGCAUACAAGUAUUUUGUUCAUCUAAAACUGGACAUCAUUUUUUGACUAGGAAGAGUACUUUAUGUACUUUGUAUGGUUAAAUUGUGUGGCUGAGAAAUGCAUACUUCUGGUAGAAUUCAAUUGGGAAAUUUAGACUAGUAAUACUGUUAGGCUUCUUCUCUACUGAAUUUGGCACAUGGUGAACCAUUUUUAUUUGGACCUUCUUUAUUUGGUCUUCUUAGAAGCUUACACGUAUUGACCAUUGAAGAUCUUGGAGUUAUAUGAAUCAUUCUAUAAAUGAGUAUUAAGAUUGAAUCUUACUGUGUUUUGGAGUUUGCUUAUCUACACUUCUGUUGAAUAUUUAUCAUGCAUUUUGAUCCAUUGUUGUCGUAGGCAUACAGUUGCAAUAUGGUAGUUGGCCAUCUAUAAAUUUUGUUUCCAAGCGUGUUUCGAUAUACAUGUUUUUUGGUGAGAAUAGCUCUUAAGAAAUACUGGUUUGCAGGUGAGACAUCGACUGAGGAAGGACUAUGGUAUUGAUGGUGGCAUUCCUGUUGUCUUCUCUUUAGAGAAACCCAAGGCAAAGUUGCUUCCUUUUAAAGGACCUAGUGGCGAAGAAGAAAAUCCUUCAGAUUACCAAGUAAGAAUACUUGCUACUGAUGUAAAGAGAGAGAGGGACUGGUGACGACAGAGGUAGAUGAGGAAGUAAUAUUGUAGUAUUGAGUCUGUUGGAAAUUAGAAUUGCAAUUGGUAGGCUGAGCUUAUUCGUGGAUAAUGGUCCCUAUAGAAUUCACUUUAGAAGUUUUUACAAAUUUGUGCAUGUAACCUAAGUUUUUUUUUUUAAACCCUCUCACCCCUCUCCACACCCUUUCCACCCUCAACCUUAUGCUUAUUCUCACAAGAUGUGCAGAUUUUUAUUCGACAAUUUAACUUCGGCGUUGGGAUGGUAGGUUGUUCCAGGUUUCAGGGUUCGCAUCAUUCCUGUUCUGGGAACCAUACCUGCAAUAUUUGGACAAAUUAUGGCUUCCUAUGUUGUAACACAACUGGCCGGCCUGCAAGUUCAAAUGGAGCCAGUAGUGAAUCUUGAUACAGAUCGUUACUGUAUUCUCCAUCAGCGUCUUAUUGAGCAUGAAGAGUUACUCUAUGGCACAGCCAUGCAAGUACAGGUACAUGGUUCUGGAUCUUUUUCCUUGGAUUUUCUUUAACAAGCAUUAAAAGAACUUGCAAAUUUCCUUUUUCUCUGGUGGGUUUUUGAGAGGGGAUAUUUUUUUUAUUUAAGCCAAUGCUCAAUAAUAACUUUUUGUCAUCAAAAUUUUACAAUUAGAUGCUUCUACUCUGAUUAAUAAUAUAGGAAACGAUGGUGUACUUGGGAAUUAAAACUCUGAAGCCAUUAUCCUCCUACCCAUCCAGAUAUGAGAAAAUGAUUUUCUUUAUUGAGAUGCUUUAAUUUUAAUUUCUUCUGCUACAUGCUUCUUUUGGGUUUCGUUUGCUUUGUAGUUUCAUUUAUUUCUGAUAGUUGGAAUACUGAACCCUUGUGAAAAAGAGAGGGGGGGGGGUCCAUAUCAUUCCUGGUAAAUUAUAUGUUGAAAUAUUUAACAUCAUACCAUUUUUUGUCACUCUAAAGGUAGAUGUUGAAGAAGUUAUGUAUAUUGUGAAAGAGUUAUGGCAUGGACGAAGUGCAAGAGAUCAGUCCUUAAACAAUGUAGGGCGUGGAAUGUGGCGUUCUGUGAAUGAAUUAAUGCUUGUAAGGUAGGGGUGCAAAAGAGAUUGAUUAAAACUACUUGCCGGCAACUUUUUGACUUAUUUCACUUUCUUUAUUGUUGUUUUUUUCUUCUUGUGUUUUUCAUCUUAAUUUGUCUGUUGGGUAUGCUAAACUAGUACUGAAAUUCUAGGUGGAAACCUAUUGUUUUAAAAUUGUAUUAUUUAGUUCAAGUAAAUUUUUGGAUAACAAAGAAUUUUCAUUCAGAUGAAGUGUGAUAUGAUGAGAGUUGAGAGGAGGUUGGAUGGCAACAUACUGCAAAUUCCAUAAUAGCGAAUGGGACAUAGGUUGCCUUAACUUUAAGAGGGAGUAUAGCUGGGGAGAAGUAUGUUUUCCCAUUCUACCCAAAGAUCCAAUGAAGUCUCUUGCUAGUUUUCAUUGACCACUAAACUAUUUGAUGUUGAUAUAGUGUUCAUAUCAUGUUAAUAUGCUUGUUUACUUUUCUUUCCUGUGGCACUUUAAACAGCCACUUUUUUGCCUGAUUAUAGCAAUAUUUCAUUGUUUUCUUUCCCCUACCACUUUAGACAACAUAAAGCCAGGCUAAAAGUUAUACACAUUUUUUUUUCCUUUUUUCCCUGUGAAACAAUUAUGUUGGAUCAGAAGGCCUUAAAUCAUAAUUUAAUACAUAAGCUGAAGAUGUUUAUCUUUUCAGUUGUAAAGAGAUGAUGUUGAGUCUUUGUUCCCCUUAGAUAGAUUGUUGCAUUGGCUAACUAGAACAUAAUUUCUCCUUUCUAACUCCUUGAGUCAGAUUCUCAAACUGCCAUUCUGUACUUUUAUUUACUUGGUCUAAUACUGGAUUUUCUGGUGUAGUAUAUGAAUAGAGAAAAUAUCUCAAAAUUCAGCUUUUAGGCUUGUUUGUUGUUCUAAAGAAUUUGUGGUAUUUUCAAUAUUUCUCACUAUGCUUCAAACCUGGAUAAUAGUGCACUGUCAGAUUUUGGAAUUUGCUUUUGUUAAGUUUGUUUUCUAAAUGCUGAUGGUACGAAACAUAAUUUCUUACAGUUAGUUAUGCCAAAAUCCAUUCUUCUGGCAUUUGAUUUUUUACUUUGAUUAGUUUUUCCUUUUAACUGCUACUUUUCAGUUCUUUCAACUAGAACUUAAAGUAACUAAUAAUUCUUAAGUUGCCUGAGCACAUACUUUAAUGUUUUUUAUUAAGUUAAAGUCUAUGAUUUUGCUGUAUUUGCACUACCUUCUACUGAUGCUGUUUGCUUUUAUUGCACGGUAUUUUUUCAGAUGGGAUCAGACUAAGCCAGCAUCGGUUUCAAACUUAGUUCUACUUAAAUUUUCAGAGGUAUGUCCUUGAAGGAAAUAAUAACUCAAUACUGUGCUGAGGUUAGAGCUUGUGGCAGUUAAUGUAUUAUUCCGUCUUGGUGUUGCCUUCAUCUUUGAUUGACGACUAUUCACAUUUCUCCCUUAGGAAUUUCACUAGUGACAAGUUCAAUACUUCAAUCAUCAGCGUUUCAGUAAAUUGUCAGGGGGAAAUCUGGAAUGGAUAAAUUACAUUGAAGAUGUAGGAAUUUUCGUUAUAGACCUAAUCAUUAAGCCCUGGCAGCAUAACCUGUUUCUGUUCUUGGCUUUUCUGGGAAGGUAGUGAUAGAAUUAUGCAUGUUGAACUGGAUUGACAAUUUCUUCCCAGGCUGAUGAACAUGAAUCGCGAUCACUCGAAGAUAUACAGAAAGAAGAGCCAGAAUUUUUUGCAAGGGUGACAUCCGUCCUGAAGCAAGCCGAAUCAGAUUUUGGUUUGUAGAACGCCAUUUACUGGCACAAGCUCCAGUUUCCCCUUCUUGUGGCAGUGCUUUUGAAAACAUACCAGGCUUCCAGCUUCUGUGGGAGUAUUUGUAGUUCAACUGCACGCACAUUGAGGAGAUAUUGGCAAUCUGCUGGUGCUAUGGCAGUCGGCAAACGCAUGAUUAAUGAUUGCAAAGAGGGCAUUCAAGUGACUCGGAGGUAUAGAAGAUAUCAGAAUAGCUUUGCUUCUUUAUCCGCGCAUGUACUAUGUAGUAGAGUUCUUCAGAGGAGUCAGUCGGUCGAGAUAUUUUGCGGCAUCUACUUGCAAAGUUGAAAUAGUAGUUCAAUUCUUGGAUAUUGAUUAUUCUGUACGAGGAGAAAUCAUUGAUACGUUGUUUUACUGCAGAUUGAGCUAUGUAAUUGAAUUGAAAAAUGAAAUCUUGUAGUAAUUUUUAUCGACAUUCAUUCAUGAAGGUGGUGUAUCUUUUUUGCCUUGUUGAUGCCAAACAACUUGAUGCCGAUCAAGAGAAAAGGAAGGCCAGUAAAGCCAAACUGAAAUGUACAACCCAAAAUAACUUUGGUAAAUACUAACUGUAUACAACCCAAAAUAGAAAAAGAAAAAGUACUUGGUAAAUUAAAACACAAUUGAGCAACCAAUUUUUUUUUAUAACCAAUUUUUUUUUUAUUUAUUAUUAAGUUUUGCUGGAAAUCAUCCAACACGUGCCAUUUUCCCAUCAGUUGACUAGUCAACCGCGCAACAGAGUAUAUACUCGCUCCCUAACACAGCACCCAGGCUUCACUUCACGGAAAUUGGAAAUAGCGAACCAAGAGAAGAGAGACUAAGAGCUGACUGCUCUGAAGUUUGUCCAAUGUCCAUGGCGGCCUAGGGCUCAAUCAAGCGUCAAGGCCUUCAAUUUUCCGAAAGUCUCCAGGAAGAUUAUUCGAAUAAGAGCACAAAAGAUCCUUCGCCAUGGACACGAGGCUUUUGUUCCUAAUUUCCUGCUUCAUCGCUCGUCUUAGCUUCUCUUUAUCAGGUUUGUUGUUUAUGUACCAUUUCGUCGCAUUUGAAGCCUGCAUUUUUUGUAAUUGUUUUUCUUAUGUUGUAAUCUUUAGAAAUUAGUGUAAUUUUGCUGCAAAAAAAAAAAAAUUAAUGUGAUGAUCCAUAAUUUCUCUUGUUCUGGCUGGCAUAUUUCGCGCGCUGAGCUGUGGUAAUGGAUAAUUGAAGCCUGGGGUGUUUACUGUUUAGAUAUAGGUUUAAUUUGAUGGGAUGCGAAAUGGAGGAUUAAGAAAAAAACGAGACAAUAAUUUAUUUCUGGAAAUUGUACUGAAGAGGCUAAUUCGCGAUUGCGUUGCUGAAGUUAUUCGAAAAUGCAGUUUCUGUUUGAGUUUCUGUGCGGUCUCAAUCAAGUCCAAGGGAUGUGUUUGAGGUGGAUCAUUGGAUUUUUGAAGCAUUGAUCUUGGGAACUAAGACAUAUUGUACCAUGAGGUUCGUGAGCAAAUAAUUUCUGAAGGAAGAAUGCGCUGUUAACUAAAUAAGCUGAGAGUAGCUUGUUUCCCAACUAGGUGAAGUCAAUUUUGUUUCUGAACAAACUAUGCCUGCUGUUAACUAAAUAAGCUGCGAGUAACUUGCUUUCCCCAACUAGGUGAGAACAAUUUUGCUUCAGAACAAGCUAUGCUUGCAGCCAUUAAGACUUUCUUGCUAGUUGUAGUGACUGCUAGGGCGACUGACUGUGAAGUGAAGCUGUGCAUGUUAGGCACCAAUGCUUUCCGAUGGAACUGCUGACGUUGAAGAGGAAUUUUCAGAUUGUAUGUGCAUUUCUCACAAGUUUGGGUAUUGGCUGAUGGACAAACAGUUAGGCCAUUGUUUAGGGGUAAGUAGGACUUCUAAUAGGCAGAUUUUCAGCUUCAAGAUUGAUAGAUAAGAAAACAUAAGUCAACCACAUGUUUAAGAUUUUGAUUCUAGUUGGGUUAGGAUUUCUGGAGACCUUAAUAAAUUUCUUUCCGACGAAUUCCAAGGCAAAUAAACAAUGCAUGAAUAACUCCAAAGGCCUCUCUGUAUACCUGAAAUCUAGAACUUCUUCGCAUAUGGAAAUAGUUCAAUAACAGAAGGAAACUGUAGGAAGGGGAGAAAAAAAUGCAAGGAACUGACUUGCUGCAUUUGAGUCAGAAUGAGUUUAGAUGUUACUUAGUGUGAAGAUAGAAUCUGCAUCGAAUAACGACCAUGAGAUUCAUGGUUUAGGUUCUAGUACAUAAUCUUCCUUGAACCCUUACCACUUACAUCAUUCUUUUCUAGUUGGACAUUAAACUUCAAAAGCCAUUAUUUUUUAAAUGCUAGUAUAGCAGCUGCUUAUCGAAAAUAAAUGCAGACAGGUUUACUGUUCAGGAAAUAGUACUUAUAUUUGGGGAACAUGUCAAAAGUAAUACCAUACUGUUUAUCACCUUAGUUAUUAUUCAGCUGAAGGGAAAAGUCAAGAUUUAAGGUCCAGAAAAGCCUAAUUUUUUAUCACAAAGGAAACUUCGUGUAAACUACAUAAUCAAAUCUCCAACAGCUUUGUGAUCCUAGCUGGUCUCUCACACUAGGCAUAUCUUUUGAUCCUUUAGCAUAUCUUAUUUGGACAAUGUUGUUUCUUCUUUUGGCUAUCAAAGAACAUAUCUCUUAAAUAGCAUUUUCAGUUGGAUAUUGUAAUUUUGGGCAGCUUCAGGGGAGUUGAACUCAUUCGAAUCGGUGCCUGAUCUGGAAAAAUCAAUGUACACAAUUGUUGAUGGGUAUCCAUGUGUACGGCUGCUGAACCUUUCAGGGGAGAUUGGUUGCUCAAGUGGGACUUCUUAUCUUCUUUUUGAAUUGGUUAAGAUAUUCUACUUUGCCAUGUUUAAUUACUGCUCCUUUGCUUAGAUCCUGGUCAUGGAAAAGUUGCUGCACCAGUGGUUAAAUUCAAGAAUGUGAAUCAAUUGGUUGAACCAUCUGCAAUACUGGUUUCCUUGGAUGAACUUGACAGCUUAUUGGCAAGGCAUGUAUUUGAUGACUCUAUAUAUCCAUUUCAGAAGAAUAAUCGAGUAACUCUUCCUUUUGAUUGAAUAUUCUUUUACUUUUUUAAAAUCUAGAUUUUGAAUUGUAUUGUGCUUGAUACGGCUUUAUGUAUUAGUUGAAUCUUUACUUUUUUGAGCAUCUGAAAUUUGAAGCUUCAGAUCCCAUGUUUGUUUCUAUUUUUGCAAGUUUGGCCUUAUAAUAAACUAUAUACUGAAAUCCUUACUGGGACACUUUAAAUUACUAAUCAUUUAGUGAUGUAACUGGACUGAGAUGCUGAAUUUAAUUUUUAAUUGUUAGCAAAAGGUUGAUCUCAAUUUACACUAGGUGCAUUAGGUUCUGGAAGUGGUUCUUGAUAAUUAAGUUUUGUUGAAACAAGGAACUAUUUAUUUUCAAGAGGAACAUGGAAAGUAAAAUUAGAGGCUAGAAAUAAAUGAGUGGAUGUACUGUUUGUUAGUGUUAGACUUGGUAAUGAGUCAUACCUUGGGACAACUUUAUGUUUCUUUCUGCUCCUACCAAAAGCAUAUGCGACAAUUAAUGCCACAUGAAAAUUCAAACAAAACUGGUAAAAUUUUGUCUGCAUACCAGUGAGAAUGGCGGUUAGCCAACUCUUUGGACAUAUUUAGACAUGAUAAGAAACUCAUCUCAUCUAACAUUGUCAGCAAUCUGAUCGCUUAUGCUGUUUUUGGCUAAUGUUUGGUUAUACUUUUUCCGAGUAAGUCUAACUUUUCAGCAUCUCCUUUUGCGAAGUCAUGGCUCCUUUUUCACAAAAGUCAUCUAAAUGCAUUUAAUGAUUACUCAACUGCUUAAUAAUGAGUUGCUCUUCUGACUACCUAAUGAUUUGGCCUGCAGUGGAGUAACUUUUAAGUGGUAAGCUUGUAUCAGAAAAUGAUGCCUAGGACUGCCUCAUCUUGUGCCUUCCCAUUAUGGUCUCAUUACUAGAAGAAUUAGAAUUGUCUGCCUGUUACCUAUAUCUUCUUCCAGGGGAAUCCCCUAGUUCAGUAUAAUUUAAUGUAUGGUUCACUUGAAUAGUUCUAUGCUAGUGCUUUUGGCUGCCUGCUUAUCAUCAAAAGCACAACUGGUCGACAUCAAAUCCGUGUGACUGAUGUCUUCUAUUCUUUCUGUUUCAGAGUAUCAAAGGACACUAAUUUUGCUAGCCUUGUAGCUGGUAUAUUAGUUGAAUCAGGAACUCCGGGUGGAAACAAUUUCAAGGGUAUAAAGCAUUGUCGUUAUUUAUCUGGGACUAUUUAAUCAUUAUCGUUUAGAGCUACUUUAUCAAUGUUUUCAUUCCUUUUCAGGAUUUUCUCCAGAAUUAAAGUUUCCAGAGGCUGAGUUUGCUCCCUAUCAGAAUAAAAACUUUGAGUGGAAUCCAAGUGUAUGUCUUCAGAUAACAUUUAAAUCAGAUCUAGACUUCUGUAAAGGGUAAAUAUGCUUCCUGUGGUAAAGAGAUUGGAACCAUUCCUACCUUGUGGUUCCAAAACCUAAAUUUUGUCCCCUCGUACAUGAAGUUGCUAUUGAAAUUGACUCAAUCAAAUUUACAUAAAUCAAACAUUUGUCCAAUUUUCCUUAUUUUUUCCCUUGAUUUUACUUGUUCCUUUUUUUUUGGAAUUCACUUGUUAGUUGUUGCUGUAAAUUUUUUCUUCCUCUUCCCCUGUAUAAAAUACCCUAGCCCACAUGUUAUGUCAGCAUGGCAGUCAGUUAUUGACCAAAAGCAGACACUUCUGACAGGAUGCUAUCUUCCAGUAUUUGCACAAGAAUCUACUCAAUUUUUUGCUUUUUUUUUUUUCUUGUAUUAGGUUUUAUAUUUUUUUGUUUUGUUACUCUCCUUCACUUCAAUCUUUUGCCAAUUUGGUUUGUGCUCAAGUUUGAUGUCAUACAUGGUUGAUUCUUCCAAUGCUUUUUGUUGGUAAUCUGUUGUAUCUUAGGGAUAUAUAACAUGUUUCAUCAUGGAAAAUGGAUUCUCGUAGCUCCUCUUAAUGUUUAUUAGUUUCUUGUACAAUUAGAAUUUCUAAAACUAAGGAAUUCCUGGAGAAACUUACUCUAACUAUGGCCGCCUGCAGGGAUCUGGAAUAAUGUGGAAGGCUUAUAAUUUUCCUGUAUUCUUACUCUCAGAGAAUAGCACACUGGCCUUGCUGGAGGUAAUAUGCUCUUUGACAGAUUCAUUUCCUGAUAUUAUAUUUGCUUUUAUGGCUAAUUUGUAUUGAGAAAGCUUUUUCUGUUGUUGAGGUGCUAAGUAUACUUAAACUGUCAAGACACUAAGCAUCUCAGCGCAAUGUCAUCCUCCUAUUUUUCUAAUGAAAGUCAUGUUUAUCUCUAGUUUAUUUUAAUGGUUGAGCACUAUAUCAGGUAUCAUCUCUGUGAUUUAAAUGAUAAUAGUGGGGCUAAAGUAUCUUUGCGAUAUUGGUAGAGAUAGGAUAGUGAGAAAGGUUCCACCAUAAGGUCCUCUCUCUUGUUUAUGUUACUGUGUAUUUUUUUACCUUCAUCUUAUUCUCCAUUUUCUUAUAUGUUGAUUUUCAUACCUGCAGGCUGCAACGAAGAAUGAGAAAAGCAAGAAGUCAUAUACAUCAGAUGUAGCUGAAUUUGGCCUGGUGAUGCAGGUAAUAACUGAUUGUGGUGGUUAGAUUACAAUGAACUUUACUACUAAAUAGGGAGAAUCUACACAACUAUUACAAAUUUCUUACUGAUUGAGGUCAUGCUUUUUGUUGUUUUUCAAUGCUUAAUUAGACUACAAAAUCAGGUACUCAUGAUUCAGAGUCUUGUUUGAGAGAAGAAACUUGCCUUCCAUUGGGUGGAUACAGGUGCAAUCUCGUGGGAACUUUUAGCUUUCAAUAUCUUUUGUAUUACAGAAGUUACGUUGACUUGUUUUCUCUACCUUUGUCUUCCCAUUUUUACCAAAGCGUGAGCUUUAAUCAGUUCAUGUUUGUAGUGUCCAUGAGGCCAUUACAAUUUGCCACAAACACUUAACCUUAUGGUUAUCGAUCAUUUGAACUGUAAGAUCUGGAAAACAUUUAUGUAGGUUAAGUCAUUUGCUUGUUAUCGAGUAUGAUGUCCAUUCACGCAAUAUUCAUGGCAUAUCAAGAUAUAAUUUAUCAAUAUUAGUUGUAUAGGUUGUGAUAUAUCUAACUACUCCCUGGGUGCUUUUUGCCAUAAUGAGAUGAUGUAAAUUCCUAGCCAAGCCACACCUUGUAGUCUGAGGAAUACUCAACGUACUUUUGGCUAUGAUUAGGGCUAAAUUUUUUUAUUGGUGAUCAGGUUCAUUUUAUUCACUACUUCCAAAUAUUUAGCCAUAUAGUUCAUUCUUACUUAAUAAAUUUGACUUGCUCAAAUUUAUGAUGGACACAUUAGAUGAGAUUGUUCUGUCAGUUUGUGGUAUCUCCUUAAAAGCGGGAUGUUAUAUCUCAUACGAAAACAUUGGGUCAUACCGUAUAGGUGAAGAAAGCUCAGUUGAUUCUCUGUGCUUUUUUCUUUUCAUCCUUUGCCGUAUUUUCUGUAAUUUAAUCCUCUGACAUAGGUUAGUCUGCUAAUUAACCACAUUUGGGAUCAAGCACAAAAACACAGGUGCUGUUACUUGUUAGAGACACAAAAACUGGACUUCUUAUGAGCUAACUCUCUUAUUGUACAUAUAUCAUGAAUUCUUUCCGAAGGCCUAUUUCUUUAUUCUUUCACUUCAUAUGUCUUCAAUUUGAAGGGCAGUGUCUGGUCAGCACUUCCACCAAUAAACACUUCAACUUCCCAAAAGUCAAAGCCAAUCAUAUUAGCAGUGACAUCUAUGGAUUCCGCUUCCUUUUUCCGUGACAAAAGCCUUGGUGCAGAUUCACCUAUAUCUGUGAGUUAAAUCUGUUUUUUUUUUUAAAUUUUUUUUUAAUUUAUAACUUCUUGUUUCUACAACUGAUUUCUUUUAUGUGAUCUUCUAACACAAUGAAAAUAAUGCAAACUUUUUUUCAAACUAUUUUGCAGGGGUUGAUUGCCCUGCUGGCUGCAGUUGAUGCUCUUUCACAUCUUAAUGGCUUGCAUCUGAGUAAACAGGUCAUUACUGCAUGAAACUUGUUUAGAUGAAGUACUUAUACUAAAAAUUUCUGAUGAAUUCGUUCAUAUGUUCCAUUUUUCUUAUUCUGCAUGAGAUGCAUAAUAUAUAUGUUCAUAAUUUUUUUCCUUGUCCACUUGAAAUUUUUAGACAUUUUUCUGUGUUGCAGCUUGUCUUUGUAGUUUUCACUGGAGAAGCGUGGGGAUUCUUGGGUAGCCGGAGAUUUCUUCUUGAGCUUGAUCAACAUUCAGACGCUGUCAGUGGCCUUGACUUCACAUUGAUAGAAACGGUAUUACCGAUACAUCUGGUCAAUCAUCUGUAAAUUUGGAUAUAGAUACUGGUACCUUCUAUGACUGGAGUGCUCAAUUUUUCUUAAACUGUAGGAGGAAGAUGUGAGUGCUGUUUAUGAGUUCUAUGUCAUGCCUUUGAUGCUAAUUAUGGAGUCUUGUCAUGUCAAACUGUUGCAUUGCCGAUUGCAAAAUUGUUUAUUUUUCUUGAUUAAGCUCCUGAAUUUUUUUCAGAAAUUAGUAUCUUCAUUUGUCAUAAGCCCUCGACUCUUUCAUACAGAUUUUCGUGUAAUGCUAUGUCCUAUCAUGCUGCACCGAAAGCUUGUAUAAACAACAUGGUUUGGUUAGUUUGAACAUAAUGUUUGCUGCACCGAAAUCGAUUGUUAAAAUGUUUGCUGCUUAUCUUUUCCAAAAAAUGAGACAAAAAUAGUUUUUGGCUGGAGAUGAUACUGAUAUUCAGAAUGUGAUAUAUCUUUUAUCCAGGUAUUGGAAAUUGGAUCUGUUGGAAAAAGCUUUGACCAGGGUGUCAAGAAGUUUUUUGUUCAUACAACAGAGGUAGGGUGGUACUUACCCUUUCAUCCAAAUGCACUUUUGUUUCUGGUCAAAUUUGCAUAUGGAGUCUAUCUGACUGCUUUUGACUCGAUGAUAAAUCUCUGUCUGCUCUGCAUCAUCUGUCUCUGGGCUAAAGUGGUGGUUCCCAUGUUCUGCUUGAAAAAAAAAAAAAACUUGUUUGGAUGACAAUGAGGAAUAAUACUGAAUUUUGUGGUGGUAAAAAAAUCUUCUUUCUACUCGAUAAAACAGAUUUUUAACUGCAUAUUUGGAUGUACCUUGAGCUCUUCAGACCUGUGUUAUUUGAGUUAUAUGUUUUAUUACUGCCAAGGAAGAAGAUCCCACAUGCAUUCUUAUGAUGGGAUUUAGGAUUUCUUUCAAUGUUAUUCGCAUUGUACAAGAGGGAUAUAAUGGAUUACUAAUGUUAAGUUGACUAGUUGCAAUGUCAGUAUGAUAAACUACUUUAUAUCUUUAUCUAUAUGAUACUGUGGUUUCUUUAUAUAAUUCAGCUGGGUUCUUCUUACUGAACUUAUUCUGUGAAUUUAUUAUAAAUUUUGGUAAGGUGAUUCCAAGUCCUAAUUGGUUUCUUUGCUAGAUUGUGAUACUUUAUAUCUUUAUCUAUAUGAUACUGUGGUUUCUUUAUAUAAUUCAACUGGGUUCUUCUUACUGAACUUAUUCUGUGAAUUUAUUAUAAAUUUUGGUAAGGUGAUUCCAAGUCCUAAUUGGUUCUUUGCUAGAUCGUGAUAUCUUUGAACUGCAAGAGGCAAAAUCUCUGAAAGAAUUAUAUUUAACCAAUGCAAGAACUUUAUACUUUUUUGUAGUGCAAGAAUUUUUUGGGAAUCUUAAAUUGGUUUAAUCUUCUGAUGUUUAUUGGCAGGCUGCAUCAAUCUCAAAUCAGACAUUGGAUGCUUUAAAACGUGCUCAAGAUUCUCUUAAAACUGAAAAUGUGAAGAUCUCAGUAGCCAGUAAAUCAAAUCCUGGGAUACCACCCUCCUCAUUGAUGAUGUUUCUGAGGAAGGUUGGUGUUUGGCUGUUGAAAUAGGAUUUUAGAGUAUUUCUCUUACUAUAUGAAUUCUUAAUUUGAUCAAUUUCAUCUGUUCCUUGCACAACCACAACACCGCAUGGAAGACGGGAAGGGAGUGAGUCAAGGUAGCAAAGAAAGUUUAAAAACCAAAAAGCCAAACUAAAAAGGAACGAGAAGCACAUAAAAUGUCAAAUGGAAAAGGAAAACUGAUUAGCAAUGCCAUUCUUUCUAUCACACUGAUUACAUUUUUAUCCCUGACAUGGUAUAUUCUCUUGAUUAUUUGUCAUCCGUUGGAUGAAUCAUCUGAGUGGCUAGAAGUGUACUGUCGUUCAAUUAUGCAAACAGCUAGCAGUUCUCUUGGUCUGGUCAUCAAAAUUCACUGACGUGUGCCCUUUUUGUGCCUUAACUUCAAUAGAGUGAAAAAUGUUGCUUAGCUAAUCAGUAUCAAGAUCUGCCAAAUUAAUUGUUGUUUUUGUUGUGCUCUCUGCAUACAGAAUCCAGAUUCUUCAGGGAUUGUUUUGGAAGAUUUUGAUACUGCCUUUACAAACAAAUUCUACCAUAGUCAUCUGGACAAUCUAUGUGAGCUGAUUUAACUUGUUAGAUUCCUAUUAUUUUCCUGAUUGAUCUAUCUGCAAUGCUGCAAAGCUGUUUGGAAUGAUCCCAUUCAAUGUGAUGUAAUGCAGCUAACAUAAACGCCUCAGCAAUAGCCGCAGCUUCCUCCCUUGUUGCCAGAAGCCUGUACAUCCUUGCUAGUGAAAAGAACGAAAUAAAUGAUUCCGUUCUGACUGCUAUUUCUGUGAAUAGCUCUUUCAUUGAUGAACUCCUUGGUUGCCUGUUAGACUGUGAACCAGGCCUAUCAUGUGACCUAGUGAACCAAUAUAUUUCUCCAUCUGCUGCAUGCCCAAGCCACUAUGUUGGUGUUAUACAGGGAGAACCAUCAUCUUCUCCUUAUCCUGGUUAUGUAGGGGAUGUGUCGAGGUUUCUAUGGAAUUUCCUAGCAGACAAAACCUCUGUCCCAACAGAAAAUAGAAGUGCUACUUGCCCAAAACAUUGCAGUGGCACCGGUGAACUGUGCAUCCGAGGGGAAACUGAUGGUAAAGGUGUAUGUGUUAUCUCCUCCACCAGGUAUCAUUCAGUUUGCAAACUUAUGUUUGUAAUUCACAGUAAUGCCAUACAUUCUGAUGUUGAUUGAAUUGCAUUUUAUGGCACCCUAGAGGAUUUUUUGCAAAUCUUUGCUGAUAAAAUCUGUGCCCUAAGGCAGCCUUUUACUGUCUAUCCAGGCAUAUAAUACAUUUGUUGCAUUCAUCUUCAAUAAGAAGAAUAGGCAAGGACAGCUGGGCAUUGAACAGAAAAAAGAUGCAUAGUAUCAGGUUUAGCAUGCGUUCGUAAAGAGAAUCGCUUUAUAUUUUUGUUCCUUGUUCUGGAAUAAAUGAGCUCUUUUCUUCUUUGUGGCUCGUGUAUAUAUAUAUAUAUAUAUAUAUAUAUAUAUAUAUAUAUAUAUAUGUAACUCAUUUAAGCUCCACAUUGUUCUAUCAUCAGUUUUGUAUCAGAUAUUUUUGACUCUUAUUCUCCUUUUAUAUGGUAGCAUUGUUUGUCAGAAAUGCAGUACAGGAGUGUUUAAAGAGCAUGUCGUUGCCUAACAUGUAAUUGCAAGUAGAAAGGAAUGAAGCACCUUCCUUAAUUUAUAAAAUUAUGACUAGAUUUUUGAGAUUUGAAGGUUAAAACAGGAGGAUGUCAUUUGUUUUUACCUGUUGUCAUUUGUACCAUGUUAAUUUGCAUCAUGUGAUUUUUUGACUUGCAUUAUUUGAAGCACCAGAGUAUAGGUGAUCAUAAAUGUUGAGACGGUCACGUUUCCACUUUCAAUAUUGUGCUCUACGAGCCGUCAUUAGUAACACGUUACUUUGAAUAUUCAUCUGCAACGGCACACCAAGGUUGCUUGCUUAUAUCCAGUGGUUGUAACAAAAUUUUUUGUAUAUUCAGAUGUUCUAAUAAUCUGUUUCCAUCUCAGGUAUGUACCAGCUUACUCAACAAGAUUGAAAUUUGAAUCUGAUAUGUGGAAGCUGCUGCCAACUAAUUCUUCCGACAUCAUGGGAGCUGCUGACCCAGUCUGGACAGAGAGCAACUGGGAUACUAUUACACUUCGUGUUUACUCGGUUCAACAUGCUUCUUAUGAUCGCCUCAUUCUACUCUUGGGUAUUUCUGUUACAGUUGCAGCAUACAUUGCGAUAGUUAUUACUAGAUCUGUCAUCAGGAAGGCCCUAAAGCGGGAUUGACAUCAAUUGCCUUAUUAUAGGAUUUACAGUCAAUACGCUUCCUGGAUGGAACGUGAGGCUUGGAUUCGCUGCUACCUGGAUGAUAUAGCUAGACUUCAAAAUUUUAUUACAAAUACUUCCAUAGCUAACUGAAAGACUGCAGUUGUUUAUUAGCCUGGAUGUAGCAAUAUUUUUUUGUGGUUAGGCUGCGUCCUUUUUUACCCUUUUGGGUAAAUGGCAUUUAGUAAAGCUGACUUGCAUAUUGUAGCCUUUGGUAUAUUCUCUCAAUUCAGUGUCUUUUGAUGUCGUUUUGAUCCUGUAUACAAGAUAUCUUUGAUAUCUGCAUAAAUUUCCAAGUACGUGGCUGUUCCCAUCAAAUUCAGCUCAUAAUGCAGCUGAGGCUUAUCAAAUUCAACUAAGAAAGAAAUGGUUAACCUCCGUAGCGGGCGGCGUCUGACUUAAAUCAUGCAGAGAUACUUCCUGCUUUAACUGGGAAUGCUUCCUUCCAUGAUUGGUUCAUCUCCUGAUCUUUGCUUGCAGUUGAGUAGCCUAUUAUAGGUCUUCAAAACAGUAACGAGAUCCACACUGAACUGAGAAUGUGCUCCCUUUCAUGAGCUAUCAAAUAAUCGAAUCUGUCAGACUUGAUAAGGUGAGAUUGUAUCAAAAGAUUCAAAAGUAAGUAAAAAUAGCAAACCAUUGACCAGGAUUUCUUGGAAAUUUCCUGUAAAUUACCAAAACCAAGUAAAUUAGGAUUCUUGUUCAGGAUUUUUUAGAAAUUUUACCAGCAAGUGCCUUUUUAGUUCCCUCCGGAUUUCUCAUUGAUCUCUUUGAAUUCACCAUUUUAUCUUAGUAUAGAACCAUUGGGCAUUGGUCCAAUGGUUAGAAAGAGCCCCUUUAAAGUAUGAGACAAGAAGCAUAGUGCUUCUUGUUUUUAAAAAAUUUAUAUUUCUUGUUCUUAAAUUUAGAGAUUGCAGUAGUGUAUUUAUUUGGUCUGGUAAAAAAAAAUUAGCAUGAGCUUAAGCGGAUGAAAUUCAAUAUCUCUAGAAAAUCUCUGAUAAUCUACGCGAGAAGAUUCCCUUUUUUUUUCUGCCCCCAAUCUCCAAUUCUCAGCUGGAGGCUUCCUUUUUCCAUUUUUCUGCUUUUUAUUUUUAUUUUUUUUAAUUUGAGAAGUCUAGAGCAACGUCAUAAAAGAGGACCUUCUCGAGAAGAGAAGCCCAACUAUUGAAGCUCGGAAUAUCACAUGGUCUAUGAACCUGAAAAGCCCAUGGUUUGAUAACCAAGUCGGUUAUUAACCGACCCGGAUUCCCCACCAACAGCUGCGUGUGAGUUAUACAGAGAAACCACGCGCCUCAGAAUCAUUCCACAGUCUUUCUCAGCUCAAUUUCAGCAAAGAAGUGAAAUCGAAAAACUACGCAUUUCAUUGUGAUCCUGUCCUUCUGAGAUAGCAAUAAAACCCAAAAAAUGGGGCUGGGUUUACUCGCCUCCCGGACUCUCCUGCGAUCCGGAAAACUCCGGCCAGGAAACUUCCCUCCUCUUCUCCGCCGCUCCAUCGUCUCCACUAGUGAGCUCCAAAAUGCCGAAGCAGCCCAAACCCAGCCGGAUUCUCCCCCGCCGGAUCUUCCCAAGAGAACUCCCGUCGGCGGGGCCCGAGUCCACUUCCCCAACCCGGAAGACGCUAUCGAAGUCUUCGUAGAUGGAUAUACGGUUAAAAUCCCUAAGGGUAUGACAGUCCUUCAGGCCUGCGAGAUCGCCGGCGUCGACAUUCCUCGUUUUUGCUACCAUAGCCGCCUCUCUAUUGCCGGAAAUUGCCGUAUGUGCCUCGUUGAAGUUGAAAAGUCCCCCAAGCCUGUCGCCUCUUGCGCCAUGCCUGCUCUUCCUGGUAAACUAAACUAGUUGAUAAUUGAACUAAUUUUUUGGUGAUUUUAUUGCUAAAAUGGAUUUAUUACGAACGAAAAAUUUAGGUUUUUCGCUACUUAAUAUGAGAAAAAUGUGGACUUUAAAGUUUAAUGUUAAUGUGUGAGGAUUGAUGCUUUAUAAUUUAAGAAAGAAAAAGAAAAAGUUGUUUGCUUUCGUUGAGCUUGAGCUGGAUGUUGCAUUCUUGAGAAACUAAUUGCUUAAUUUUGAGCUAUGGAUGAUUCUGUUAUGGAGAGUUGUACUUUUUAGCUGUGAUUAAAUUUUCUUCGGUAGUUGCCAGGGACAAAGGAGAGGGAAAAAAAAAAUUUUGUUUGGUUGCUUGUUGGUUGUGUAUUGAUUUUGAUGAUGUUUUUGCAGGGAUGAAGAUUAAGACUGACACACCUCUUGCCAAGAAGGCACGAGAAGGAGUUAUGGAAUUUUUGCUGAUGAAUCAUCCGUUGGAUUGCCCAAUUUGUGAUCAAGGUGGGGAAUGUGAUCUCCAGGAUCAGUCUAUGGCUUUUGGUUCUGACCGGGGUCGUUUUACUGAAACAAAGAGGUCUGUGGUUGAUAAGAAUCUGGGUCCAUUGGUCAAGACUGUCAUGACUAGGUGCAUUCAAUGUACAAGGUAUGCACAAGAGACUGUAUGUUUGUCCAUGGCACAUUGAAUCUAGAUAACUUGUCACACACCUUCAAAUCCAUGUCAAUUGAAUUCUAGUGAUUCUUGGAUUAUGACAAGAGGUCCUAAGACUAUGUUCAACUUGACAAUGCCAUUAGUAGCACUCUGUCUAGUUAUGGCAGAUCCUAUAAUAUUCUCAGUCAGAUGACUUUUUGCGUAACAAGAUAACAUAGAACAUAAUUGCAAUUGGACAGACAAAAAUUGUGUAAAUUAAUUACAAUGUUGGCGUCACAAUAAAUAAGUCUGCAGUUACUAUUGAACAAUCAACUUGCUGUCAUGUGGCUACCAAAAUGCAUCUCUGUUCUUUUUCAAAAAAAAAAAAAAAGUAACUGAUAGAUGUGUUCUCAUUGAUUUGUAUGUAUUGCUUGUUUUGGUCUUAAUGCUCAUGUGGUAGGAUUUAACAUCUGUGAGCUGGUGGUGUUGUUUCUUGCUGAGGAAUAGCAGUUUGUUCAUUCUGCUCUUCUUUCAUUGUCUAUUUUAGAAUUCAAUAUAUAUUCUUUUUGUUAUUAACUGGAUUCUUAGAUAGUCUAAGCUGAGAAUGCUUGUGAGCUUGAGGAUAGAUACCAAUAGAUGGAUGAACUUUGGGAAAUGGAGGUGUCAUCUCUUCUCCCUAGUGCCAAACAAAUUCUUAGAAAUGACUUUUGAAGUUUAAGAUGUAUUGAUUUUUUUUUUUUUGUUGAGACGAAUGCUGAAUAAUUCCAUAUUGCAUUGCACUGUUUUUACCUAUUUCGUCAUGUGGCUUGAAUUGUCCUUUAACAUGUUCAAUGCUCAUAAACAGGUGUGUAAGAUUUGCGACUGAAAUAGCUGGGGUUCAGGAUCUUGGCAUGUUGGGUCGUGGCAGUGGGGAAGAAAUUGGAACUUAUGUGGAAAGACUCAUGACAAGUGAACUUUCAGGAAAUGUAAUUGACAUUUGUCCUGUUGGUGCUCUAACCUCAAAACCUUUUGCCUUUAAAGCUCGAAAUUGGGAAUUAAAGGGAACCGAAAGCAUUGAUGUUACAGAUGCUGUUGGUUCAAACAUUCGGAUUGAUAGCAGAGGCCCAGAGGUUAUGCGUAUUUUGCCACGAUUAAAUGAGGUACUUUAAAUUAGCCUGUUAUGAUGCUUUUGGUCAUAUCUACAACUAGUCAUAGGUUUGACUACCCUGUGCUUCAUUUUCUCAUAUAGGAUAUCAAUGAAGAAUGGAUAUCAGACAAAACACGUUUCUUUUAUGAUGGACUAAAGAGACAGAGGUUAAAUGACCCCAUGAUUCGCGGUCCAGAUGGACGCUUCAAGGCAGUGAGUUGGCGUGAUGCUCUUGCCGUGGUUGCUGAGGUCAUCCACCAAGUCAAGCCCAGUGAAAUUGUUGGAGUUGCUGGUAAGCUGUCUGAUGCAGAAUCCAUGAUGGCAUUGAAGGAUUUCUUAAACAAAAUGGGGUCAAAUAAUGUUUGGUGUGAGGGUAAUGGCCCAAAUCCAAAUGCUGACAUCCGCUCUGGUUACAUUAUGAACACCAGCAUCAGUGGCUUGGAGAAGGCAGAUGUUUUUCUCUUGGUUGGUACUCAGGUAAUGUUCUUCAGCUGUUAAGGCAUAUGCACUUAACAUCACGUAAGUUACUUAGCUAUGUGGGUAAUCUGUAAAGAAUUUACAUGAUAUGCAUAUCUGCAUGUGUUUGUGGGGGCUGUCUGUAUCAUCUUCCUCUUCCCAAGAACAAGAAAAUAUUUUGUUAAGAGAUGAUCAUGAGCACCUCAGACGUUAGUUAUUGCUUGAUCAGAUAGAAAGGUCAGUCUGGAAUUAUGUAAUUAAUUUUGUUCCUGUAGAGAACCUUAUCAAUGCUGGUUAUUUGAUAAAUGAAGACUUAUGGAAGAUUGAUGGAUGCUUUUGAUUUUUUGUGGUUGUCAUUAACCGAAGUUUAAGGAGGUUACAUCUGCCUCAAAUGCUGGAGCACAUUUAUUUUUGUCUAAUCCCCUUUUAGACCACUAUUGAGAACCAAAAUUUUACUCUUAAUGUUUCUCAUAUAAUUUGCAGUUGCAAUUUAAGAGUAUACUAUAAUUGCAAUAGAAAAUUAAACACUUGCUGCACCCUGAAGUCUCUUGCUUUCCUUUAUCUGUACUCUUAUUUUAAACAAGAGUUUUAUGCAGCCAGCUGAGCGUACGUCUCUCAAAGAUGUCAUGAAUUCUCUCAUAUGAAUGGGAUCCUUUUUUUUUUUAAUGGGACUGUUGUUUUGCUGCUUAUUGAUGACCUUGUGCAUGUCUCUUGAAUCUUGUAAGGUUAUUCAGUUGUAAUGCAUUUUGAGCUGCAGUUGAAGGUUUUUCUCUCUGAUUGUCGUAAUAACCGUAAUUUUUUUAACAUGGAUUUUAAUAGCUGUCUGACAUGUCAUGUUCUUUCCUUUGCCAUCCCGUAUGCAUAUUUUUUGGCUUUGUAACCAAUGCUUAUUGUUUAUGAUGUUCUCAGCCAAGGGUUGAAGCUGCUAUGGUGAAUGCCAGAAUUCGGAAAACUGUUCGAGCUGCCCAAGCUAAGGUGGGCUAUGUUGGUCCUGCAACAGACUUAAACUAUGAUCAUGAACAUCUUGGUACAGGUCCUCAAACACUUAAAGAAAUUGCGGAUGGUCGCCAUCCUUUCUCUUCAACAUUGAUAAAUGCCAAGAACCCUUGCAUCAUUGUUGGUGCUGGGGUUUUUGAGAGAAAUGACAAGGAUGCAAUUUUCUCAGUUGUUGAGACUAUUGCAGAAAGUGCAAAGGCUGUUAGACCCGACUGGAACGGGCUUAAUGUGUUGCUAUUAAAUGCUGCUCAAGCUGCAGCUCUUGACCUUGGACUUGUUCCAGAAUCUGGUAAUAGCAUUGAAUCUUCCAAAUUUAUUUAUUUGAUGGGUGCUGACGAUGUGAACUUGGAGAAAAUUCCCGAGGAUGCCUUUGUGGUUUACCAAGGACACCAUGGAGAUCGUGGUGUAUAUCGUGCAAACAUAAUUCUUCCAUCAUCAGCCUUUUCUGAGAAAGAGGGCACAUAUGUUAAUACAGAAGGGUGUGCUCAAACUACUGUACCAGCAGUACCCACUGUAGGUGAUGCUAGGGAUGAUUGGAAAAUAAUUAGAGCAUUGUCUGAGGUGGCAGGCGCAUGUCUACCCUAUGAUUCCCUUACUGCUAUCAGAUCUCGGAUGAGGACUGUAGCACCAAAUCUACUGAAUACUGAUGAGAGACAACCUGCAAUAUUUUCUUAUUCUUUGAAGCCUGAGUCACGCCAGGAGAUGAGCACUGUUCCAUUUGGAACAGCAGUGGAGAAUUUUUACAUGACUGAUUCAAUCACUAGGGCGUCCAAGGUAAUGGCUCAAUGCAGCGCAUCAUUGUUGAAGAAAUGAGCUCUGGAAAGCGAUGGACUUGAAAUAAGGGUGUCAGUUCACGUUUUGCUGUUUGGCUUCUGUAUCCUAAAUUUACGCCAUCUAGGAUUCUUUGUUCGUCAAGGAAAUAGAGAGGAUCAAGGAAAAAGAAUGAACUACAAUGCCGUAGCGGAAUUUUCUCAUAAAUGGCAAACCAGCUUUGGCAAUCUUUUGUACCUUUCUGUAAUUUUAAUCAGCAUCCAGCAUAUGGUGAAUCCAAAGUUACACUGGCCUUGGUUUAUAUUUUUGGCUCCAUGAUAUUUUGUUCUUUCUAGCUUUUUUAUUUCUAAACUUUUCAGUCGUGCGGCAAAGGUUGUCAACAUACAAUGAUAAAGGCAGUAGAAUCUCAAUAGUGUGCUGGAAAUCAUCUGAGAUGGAUUCUACAGUUGCAAUGCCAUUAAAUUUUUAUUCUUCCGUAAUGGUAAAUGUUAUUAUCUAAUUGCUGAUGACGUUCACAAAAUGCUUUCGCUUGUCAUAGUGGCUUGGCUCCUGCUUUCUUGCUCAUCCCCGUUGUAGGUUGAAGAAGAAUUACAGGCUUUGGCAGCAUUUAAGUUGUGUGCUUUUGUCAUGUCAUUGCAAUAAUUCCGAGCUCGACUGUAAGAUAUGUGUAUUUCCUAGGAAAGAGUACGGGGAUGUAUGAAGUGCUUGAAGCGGGAUAAAAUUUUUGGCGACCUCAUUGUUAGUUAUAAAUGUCAGAAAUGGUGGCGAGCAUAUUGAUUUUCGUUUCUUGCCAAUCAUUUUGUAUUGUUUUUAUUAUUGGAUGUCUGGUAUCAACUGAAAAGAAGCUCAUUAGCAGCGGCCGAGGUUGUAAAUGACUAAGCAACAUCAUACUGGUGUUUUACCCCUUAAAUCGAAUUCAGCUGAGGUUGAAACUCUUGAUCAUAAUUUCCAGUACUCAUACUGCGGCUAAUAUGCAAGUUAUACUUGAUCGAAACAAUAAUUACUCGUACAAGAUGAUAUCUGGAUGAGACAUAUUAUGCUGGAACAGAAUAUUUGCAACUCACCAACCGCUUUUGGAGAAUAUUUCAUGCAAUCACCCAUGUUACAGAGGCAAGCCCAAUAAUUUCUGCCAGAAGCUUGCAGCCACGAUUUAUGCAAGGUUGCAAUAGUACUAGCAUAAUUUCUUAAGCCAACUGUGCACCAUCUUCAAGGUUAGUUUGCUGGCUGAACUUGACAUUGGCCUGAUAGGCUGAUCAUUGUGAACGUUUCCCCAUCCAUUGCAUCCCAAGUAAGACGGGCAAAAAGCUUCAAGUCCACUCUUAUGUACUGUAAAUUAAGGCGUUAGGCGUGCAUUAUUCUGCUAAAACAAGUAUAUGCCAUAUACAAUUAGCUAGGAUGAUGCACAAAGAAAGUAGCGUAGCGUAUACGUCUGAUAGAAUCUAGAUUUUUCCUCCAACGAAAAGCUAAUUACCCAAAGCAGAUCCUCAAAGCAUGUAACUUUGAGCAAGUGGCAGACCAAGCAUCGCAAAAGCUGCAGAUAUACUACUACUAUGAUUUUCUGUACCUUAAGGAGCAUUAGGCUGUCACCUUUUCUAGUUUCUGUCCAGCUGAGAAGCCUUCCUGCCUUUUCCUGCAACGUGGGAUAGAUAAACGCUGUAAUGUCAAGUUCACUACUUCUGUAACUAGAAAGAAAUUGUAGGACCAAAAGACACAGCAAAAGAAAGCUUUAACAGGAUCUUUAAUAUCAAAUACACUGCACCAGGGAACCAAAUUGCUAAUCACAGUAUGGAGUACUUUACCUUGGCUUGAAACAUCGCUACGACAUAACAGAAUUCUAUAUGACCCUCACAUAAAGCACUGGAAACCUUUCCUCUUUAUCAAUAUUCUUGACACAAAACAGCGCACAUGCCAAAUAUCAACUAAACACCAAAACUCUUUCACAUGUAUAUUUGAUACUUGAUACUACAACAAAACAAUAUGAAAAGCAACAUCAGCCUCUAAGCAGUGCGAGCAAUUAUCUCAAGUUUGCACGCCAUAGUCUUUUUACUGACUUGCACAAGAUACCAAAAUGAUCUCGCACUCUCUUCAAUUUCUCACAAUCUAGUUAAAGUCUCACCAUAACAUUUUGCCGCUAACAUUAAUCUUGUUGAUUUUACCACUCUCACCAUAAAUUCCCGCCACAAAUAUUAAUCUUGUCUGUUGACCAGGCCAAUCCCUCUUAAUUAAACAUUUCUACAGCUGCAAAUACACAUUAGAUGAGUAGCCUACCUUAAUUGCUCAAUCAUUUCAGCUUAUCAAUGCGGACCAGGGGCACUUAUGGUUGGAGAUUUUGUACAAUUGUUGUACUGUCUACACUAUAUCGUGUACUCUUACAUAACUUUAUUGUACUCAAAUUUUAUUCAUGCACACCAUUUCAAAGCAUAAAAUACACCUGUCCCUGUAAGCAUACAAUCACAUUAUACAUGCAGUACACCAACCGUACCUGACUGGACCUAAGCCAACCGUACCUGCCCCAUUCCCCAUCAAUGCAGAUCAACAAUUUGCCUGUUUGGUGAAAGAGACAUGCCCCUAGAAAGUUUUUUUCAUAUGCUAUUGGAAAAAAUCUUGGCAUUUGGCAAUCAAAACAAACAAUAAAUGGGCAAAAAUUAACAAAUACGGAACUUCAACAAUUUUUUUUUUGGGUCAAAACUUCAACAAAUUUUAAAUGUUUACAUCUUACAACCUUUUUUUUCACGUAACAAUUAAUUAAGAGACUAAUCCCUAAUAGGCAGACAUCUCUCCCCACCCCCCCAAAACCCACAAAAAAAAAUCAUUGCAUGUGAUACUCAUUUGAGGUAAAGCAAGCAUUUUGAACAAUUCCACCCAUAAAUCUAAGACUUCAACUUACCCUUGCAAACUAUCCAGUGAUAGCAGUCUAUCAUUAUAAAGACACAAGUUAAUUGUAAUUCUGCUAUCCCCAAAGAUAACAAGAUCAAACAGACAAAACAGAUAAAAGAGCCUGAAAGUUACAGUUAAACACAUUUGACUUACUGCUCAUACAAUUUGAUUAGUGACCUUGGCCUUUCAUAACCACCUUCAUUCUCUUGUUGUCUUGGUUUUCCUGGAUUUCUUGAUUCUGGUUUCCAGUUAGCUUUGGUCAAUGAUUCACCAAGAAGUUCUGCAAUGUCUACCGCCAUUGCCUCAACCUUCUUGACAUAGGGAAAUUUCUCCUCUUCAAAAUGGUUAGACAACCACAAAUACAUGGACAAUACUUGAUGCUUAGUCUCAAGGUCCAAGAGCUCUGAAUCAUUACGUGCAAUACAUUUUGGCAUGCCCAUUGCAAUAUUGACAGGGACCUUAUGUGCAUAUGAUGACGCAAACCUCAGAAGAUGGUACAUUGCUUUCGGAUCUCUAAUAUUAACAGGGGCAAAGCAAAAAUUGAAACGAUCUUCCAGAGAUAGCCCUUGGACCUUCUCUAACAUAUUUGCAAUUUUCUUUAUAUGGUGAUGGUGGCACAGAAAGUAAGACCCAUCUAACCUGCAAUUUUCGGCAAACUUUUCAAGUAGCUGUGCAAAAGUAACAUCUGGAAAUUGGCCAGCAAAUAGCUCGACCUGUUCAAAGAAAGGAAAGAGACCAACUUUCUUAACUUCGUCAAAUGGCUUCUUCAAGCACUCAAUCAAGUAGUCCAAAUCUUCAAGGUGCAAAGUGGUAGUUAGACCCUCAGGGUAGCGACUCCCUCUUCGGCCAGCUCUUCCAGCAAUCUGCUUCACCUGGGAAGCUGGAACUGGAACAGUCUUAUCACCAUUGUACUUUGAGAGACUAUAGAACACAACCCUUCUAAUAUGAAGAUUCAAACCCAUUCCCACAGCAUCACUUGCGACCAAGAUGUCAUAUUCAUUAUUGUCAUCAUUAAACAAGUUGGCUUGCUGUCUACGGGUCUCUGGUGGCAGCGCACCAUAUAUGACACAGCAACGGUGUUUUGUGUACUUCUCAAUUGCUAAUUUCACUUCAAAAAUCUCUCUCCUGGAAAAUGCAACAAUACAAUCCCCAGAUUUCACAUUUUUCAAGUCUCCCAAAAGGGUCUUCGCCUCAACAACCAGUGGCUUAAACCUGUCAUAACGUUGUUCAACCAACUCAUCCCCAGUCUCAGAGCAAAUCUUUCUAACAAUGUUUAAAACACUUGGAUCGCCACAUAAAUGUAUCUCAUCAGCCUUCAAUCCAAGCAAAGCCCUCGUCCAUGCAUCACCUCUAGAUGGAUCUGCCAUCAUUUGUAUCUCAUCAAUCACGGCCACCUCAUACAACUCAUCAACCGACACCAUCUCAACAGUACAAGCAACAUGAUUUGAAAAUGGGACAUAUUUUUUCUCUUGCCCAGUUAAGAGACUACAGUAAACCCCUAAUGCAUUCACCUUAUCAAAAACUUCCAUAGCCAACAACCUGAGAGGACUGCAAUAAAUACCCUUUUUUGCUUCCAUAAACCUCUGCAAAGCAUUAUACGUUUUCCCACUAUUAGUCGGACCACAGUGAUAUACAAUUUUCCUUUUCAUUGCCCUAGCAAAUGGAAACCAAGUAUGAGGCUUCGUCAAAUCAGCUGAUUCAACCAUACUCCUGAACCUCUUAAUUUCAUCAGGAAACUCUUCUAAACAAAACUCAACAAAAAUUGGAAACAAAAACUUCUCAGCCUCAAUACCAGGGGCAAGGAAAACCAAGUACUUCACUAUAUCAAUCUUGCACUUCUUAAAAAAAAAAUUACGAAAUUUAUGGGCGGCUGUAGGAAAAAAAGAUGCACCAAUGUACACAGCUAAAGCCUGGUUAGAAGCCCAACCAGAUUUUGCAAAACCUCUGAAAACCUCAAUUAACAGAUCCCAAUCACUCCUACUCUGCUUAUCACUUUUAGAAGCAUCUCUAAGCUCUUUAUAAAUUUCUACCGGAUCCCGGCUAGCUAUCUGAGCAAAGUUCAAUCUUUUCUCAGGCUCUAAAUUCUCAUUUCCAGGUCCAUUUUCAUCCAAACCUAUAUCACUAAUACUAUCUACUUCUGUAACUUCUGAUUCAAGAGCAGGUGCAGAAUUCAAAUUUGGGGUUCCAUUUUCUACUAAUGUCGAGAAAGGGUGUCUUUGGAAAUUUAAACACCUAUAAUUAAGUGAUUGUGUAAAGUGGGAUGGGGAGAAUUGAGGUGGGAUACAGAAUUUUGAAUCAGGAGUGAGGAAAGGAUGGGAAUUUGAUGGGUUUGGGGAAUCAGCCCGAUGGAAUCUAUUGGGAAGAAGAAAAGCUCUCACCUUGGUGAAAUUGUCUCUAGAGGAAUACAGAUAAAGGAGGUUCCUUGCAGGGCCUCUUGCCAUUACCGGGAAAAAAGAUAAAGAGUGGUAGAAAGAAAGAAAUAAUGCGAUAACUUACAUAGAAGUUAAAGUCAGAGUUUUUUUUUUUUUUCAAUUAGAUAGGAAGAAAAAAUGUACCUGGUCGGGCGGGGGUGAGAGAACAGGAGAAAAUGGAGGGGAAAGCGAGAAAUGGUGGUUUAUUGUCCAAGUUCUAAAACCCUAAACCCAGCGGGUGGGAGACAAACAGAGCAGUGGGUGGAGCUUGUGAGUCUGAAUUUUUUUUUUCCCUUAACAACUAGCUUGAUUGCAUUUUUCUGGAUUUUUUAAGAAAAAUUACUAUAGCAAUUUAAUAUAUGUAAAGUAAAAAAGUGAGUGAAAAAUGUAUUCAUGAAAAACGUAAUAAUUUUUCAAUUAUCCAAACAAGGCCGCGCAAGAAUAUUUUGAAGAAAAAAAAUUUUUUUUGCAGACCUAUGAAUUCACCCAUCAACUGUACUCAAACCUUCACUUUAGUCCUUCAAUCUCAAAUUGGACACUUCAAUCCUCAAACUAUAAAACUGACUUCAACAAAAUUCAUCGACGGAAGUCUGACAUAUCUUAAACUUAAGUUGAACAAAAUUUAUAUUUUAUGGAUUAAAAUAAGAUAAGGUUUUUAAUUUAGGGACUAAAGUAAAAUAAAUUUUAUUAUUUUUAGAGUUAAAAGUGAAUAGAUUUAUACUUUAAAACUAAAAUGUACGAUUUUAAAUUUUAAAUGUUAAAGUAAGAGUUCGAGUAUCAAUUGAUUCAAAGUGGAACAACCCUUCAACUAUACUUACUUCUUGUUGUUGUAAGAAUAGCACUAACAAUUUUGAUUUAAAAAGUUACAAGUUGUUUAUCUAAUCUCCUAUGUAUGUAUAUACUGAACAACUUUUGUAGUACUAAUUUUCAUGACUUUUUUUUUUUGGGUGACAAAGCCCUAGUAAUCACACAACUAGAAGUAUUGCCAAUGCAGUAAUUGUAUAGUUAAAAACAUUCGCAACAAGGUAAUCACACAAUUAGAAGCAUUGCUAACAAGAAUUAUUGUGCUAGAAGUCUUAUCUCGUGUUGGUACAACUUAUCCACAAAAUGUAUAUUUGAGCAUUGCUCCAACUUCAACUCCAGCUCCUGAUCAUGUUUACACGUAUACCAGUUUUAGCUUUUCUAUACUACUAAAAGAGUUGAUAAUAGUGCAAAACUACAACCCAAUUACUUCUAAGGAACGGUCAUUGUGAUUAAUGAGAUGUCGAAGAGAGUUAAUGUUCCUUAAUGUUGUAUUCAAACGCUCUGAAAAUUGUCAUAAAAAAUUGUGUUUGGAGGUGAAAGUCAAUGUCUCGAACUCUCAAUUCAUGUUAAAGAUCAUGUAGUCUAGUGGUGUAAUCUGAAGGUGAAGUGCACUAAUGGUGAAAUGUUGGGUUAAAUGCACAAAAGGUUGGGAUGGAGCGCUAAAACAGGUUUAAACCUUUUAGAAUGGUAAUACUAGUGUUAAAUUUUGAUGUUUCAGUAGAUCAAUCAAAUUUAGCACUUAGAUUCAUCAAUUUUAAUGGUAGAAAUAGAUUUGAUGAAAAUUUGACACUCUCUUAUUAUUGAGGAACCAAUUUGAGAUUUAAAAUAUAUAAAAGGCCAAAACUAGAUAUUUGAAAUAGAUUAUGAGCUCUUUAAGUCGUUUACCUAUUAUUUUCAUUCGUCCAAUUAUUGAAAAACACCAAGUGUGCUAAACGAAAUUAUGAGAAACUUGAGGGUAAAAUUUUUAAAUAACCCUCUCAACCCUCCAUUUCCUCGGCGAAACAGUAGUAUAAGAGCAAGAAUAAAAACACACAGGAUCCUCAGUGCACUUUUUCAGUGGCAAUUCAGUGUCACUUCUAUAUUUAUGCCAAAUGUCUUGUUUAUUUAAUUUGUCAUGUGCUAUUUAUUUAAAUUUUUUCUACCAUCACGUGAUAAGUGGGAUUGGCACUAGAUUUGGCACCGAAUAGUAGCAUAGAGGAUCCUAACUGGAAUAAAAAUCAGUCGCAUACCAGAGACAUAAGCAGCUUGAAGGGACGCGAGAGCGUUUCGGCAACCUCGUCUUGCGCUGCUCGGAAUGUUCCAUGGUACUAAGAUCUCACCCCCGAAGUCUGUUCAUUUUUUUUAGAACUAAUUUUCUUAAUCUGCUUUUAGGAAAGUACCUUAACCUUUUGAUUGAUCAGAACCUUCAUUUGUUUUUUAGAACUUGUUUAUUCUGUCAAAAAUUUGUCUUUCCUUACGGUUCUUAUGUUGUUUCUGUUGAUCUUGUUGUGUAUUUUCUUCUCGAUUUUUUCAUCUUUUUUAUUCCUCUAGAAACUUUUGUCGUGGGCUUCUUGCCUUGAUACAUCUUCCAAGGUAAUAGCCUUUGGCUUUCCUGAUCGUGUUCUUACUCGCAUACACAAUGUAGCUCAAUCUUUAUGUGGAAUCCGGCUAUUGAAUGUCUUCAUGCCUGCCCAUCAUCUUUUGAUGCUUUGUUUUGUGAUGUUUACUAUUAAUUAUUAGUUGAUAUUGAGAUGUUUAGCUUAUGAUUGUCUAGAAGUAGUUUGCUUUGAUUUCUGUGUGCAAAUUUGACACCUUUCCACAGAUUCUUCUUAUAUUCAUAUUAUUAGGGGACAAAUCAUCGAUCCUAAAUGUGAGGGAUUGCUGCUGAAGAAGCGAUCCUCUGAUCGAAGUGGUAGUUUUCUAAUCCUUCUUUGACCUGGAGAAAAACAUGGGUAAAUUCCAGCUUCUGACUGACUUUGCUGGAUUUUUUUGAGAAAUUUUUUGAUUAGUUGGUUUUGGCAUUGCAUGCAUAAAUGGCCAUAUACACUUUUGUCUUAAUCAAUUUUGUAUAGGACAUGAUGCUGCUGCUGCUAAUGGUGAUGGUAUUUCUAUUGCUUCUAAGCGCGGAGUUGAUGGGGGUUGUAAAGAUAGGAGUAAUUCAACACUACUAAAUUAUGAUGCUUAGUGUUCAUAUGGACAGCAGAAUGAGGAAGUCACUAGAAGGAACUGUGAAGAUGGUGACAAUUCAGGAAGCCCUUCAGCAUGUAUUGAUCCCCAGCAUGAGGUCAGUGGACAUUGUACACAUUCAAAGAGGAUGAGAUUGGCUGACAAUGAAGUUCACAUCGGUUCAAUCUGUCAGGUACCGGUGAAAAAAGCCUGAUUAAAUUUAAGUGGGGAUGGCCGUUCUGCAAGAAGGUGUAGCACUUUCAACUUUACAGAGAGACAUGCUGCAGGUUUGUCCUGCCACUGAAUUGAUUUCUCCAGAUUGUUACUGAGUGGCCUUUUUGCACUUCAGACAGAGAAUUGAAAUACACCAACUACACACACAUAUAACAAUAAUGAAUAUUUAAGUGAUACAUGAUGUAUGAAUCUAUGCUACUUGAGAAAUAUUGUGUUUAUUCUUUCCUCUUUGUUUGGAUGGCAUUUUUCUGAACUUUUUGUAGAAAAAUUACUGUAGCGAUUUGAUAUAUGUGGGGUAAAAAGGUGAUUGAAAAAUGUAUUCACAGAAAACGUAGCAAUUUUUCUUUGGAAAAUUGCAAUCCACCACUUCCAUCACUGAAUCUUGUAGCCAAGACUAAAAUGUAACAUUAUUUUUUCCUAUUCAUGAGAUCAACCAAUUUUUCAUAAUAAUUGGUCCAUAGAAAUCGCCCUGUACUGGACUCUUAGUUAGGGUUAUCACAUAGAUUGGCUGUUUGAUUUUUGUCAUACAAUUUAGACGUCCUUAUAAGGUGAUCUGACAUGUUCUGAAGAUCCAGUAAUCCUCUUUCUAUUCCUGUAUAAAGAAUUAUCUGAUCUGUUGUAGACUUGUGUUUGUGUUGCUUAGACAAACUAGACUGGUUUUCCUAUCACCUGCAAGUCCAGCUGUAAUUAGAUGUUUUUCUUUUUGUAUCUUGUUGGUUUUUUAUGACGUGGGAAUGCAAGUAUUGGUGACCUGCUAUUUGAUUUUUCUGUUACUUAUUUUGAUUCGGUGUAAAAAAAUCAAUUCUUUUACAUUGGUGUGACUUUUAAUUUCUUCAACAGAACAUGUCAGAUGACUAGAAAACUUGUGGAAUGUUCUAAAUAUGACAUUCUUAGAGAAAGUAACAAGCUAUUCCUUUGUUUUUUUAUUCAAGUCUUUGAAGUUCUUUUCUGGGAGUAAUCUUGACACAUUAUUCUCUAAUGCAUGUUAUGUGAUAUUGUGGCUGCAUAGGGUAGUUUCUAGUUGCAUCUGCCUGGUGCUCUUUACUGCACAUGUUUCUUCGUCUUUCGCUGUAUUUAUUGUUGGCUUAAUGGGCGUCAUUUUUAAUGUAAUAUACGUAAUAGAUACCAUAAGGCCAUUGCAAUCUUUUACUAUGCAUUAUUGCUUCCAUCUCAUGAGAUCAAUUUGUUAUCUCUAAGUGUAUUAUUCCUUUAUUAUCUUGCCUUUGAGGUUCCAUGAGCUGAAUUUCAUCUUGACUAGCAAUCAAUCAUCUGGGCAAAUUCAUCGUUUCCACAUUUUACCUUUUUUCUUGACCAAUCUUAGAUUGUGUUAAUGAUUACCUAUGUGUAGGUGAUGCUGUUGAUGGUAUUGCAUCUAACACUGGAGUUGGUGAUGGUUGUGAAAAUGGGAGCAAAUAUUUAAAACCAAAUUAUGAAGCGUGUUCACAUCCUCCAGGGAAGAAUAAGUAGCUCAAUGUUUUGGCAAGCAUCUCUGAAGAAGUUGGUGAUGACCGUACUACUACUGCAGGAAGCAGCUUAACUGCUGAGGUUAUUGAUCCUGCUCAAGACGCUGCUUUUUGGCAGCAUGAAUUUUCUGGCCUGUUUAGGUGUUCAAAAAAUAUGAGAUUGGCAGAUGACGACAUUGAAGUUGGCAUCCCUUCUGUUCCUCAAGUAUUGGAGCAAUCUGCUUCUGGUCUUUGUUCCAUACCCUUCUUCUAUCCUGGAAAGCUCAUGCUUUCUCCAUAUUGUUGCUAUUAAUUUGGCUACUUACUGCAGACAUAUAAUAUAAUAGUUAAAAUACACAAGUAGGGAAAAGCACGAACCCAUAGUCUUCUUCUUCUUCUUCCUUUUUGGUGGGGGUUAAGUUCUUUUUGAAAUAGUUAACACUAUGAGGUUAAUGAUCAAUUUUUGUGGUUUGGACAAGAAGAAAUAUACCUCCUAUUUUUGGUCUGACUUGUUAAUGAUCAAAUGCCAUAGGCAUAUCAGGAGAUAAUUUUGUAUACCAAAUGUGUUGCUUCAUGUCUCCUUCUAGGUUUAUAUUAGUUUCUUCUGUAGAUGUUUAUUUGAGACCUCUAGGGCACUUCUAGAAGCCUAGAGGAUUUGAGGCUAGUCUUUCUGGGUUCACAAGGAGGGUUUGCUUGAUUUGAUUAUCAAAUCGUGCAACAAGGUCCCAUAGAAGCCUAAAGAUUUCAUUAUUUGAAUAUUUGCGUAAUAUCAAGGUCUAGAAGUGGUGAUUACUGUAGAUCUCAGUAAGGGACUUUGAUAUUUCCUCUGCGUCUCUGAUUUUUAUUUAUUCAUGUGCAUUUUUCCUUAUCUAAUAGAACAUCCUUUUAUCUAUUCUUUUUGUGUUAUCUGGUUGUUGUUUCUUUUGGUUACUUAAUUGUAUUUGGUCUUUGGCCUAGUUAUCACGUGGCCUGCACUUUGCAUAUUGCCUUACUACCUUGUCUCUGUAGUGUAUUUUGAUUGGAUUAUUGUGCUACUUAUUUGUUUUUCUAGGCUAAAUCUUUUCUGAACUAGUUAGCUUACAAAAAUUAUUGAUUGACACAUGCCUGUCAACUUAUGAAUUGCUUAGAUCUUCCCGAAAGGUUGUACCUAAUGAGUGCUUGCUGGUAAACAACUUAAUAAUUUGGGGUUUCCUUUUUUUUUUUUGUUUUUGUUGGGAGGGGGGAGACAUAUUUCUUUCCAUUCAUAGAUUGACCAAUUUUUCCUAAUAAUUGGUCCAAACUUAUUGCACCAUAUUUAUCUUGUGGUAAAGAUUGCGUGAUAGAAGGCAUUUGAGACAAGUAGGUCUGGCAGUUUGGUUUCUUAUACCAUCUGGAUCCCUGAUGGGGUGGUUAUCUUGUUUCCAGCUUGGAAUUUACUUUAAGCCACAGAUAAAACGGUCUUCUGUUUGUAUCUGGUUGGUUUUGGUGAUGGCAGAAGAGCUAUCAAUUUGGUGACCCGUAGGAUAGGAUAAUUUUAUUUGUAUCUGCCUCUUCUUCCUUGCUGCACAUGUUUCAUCUCCUUUCUCUCUAAUUUAUUUAUUUUCUUUUUGCUUUUUCCCAUUUUGAUGAGUGUGACUUUGUAGGUUGAGUACGUAUCUACUCUAGGGCCAUUGUACGUUUCUUCUUUUUUUUUCUAUGUUUUUCUCUAAUGAUAUCAACUUGAUACAUCUACUUAAGUGUUUAUGUUUGGUAUAAAGUGAGAUUUAUUUUCAAGACACUAUCAGCAGAAGUUUUUGUUGAAACUACUGUCAAAAAGAAAAAAAUAAAAUUUCCAUUUUUUUAACCUUUGGGUAUUGUUUUACAUAGUAUUUAAUGUGUUAUAUUACUCUUGGCAUGACAAUAACCAAUCUAACUUUCUCAAUAUAAUGUAAUCCUUAUGUUUUAAAAUUUUAUGAAAUCCAGCUCAUGGUAAUGAAUCCGACAACAAGACAAGCAAUCACAACAUGUUCAAUCAGAUGUGCAGUCGUCAGAGUUCACUUAAGAUGAUGAAUGAAGUUGUGACCAGCAACUUUGAUGUUGGCAGUAGUUCAGGAACCUCAAAUUCAGUAAUAAACGGUUUACAUAACGGGGCAGCGUAGGUGGAUACUGGCUCUAUGGAUGAACAGAGUUCUCAUGUUCAAGAAACUAAAUUGGGUUAGUCUUUUUGUCCAGUUUGCCUAUCCUCCAUGAUUUGGUUAAUGGAUGGAAGCAUGUGGAUGGCUAGCUUUUUUUGAGUACUUAUGUUCUGGGGAGCUGAUUAGAAAUUUUUUUUUUUCUUUAAGGUGACUGUGCAAAUGAACAGCAGACUUUGAAGUCGCAAAACUUGGUGGAAGGCUCAGAUUAUCAAGGGUAUGGAAAUAGAGACAAUGCUACUAUCUUAGAGGUACCGAUGACCUCCACAAUUGUUUGUGAUUGUCUGUCUAACUUCUAAGAAGCUUGUGGCAGAAAAUAUUGAAUUAGGGGAAGGAGAUAUUCCAUCCAGCCUUUGAUUUCAGCUUUUUUCUCUUACUCAACUAGUCAUAUUGCUGUAAGGCUAUAAUAAUACUUGAAAAAAAAAAUUUAACUAUUUUUUCAAACAGGAUGUAUCGGAAGAUUCUUAUACUGUUAUACUUCCUGUUACUCCCAUAACCUAUGCCAUAGCUGAGCGAAAAGCUUUUCGGGCCAAGGCUCGUGGUGGCAAUUGUGAUCGCUCGUCGGAUGAGGUAAUGAAAUGCUAUUAAAUAUCAUUUGAAUUGUCGUGUUCUAUAAUUGAUAAGAGUAUAUUUUACGUAUUUUUAGUGUUCUUUAUUAGUUAGUUUUGGUGUGUUUUAUUUAAUUUUAUAAAUAAUUAACUAAGAUUCUAGUGAAAAUAUGCAUUUUGUGGUUUAAAGUAUGAAAAUUACAUUUCUAUGGAUUUUUAUGAUAAAAAUUUCAUAUUUUACAGGUUUAUUGAUUCAAUCAUCAAAUGGAGUGCAUUGAGAAUAUAAUUUGAUGAUUGAUGAUGGAUUAAAGUGAUAAAAAUAGAAUAUGAAGUGUGAAAGAAGAAAUGCAAUUAAAGUCAAAAGGAAGCAAGAUGUUCAGUUUUGACACAUUUUUGUAUUUUGGCUAUAUCUUGAGCUACAUACAUUGGAUUGAGAUGAUUCUUGAACCAUUUUUUAAGCUAAGAGACAGAUCUACAUUUGGUAUGAGACAUCAAAGUCCAAUUCAGCUGUUUUCCUGGUCAAAAUGUCAAAAUACAGAAGUAAAAAUCUGCUGCUGAGAGCUGAAAACGCCGAAUUGACCAGUCAGUGAUAUUUUUAUCAUAUCUUGGUCUUCAGAAUCCAAAUUGGAUGAUUCUUGAAGCAUUGGACAGCUAUUUCAAAGGACUACAAUUUCUAUGUUUUGCACAAGAGCCAAUUCAGCCAUCAUCAUAGAGAAAAUAGCAGUUGAAGUAGUCAGAUUUUGGUCAGAAAUAGCUGUUCUCCACUGGUAUAGCCUGUUUUUUCCUUCAAUAAUUCACAGCUAUGGAUGAACGUAUGACAACCAAUUAACAGCUGUAAAAAGGAUGUUUCAAGCCUCAUUUUUUGACUGCAUUCAUCUAUAUAUAACCAUGGACUUGCAAGAUUCAAUAUAACUUGGGAGAAGGCUAGAGAAACCCACCAGAAAUGUAGUUUUCACUAGAGUUUUCUUGGUUCAUUAGUAUAGUAUAGGUAGAGUAGUUUAUCCAUCUUAUAUUUGUAGUUAGAUUUGGAUGAAGAUUGGAGGAGUAAAGAUGAAGAGGUUGAUCUCAUGUGACAAGGGUGAUAUCUCUUCUACUAUUUUCUCUCUUGUAUUGGAUUUCAUGUUUAAUUAUAAUACAAGUUGGCUUUGUGUUUUUAUUAUGUUUAGUUAAAAUUUAUGUCUAGAGUUAUGGUUGAACUUGCUAUAUUUUGUUUGUAAUGUUUACUUGGCUACUUGGUGAUAUUAUUUUGAGCAAGUUAUUUAUCACUUUUGGUUAUCUAAUCAUGAUUAAUUGACCAUUAAUUAUGAUAAUCUUAAGGUGUUAAGUUUGCAAUAAAAAUUGAAAUUUAACAAUAGUUCAAAGAAGUGAUAAGCGUAGGGAAUACACUCACGAAAGUAGAGGUGCACCUAUAUGGCUUAAGUGACUUGUUUCAUGUAAUUUCGUAGAAGAAAUGAACUUGUAGUUAAUUUCAUAACCACGAGAGUAGGUAUGGCUUAAUUACAAGUAUAGUUGAUUCACUACGUAAGUAGGUUUCACAUACAUUAGGAAAUUACUCCAUAACUAGUUAAGAUAAUAGUAUUUAGUUAACCGGUAAUCUCAUUUGCAAGAGUAGUAAGGAAUUCCAUAUCUCUAAGAGUUUUUUAGUGUUAUUUUCAUAAAUUUUAUAUUUGUGGUAGUCUAAAUAAUAAAGGAGUUUGAAAAAAUCGGUAAUUGCAUUCUUCCUUGUGGGAUCGACCCUUAAUACCCUAUACUCGCUCACGAUUCGUAUACUUGCGAUAAAUCGCGUGUGGGGUAUUUAGAAAUUUAUAAAUGUAAAACUUGAUUGGGAUGAGUUUAAUAUUAUAUGUAUACCCCGCGCACGUCAAGUUUUUGGCGCCGUUGCCGGGGAAGAUUUGGCAAUAUCGGUGUGAAGAGCAAAUUUAUUAGUUUAAACAUUUCAUUAGUUAUAGUGUGAAUGUUAUUUUAUGUUAUUUUUGUGUUUUAUGUGUGUAUGUGUUUCAUUACCUAUUUUUCUUACUAAUUUUACUUUUGAGGUUGUUUAAAAGUAAUUUAAGGUGAUGAGAGGAGUAGGUCAAUUUGGAGGACAAUGCUUGAGAAAUGAAAGUUUGGCAAUGGAUGGUUACCAAGUGCAAAACUCCUUCAACAGAGGUAACCAAGAAUUUACUGAAUGUAUGUCUUUUGAAGAUGGUUUAAGGUGCUUAAAGACUAAAUUUGAUGUUAUGAUGUUACAAGUUCAAAUGGAUACAAUUAUGCAUGAAAUUGAGCAAGGGAGGAAGGUUAAUACUUUUAAUUCUUAUCAUGGGAUUUGUGACUUGUGUGGAGGUUAUCAUGCUUCCAAUACAUGUAGACAGGUACAAAAUGUGGAUUAUUAUGAUGAAUUAGAGCAUUACAAUCCUUGUUUUGAUCGAUAUAAUGCUAAUUGGAGCAAUUCUCCUGCUUAUGGUUGGGAUGAUCAAUGUACUUAUAGUGAUUAUUCAUAUUUUUAUGAUUACCAACCUGCAAGUGUCCAAUAUGAAUCAAAACCAUCUUGGGAGUUGGCAAUAGAGAAGUUAGCUAAUACACCUCUACCUUGGGAGUUAGAAAGUGAAACAUUAGCUAAUGAUUCUAAUGCAUCUUGGGAGCUAGUUGUAGAAAAUUUUUCUAAUCAAUUUGAUUCAGCAAUAGAAAAGCUAGCAAAUGUAACUUUCGACCGUUUUGAUAAGAUUGAGGAAAGAAUAGAUGAAUUAACUUCUCAAUUUGGUAGAAUACAUGAGCAAUUGAGUGCAUUGAGUGAAUUUAUUUCCUCUAAUAAUGUGCAAAAUGACCCUAUUAUGAAUGGUGGGAAUGUUGUAAGUGAAAAUGGAUUAUAUUUUGAUCAAAAUUAUGAAUCCAAUUUGUGUUUCAAUGAGGAAAUGUCCAUUUCACAAGAUAGUACUUUUGGAGCUAAUAUUGAAUCUCAAGAGGUGAGCCUUAACGAUUCAUUUUUCACCCCUCUUGAGGAAUGUGUUGAUUGUAUAGGUUCUAAAGGUAUUAUAGCCCAAGAAAGCUAUGUAGAUGUUCCUUUGGUGAGUACUCAAGUGGUGCAUAUUCAAUGUAAUAUUUAUGACUCACUCGAGAUAGGUAAGCUUCUUCCACCUCUCAUAUCAUUUGAACAUGUGGCUUUUGCUAUUAAGCCAUCUUUUAAUGAUCCACCACGACCAAAAUUGGUGGAUUAUUCAUUAACAAAGCCUCCUUGAGAAAUGAGGUGCAAAAGUUGAGCCAACGACUAUAAACAAAAGCGCUUAUUGGGAGACAACCCAAUGUUUUAGCUAUUUAUGCUAUUUUGGGGUGAUUUUAUGUUUAAAGUAUGAGUUUGAGUUAUUUUGUUAUUUUUUAUUUGCAGGUAUCGGAAAUGGAAGCAAAAGUGACCAAAUGAGAUUAAUAUUACUAAUGGUUAUCAAAUGGAACUCAUGAAGCAUGGGAGGAAAAUGGACAAUGUAUCUUGAAGCUUCAUAUUCAAUUACAACAAUAGGGGAGUAUUAUUUUCUUUAUCUUGAUUUUUCUUUUUACACAUUGAGGACAAUGUGCAUGUUAAGUGUGGGGGGAAGAAUUGAGAUUAUAUACAUUGUAUGUGAUUGACUUGUUGGUUGCAAAUAUUGGACUUGUGUUUAAAUUCAAAAUUUUUUCAAAAUCUUGUCCAAAUUUACGAAUUUGCCCCAAAAAGUUUCAAUUUUUUUAAUUUUAUCCAAAGGGCUUACAAGUUUCAUACCAUUAGUAGUUCAAAUUCCUUCUACGUUUGAGAUAAAUAUAUGUGAUUUGGAAACUUCUUUUCUCAUUUAAUUUGGAAAUGACUAUUAUGUGAUUAUAAUUUGUGUACUUAUAGGAAAAUAUAUCUUGUAAAGUGGAGAAAAUUAUGCCUAUUUUUUUUGCAUAUUUAUUGACAUUUCUUCUCUUUAUUGGAUUUUAUAAGUUAAGUGAUAAAUAUGGUUAAUAAGUGCAAUACUCUUCUCAUGAUUAUUCUUUUGAGAAAAUUAUUAUUAUGUUUGCUAUUAAAAAAAAGAAAAAAAGAAAAAAAGAUUUGUUCUACUCCAAUUAUUCUUGUACUUAGUAACCGGGAGUUUUCAUCUACAAAAGUCGACUUUCGCGUAAAACGGUAUUCGAAUUAAGAGUAUGCAAAGCAAUUUGAGUAUGUGAAGUGUUGAGUAACCGGUGAUUUUCAUCUAAAAAUGUCGAUCCUCGCGUCAAAAGACACUUUCACAACUUAAGUAAUAUUUAACUAUACUAUAUGAAUAAAUCCCUCUUUAAAUUGGAAUAAGAAGAUGAUCAUGAGUUUAGGAAGCAUUUUAUUGACCAUAUGAGUUACUUACUUGUAAGAUUGAGUAAGGAUGAAAAAUUGAUUUGAAUUUGUUAUAAUGACGGUAUAAUUGGCUCUCCUUUACUUGAUAUUAUGAGUACUUGAGAUUAAUUGAAUAAUUGCAUAAUGGUUGUUUAUCUUGUUUUUGAGAAAAUAAAGUGAAAUGGUGCACAUAUGUUUAUUUUCAAAAAUUGAAUCAUUGUUGGUUUGUAUUUUUUAUUGCUUGAGGACAAGCAAUGGUUCAAGUGUGGGGGUAUUCGAUAAGAGUAUAUUUUACGUAUUUUUAGUGUGCUUUAUUAGUUAGUUUUGGUGUGUUUACUUAAUUUUAUAAAUAAUUAACUAAGAUUCUAGUGAAAAUAUGCAUUUUGUGGUUUAAAGUAUGAAAAUUGCAUUUCUAUGAAUUUUUAUGAUAAAAAUUUCAUAUUUUAAAGGUUUAUUGAUUCAAUCAUCAAAUGGAGUGCAUGGAGAAUAAUUUGAUGAUUGAUGAUGGAUUAAAGUGAUAAAAAUAGAAUAUGAAGUGUGAAAGAAGAAAUGCAAUUAAAGUCAAAAGGAAGCAAGAUAUUCAGCUUUGACACAUUUUUAUAUUUUGGCUAUAUCUUGAGUUAAAUACAUUAGAUUGAGAUGAUUCUUGAACCAUUUUUGAAGCUAAGAGACAGAUCUACAUUUUGUAUGAAGACAUCAAAGUCCAAUUCAGCUGUUUUCCUGGUCAAAAUGUCGAAAUACAGAAGUAAAAGUCUGCUGCUGAGAGCUGAAAACGUGGAAUUGACCAGUCAGUGAUAUUUUUAUCAUAUCUUGGUCUUCAGAACUCCAAAUUGGAUGAUUCUUGAAGCAUUGGACAGCUAUUUCAAAGGACUACAACUUCUAUGUUUUGCACAAGAGCCAAUUCAGCCAUCAUCAUAGAGAAAAUAGCAGUUGAAGUAGUCAGAUUUUGGUCAGAAAUAGCUGCUCUCCACUGGUAUAGCCUGUUUUUUCCUUCAAUAAUUCACAGCUAUGGAUGAACGAAUGACAACCAAUUAACAGCUGUAAAAAGGAUGUUUCAAGCCUCAUUUUUUGACUGCAUUCAUCUAUAUAUAACCAUGGACUUGCAAGAUUCAAUGUAACUUGGGAGAAGGCUAGAGAAACUCACCAGAAAUGUAGUUUUCACUAGAGUUUUCUUGGUUCAUUAGUAUAGUAUAGGUAGAGUAGUUUAUCCAUCUUAUAUUUGUAGUUAGAUUUGGAUGAAGAUUGGAGGAGUAAAGAUAAAGAGGUUGAUCUCAUGUGACAAGGGUGAUAUCUCUUAUACUAUUUUCUCUCUUGUAUUGGAUUUCAUGUUUAAUUAUAAUACAAGUUGGCUUUGUGUUUUUAUUAUGUUUAGUUAAAAUUUAUGUCUAGAGUUAUGGUUGAACUUGCUAUAUUUUGUUUGUGAUGUUUACUUGGCUACUUGGUGAUAUUAUUUUGAGCAAGUUAUUUAUCACUUUUGGUUAUCUAAUCAUGAUUAAUUGGCCAUUAAUUAUGAUAAUCUUAAGGUGUUAAGUUUGCAAUGAAAAUUGAAAUUUAACACUAGUUCAAAGAAGUGAUAAGCGUAGGGAAUACACUCACAAAAGUAGAGGUGCACCUAUGUGGCUUAAAUGACUUGUUUCAUGUAAUUUCGUAGAAAAAAUGAACUUGUAGUUAAUUUCAUAACCACGAGAGUAGGUAUGGCUUAAUUACAAAUAUAGUUGAUUCACUACGAAAGUAGAUUUCACAUACAUUAGGAAAUUACUCCAUAACUAGUCAAGAUAAUAGCAUUCACUUAACCGGUAAUCUCAUUUGCAAGAGUAGUAAGGAAUUCCAUAUCUCUAGGAGUUUUCUAGUGUUAUUUUCAUAAAUUUUAUAUUUGUGGUAGUCUUAAUAAUAAAGGAGUUUGAAAAAAUCGGUAAUUGCAUUCUUUCCUAUGGGAUCGACCCUUAGUACCCUAUACUCGCUCACGAUUCGUAUACUUGCGAUAAAUCGCGUGUGGGGUAUUUAGGAAUUUAUAAAUGUAAAACUUGAUUGGGAUGAGCUUAAUAUUAUAUGUAUACCCCGCGCAGGUCAAUAAUUGCUAGUGAGGUUUGCAAAGACAAAUACAAUUAGUCUAAUGGGCAGUGUGACAGGGAACAAUGAUGAGUGCAAUGGAGCGGUGGGAGAUUGAGAUAGAAAGAGCAGCUCUGUCGAAGGAAACUAUUAUGAAGCGAUUUGUUACCCGGAAUUAUGUUCCACCAUCUGCAGCUAUUGAUAACCUGGAGCCAUCGUCCGGCUUGGAUUACAGUGAACAAAUUUGCGGUAUCUGCAUGGUGUGUAACUAAUUUAUCCGACAGCCUUUAACAUCUGCUACUUUUGAUUGCAUAUUAUCUAAUUCGGUCAUAUUUGGAAACCUGGCAGGCUAGGUAUGAGAACCAAGACGAGAUUGGGGUUCUCUAUUAUUGCCCCCACGAGUUUCAUGCAGACUGCUUGAAAGCAUGGCUUCGGAGGCAAAAUACUUGCCCUAUUUGUAGAGGCUUAGCUUUAGUACUAGCACAUAUUCCAUAUUGGAAUCAAAAUGUGGACGUUCACCGAGCAUUUUUCCUGCCUCCAGCUAAAGCUGUUAAGCUUUUCCCAUUUUUUAAAAACUUCGUGAAAUAAUAGGUUAAGUGAAUGCUAAUUUACUAGUACCAUCUACUAUCCUUUUUUUAUUAGUAGUAUUUUUUGUAAGCUCAUUGGGAAGAAAGAUGAUAGAAUUGGCUCCAAUUAUAUUAGUAUUAUUAUUUUUGUAACUUGCUGACUUUCGAGUUUUAAGUGUGUCAAAAGAGUUAUGAUUGAGUUAGGUCUCAAGGAUGGCCUUUGUUACAUUUGAUGGUGUGUUUGCGCUGAAAUUACAGACUUGAAAUUACAUACUUGGAGAUGUAUGCAAUACUUAGUCAAAUUUAAUUUAUGUUAUCCUACUGUCACAUUCAGCUUUAUUACCUAAAAAUAAUGAUCACAUAUUUCCAUGCCUAAUAAAGGUAUUUUGGUUAUGUAUGUACAUUCCAAUUCGUUAUUGCAAAUAGGCAUCCUUUUGUUUCAUAAUACGGAGUUAACAUUCCUUCGCAAAAGAAAAUAAAUAAAUAAAACUAAGCAAUGAACGUACUUUUCGCUCUAUGGUACAACAUAUAACUUUUUCAUUCCAGGGCUUUUGAAAUUAUGACAAAAUACAACUUUUACUUGUAAAUGCUCCCUCCCUUUGUGGUAAAAUAUGAUACCUUACCACAAAGGGAGUAAAUAAAAUAGUAAGUGUAUUAAACAUCCAAUCAGUGGUAUGCCCAUUCCGCUUCCGCCUAUGUUGAUGUUGCCAAACCACCAAAAUAAUAUGUGCCUGAGAAGACUUUGAGGCAAGAAGUGAUUGCACCUAGUUUGGCCUUGCCAUCGCUCAAGACGUCACAAGUAGAUGCUGAUUCAUUUUCCUGUCUCUGUACUGUAGGCCAAAAGCAUUAUAUGUUUCCUCUUUAUCCACAGAAUCUAUUGGAGUCCUAAAAUUAUUAUUUGAUGUUUAUGUCUCUGAUUUUUGUUGAACAUCAUCAAUCUCAAACAGGGCCCAACUGUGCAAGUAAAUCAUUGUUUUUCUUCUACUUGGAUCCUCUUGCUCGCCAAACAAGGACGGGAAAAAGUUCUUCCAUUCACUGUGAUGAGCUGUAUCUAGAAAGACCCUUCAAGGGCUCUCUAUAUUUCGUAACAGGGGAGACGAUUGAUUUUCAAACCUUUUUCAUGUUCAAGUAAUUUAAAGCACCAUCAAAAAGUUAGCCAUGAUUGAUAAUCUAAGGUUUUUUUGGUAAAUCAGGUCUGAGAAAGCUUGUAGUCAUAGUCCAUAUAUUACUUCUUUUGCUGCAAGAUCUUGCAAUCGGAGCUAACGAAGUCUUGCACCUAAGGGGAACAUAUUUUGUUGGAGCAAAAUCUUAUGACGCAAAUUCAAAACAGGUUUUGAGGAUCAACUAUCCAUGUUACAGACGCAGGCACUUCUGUCACCAUAGAAGCUUGCAGCCACGGUAAUUAUAAGGUUAUCAUCAUUCUUAGGUCAAAUAUGCAUGAUCUUCAAUGGCUAAACUUCACAUUACAUUAUGAACGUUUCCGCAAUUAAUUCGUACUGCGUCUCAAGUAAGAUGAGGGUUCAAGUCCACUCUUAUGUACCAAAUUAAGAAGACUAGGAGUGCAUUAUUCUGCUAAAACAAAGUGUACAAUGUACAAUUAGUUAGGAUGAUGCACAAAGAAAGACUCGUACACAAGUCUGUUUCAACUCUAUUUUUCUCUUUAAAGGAAAAGCUAAUUACCCAGAGUAAGCCUCAAAAACAUCUAACUUUGAGCAAGUCGCAGACCAAAAGGCAGAAAAACUGCAGCUGAUACAACUAUUACAGUUAGGGUAUCAGGCCAAUUAUUUGAAAAGAAAAAGACCAACAAUUUAAUAGAAAAUAAUAUCUAGCAUGAACGAUGAGUAACACACAAGAAUUAACGUGGUUCGGUUUAAUCACCAAACCUAUGUCUACGAAGAGAAAAACUUGUUCUUAUUAUGAGAGAAAAACAGUACAAGAUUACAACUUGAUUCCCAAGCCCCAAUUCUUGUAUAACCCUCUCACCCAUUAAGAACUCUCUCACUCCUUUCUUGUGUAUUUUUGUAGUAUGCCAAUCUACCUAUUUAUAGAGAACAUUACUUGGCCAAAAAAUCAAAUAACAAUUGAAAUCCAAUACUAAUUCCUAGACUUAUACAGAAUAGGAAAUAACAUCUAAAUCCUAAAUCAAAUAGAAGUUUCGUUGACUACUACUUCAAAUAACUAAAUCCAAUCAGGAAACUAGAUACUUCCCACACUAAAUAGGGAUCUUGACUAAAAGAAAUUAAGCCAAUUUUCUAAUAAAUCUCCACAUUGGCGAAUAUUUCUUUUAGCAAACACAGCAAACCAUCCAAAAAACUCCAUUUGCCUUUUUUCACUAAAUACCUUGGUGCCUAACUAGGCACCGGAAUCAAGAUGGUUUUGUUUUCAAUUAAUUCAAUCGGCAAAUGAACGUGUGUAGCUAACCGAGUCCAACAUCUAGUUGACUCGCGAGAGGGGUCUCAAUUCACCCUCUUCCAUAACAGAACUUUUCCUCUCACUACCAUUUGUAAUUUGAGAGCAUUCCUGGAUCCUCUUCCACUUCCAAUCCAUUGUGGUAUUUAAAUGGUACAAAUUACCAUACUUUUUUCCCAUCAACAAGACCGUCUUGCCAUGUAUGAUUUUCAAGACUCCACCUGCAGCGGAAAAAUGGUAACCCUCGGAGUCUAUCUGACUCAAAGAAAUUAGAUUCCCUCGUAACUUUGAGACAUAAGCCACACCGCCCAAAGAAUGAAUCUCUUCAUUCAACAUUUUAAUUUUCACCACUCCAACACCUUUAACUUGACAAGUAGAUCCAUCACCCAAUGACAUAAAAUUUGACUUCUUUCUUUAGAGAGUGUCAAAAUAGUCUAAUCUGGAGCAAACAUGUGAAACACAUCCAGAAUCUAAAAUCCAACCAUCACGAGAAGAAGUAUUAUUACCUUUGGAGCUUGUGAGAAUAUCACCACUCGAUACAUAUCCAGCAACACCACUCGAUACAUAUCCAGCAACACCAUCAUAGUCAUUCUCAUCAUUUUUCUUUUGAUGAGGGCAAUAUCUUUUGAUAUGGUCAAACUCAUGACAACCAAAACACUGGACUCCACCCUUUCUUUUGGCCUUUGAACCGCCUGUCUUAGAUUCACCGUCAAGUUAUUUUUCUCUUUUAUUCUCACCUCGAGCAAUUAACGCAGCUUCUUGUGUCACAUCCUGGUUUACCUUCCUUUAUUUUUCAUGAUCCAACAAAGAAAACUACACAUUCUCGAACUCUAAAGUGUUCUUCCUAUACAACAGGGUCGUCACAACACUUUCGUAAGAAUCAGAGACUGAGGUAAGAAGUAAAAGAGCCUUAUCUUCUUCCUCAAUAUCCACGCUAACCUUUUGGAGUUGAUCCAAAAUUUCAUUAAACGUAUUUAUGUGAUCCAUGAGACUGCCACCCACCUCCAUCUUUAGUGCAUAAAGUUGCCGCUUUAGAUGCAACUUAUUGGAUAAGUUUUUAGCCAGAUAAAUUUUUUUCAAUUUUUUCCAAAGGUCUGCUGCAGAAUCUUUCUCAUCUAUCAGAUUAUUUGUGAUGUUGUCCGCCACAUAGAGUCGAAUCAUGCUCGCACACCUUGCGUCCAACUCCUCAAACUCAUCAUCCUUCAUGCUCUCUAGCUUCUUGUUCUUUCCAUUCAACGCUUUUGCCAAACCUUAUUUAACUAGAACAUCCUUCACUCUUCUUUGCCAAAGAGUGAAAUUUGUAAUUCCAUUAAACGGUUAAAUUAAAAACUGUAUAGUUCCAAAUCCCAUGGUAUACCACUACCCACUCAAUUUCAAAUAAUUAACUAAAAUUUCAACGGAGCUCUAAUACCACUUGUUAGGGUAUCAGACCAAUUAUUUGAAAAGGAAAAAAAUAACAAUUUAAUAGAAAAUAAUAUCUAGUAUGAACGAUGAGCAAUGCAUAAGAAUUAACGUGGUUCGGCUUAAUAACCAAGCCUACGUCCACGAAGAAAAAAUUUGUUCUUACUAUGAGAGAAAAAUAUCACAAAAUUAUAACUUGAUUUCCAAAUCCCAACUCUUAUAUAACCUUCUCACCUACUAAGAACUCUCUCACUCCUUUCUUGUGUAUCUUUGUAGUAUGCCAAUCUACCUAUUUAUAGAGAACAUUACUUAGUCAAAAAAUCAAAUAAUAAUUGGAACCCAAUACUAAUUUCUAGACUUAUACAGAAUAGAAAAUAACAUCUAAAUCCUAAAUCAAAUAGAAGUUUCGUUGACUACUAUUUCAAGUAACUAAAUUCAAUCAGGAAACUAGUUACUUUCCACACCAAAUAGGGAUCUUGACUAAAAGAAAUUAAGCCAAUUUCCUAACAAUUAUAAUUUUCUGUACCUUAAGGAGUAUUAAGCAGUCACCAUUUCCAGAUUCUGUCCAGCUAAUUAGCCUUCCUGCCUUUUCCUGCAAAGUGGAUGGGAAAAUGCUAUCAAGCUCUGUACUUCUCUAACUAGUAAUUGUAAGGAUCGAAAUCAACCAAUCGAAAAGUCAAUCGAUAAGCAAUUAAAAGAUCGCAAUAUAACAAUAAGUAAAUAAAAGGGAAAGAAUUGCAAACCAAUUAACUACCCAGCUCCUCUUGAGCUUGUAGAUUAAUUCAAAUAAGCUUCCUCAAAUUGAUGAAUUACAAUCACUCUUGCGUACAAAGGAAGGUUCACCUCCUCCUUGCCCCGAACACCACUCGGUCAAGUCAGGACGUUUUGCUAUCCCUCAGGACAACCCUCACAGAGCUACACUCAUGAAAGAUUCACUCACAAAUGAAAAGCUUACAAUGAACCUCACACCACUAAGACUACAAAUCUUUUUUGAUGAGUAUUUUUUCACUAAAAUCACUCUAGAUCCUUUGUAUCUUCAGUGUACAAAAGUUGUUUGAAGUAUCUGACCAACCACUAUUUAUAUAAGAUCAAGAAAGUGUCUCAUUAGUGCUUCCAACGGAUAGAAAGUAGCUGAAGAGUCAACUAGCCGUUGGAGUGUCGGACGUCCGAUAGCCCUGUUUUAUGCGUCCGACAGCAGGCAGUGAGUUUAAGAGAUUUUCUUCAAUUCUUUCGGACGUCCGAUGCAAGCUUUUUGUGCGUCCGACAGCAAACAAAGAGAUUUGAGAAAUUAUCUUGUUUCUAUCGGACGUCCGGUAAAAACAUAUUCAGCGUCCGAUAGAUUCGUCGACUUCGAAGGAUCCUAUUGGACGUCCGAAGCAUUCGUCCGAAGUUGUGCAAUGAUUAUCGGACGUCCGGUACUGUCUUCUUGAGCGUCCGACAGGUUCAACAUACUCUGUCUUUUUCAAAUGUGCUUAAUCUUUGAAUCUGAUUUGUUUCAUUUCUGAAAAAGCCUUUGAGGAGAUGUUAGCAACAUCCAUUUGUUUUGUAAUCAUCAAAAGUUAGAAACCAAGGUCAACAGUAACAAAUUUUAAUACCACAAGACACAGCGGGAGAAAGUUCUGAUAGGAUGGUUAAAACCAUACAAACUGCAUUAUGGAACCAAAUUACCAAUGACAGUACAGAGUACUUUACCUCAGCUCGAGACAUCACUAGGACAUAAAGAAAUACUAUAGGAAACUCACAUGAAGCACUGGAAACCUUUCAUCUUUUUCAAUAUUCUAGACAAAGUCCAGCAUAUGCCAAUAUUCUUGAUUCAACUAAAUGUCGAAUCUUUUUCAAUGUGUAUUUGAUACAACAAAGAAAUAAUACAAAAACAACAUUCAAUGCCAAUUUCAUCAAGAAAUUCUUUAAAAAAAACUCUAACAAAAAUCAGAAACAAAAACUUCUAAGCGUUAUAUUCAAUGCCAUCAACUUGCAUAACAUAGCGUAUACUAAUAGAGAUUGCUUACAUACCAUUGGAAUAGACAAUAUUCAUACCAGCAAAUGUUCAUCACCAUGUCAUCCACUUACACUAAAUUUACUACUAAAAAGCAUAAUAUGCAAUAGUCCGUCAAAAGUUUAAGCAUCAGGGAACCAUCAAAACAUACGCAACAGUCCAGCAAAUGCUCAUCACCAUGUCAUCCACUUAUACUAAAUUUACUACUAAAGAGAAUAAUACGGAAUAGUCCAUCAAAACUUUAAGCAUCAAGGAAGGAAGAUGGGUGGGUUGUGGAAGGGACAUCAGCUUUCGACUGGGAAUCAGGAGAUUCAAUAUAACCAUCAACCCCAAUGUCACCACUGUUGGGGGUGAGAAGUCUCAAACUCCCAUUCCAGCCCAACAUUAGCAAAACUGGGAAGAGGUAUGAUAUCAAGAAGGAUAGGGGCCAAGCUCACCCCAUGGAGCAUCAGCAAAAGAAAUUUUGUCCACAAUGUCUAACCACCUGUGUAGGAGAAAUUCAAUCCAUGUGACUCAGUCUAUUGCACGUGCCCCUUAAAAUCAUCAGCGAUAGUUGAUACAUCCAUAGCCUUCAAGUAUUCAUAGACCAGCUGGUUAUGCAAUUUGAUCUUCAAAGUCGACUCCCAGUCCCUGCAAUAGAACAAAAAAAAUUAAAUAAAUAGUAUAAUAUUGAAAAAUAAAUAAAUAAAUAGUACGACGUACUCAUCAAGGUCGGGUGGCAGUGGGCUUGGCCCAAUUUCAGCUCUACUGAGUUUAAUCGGGCUUGCCUUAGCGGCGACAGUCAACCUUAGAUUCCAAUAGUCAGCCACAGGAUGUCCAGCAAUCCUUUCAUGGCCUGGAAAGGCUUCUCCACCAACAAAAUCCUUCAACAAUUGGGCUUGAUCCCUGAGACCUAACUCAAUCAGGUAGUCAUGGACAAAUUGGCUUAAUGCCUUCAAUUUGGCCCGAGUCGUGGAAGAUUUUGAUCCUGCCACUCAAAGCAAUAAUAGUUACCAGUUGAAUGAUACUAGAAUUCGGCAAUUAAUGACAAUUACAUAAAGCCAAAAAAAAAGCGUAGUAGUCUCCCUUCUAAUGAUUUAAUGAAUACAGUGAUGCUUUCCAUCGCUAGUAUUGAUAGUACUAUAAUUUCAUGCAUUAGAUAAAUCCGAACUUGGUGCAUCAAAGUCCAUCAAUUGAAGGAAGUAAUUGCUAAUUUGCAGUAAAACAAAAUCCAUCAUAAAUUUUGGAGCGACAAGUAAAAUAGAAGCAUAAGUUUGCUAAAUCUCCAAUAAAAGAAGCACAAAUGCAAGGGAAUAAUUAUUCCGAUAUUUUUGAAACGAAUAGAACUCAAUCAAAUUCAUUAAAAUAGAGUUUACACAUCACUUUAGGCAUCAAUCCAAGCACCAUACGUAUAACAGUUCGAUUCAUUUCAUCGUCACUAACGUUUAGUCAGCAACGGAGACGAUUGAAACACUCACUGGACAGGAAUGGAAUAUUAUGCUGAGAAAGAUACAAGUAAAUCAAUAGAGUACAAAUUUGCUAAAAUCUCCAACAAAAAUGUACAAAUGCAAGGGAAUAAUGAUUCCGAUAUCAUUGAACCAAAUAGAACAGAAUAAAUUUCACUCAAAUAGAGUUUAUAAACUUGAAGUUGUCAACAAUAUUAUGUCGAAACAGAGACAAGUAAAUCAAAAGAGUACAAGUUCGCUAAAAUCUCUGACAAAAAAUUACAAAUGCAAGGGAAUAAUGAUUCUGAUAUCACUGAAACCAAAUAGAAUUGAAUAAAUUUCACUGAAAUAGAGUUUAUACAGCUGAAGUUAUCAAUAAAUUUCACUGGAAUGGAGAUUAUAAACCUAAAGUUGUCUCUUCCAUUUUGGCAACGAGGUAGUAUGGGCUCUGUAGUUUCGUGAUCUUCUUUCCUCUCAAACAACCAUCUCAAUUUGAAUUUACUCGAGGGUAUUUAUAGGACCAGCUGCACUCUUUAAUUUUUUUUUUUUAAGAAUUACAAACUUUUGGUCCAUGAUGUUUAGCUCAAUUGUCAAAGUAGUAUUUCAUAUUUUGAUCCAAACAAAUGCAAUCACUAAAAUUUGUGGUUUUAGGAGGAGUUAGGAUAAUCGAAAGAAAUCCAAUCCAAUAAUACCUAACUGUAAAAACAAAAUUAAAUUGCUAUUACAAUGUAUUACAAAUUGUGUUAAUACAAAAUAUAAAACAAAAACUAAUCAAAAUUCUUUUUUCUCCUUUUUUAAAAUUUUUAUUUAUUCUUGCUACGAUUCUCAUAUAUUUCUUUUCAUUUGGCUUUUUCUUUUUUUCUUUGGAUAGUUGGUCUCAAAUUUGGCAUACACAUUUCUUAACUUAAAUUGUGAAUAAUUAACUAAUGAGUUCUAUCAUUUUUUCCCCUUAAAAUUGCUCCUUUGGAAUGUAAGCAAUAUAUCUCAUAUGGUGAUUAAAUUGAUCAUCUAAUAUUUGUUUUUGUUUUUGUUUUGUUAUUGUAUCUUCAUUUAAAUAGGCUAUCAAAUAAGUUUCAAUGAAGAAAUUAAUUUUUAGUUUAUAUUAAUUUUUAUUGAAUUUAUCAAUAUACACAAACGUUAAAAAUAAACACUUAAAAAUUUUAUUGUUGAAACAAUAGAAUUUUCUACAAGCGAUCUCAUUACGCUACAUCCAAAUUAAUAACAACGACAGAUGCUUCAGUUCUUUUAGAACAAUAGAAUUUUCUACAAGCGAUCUCAUUACGCUACAUCUAAAUUAAUAACAACGACAGAUGCUUCAGUUCUUUUAGAACAAUAGAAUUUUCUACAAGCGAUCUCAUUAUGCUACAUCUAAAUUAAUAACAACGACAGAUGCUUCUUUUAGAAGAAUUUUCUAGUGGCUUCGCUAGAGAGCAAUCAAAUUGGUUCAAAUAUUUAUACUAUAUAUAAAGCUUGAGGAAGGUGUUUGGGGUUAAACAAUGAGGGUUAAUAUUUAUCGUCACUUUAUGAACUUCUUUUUUUUUUUACCCUUAUAAAAACUACUUUUAUUUUAACUAUCUAUAACUACAUAUGACUAUUUUUGCUUUUAAUUAUUUGAAUAUAUGUUUUCAACAUAACUACCCCUAAACAUUAUGACUACCAAUAUAAAAUUAUUUUAUGAAAAAUAUUUGAAAGAUUAGAGUUUGCUUAAGUAAUAAAAAUUUUAUUUAAAUAUAUAACCAUAAAUAUUAUGUAUUUUUUGAUUGCACACACAUUGGGUGUGCAUUGAGCACUAGUCAAAAUAAAACAACAGACUUGGUUAAGGAAAGAGAUAAAAGGUGCUAAAAGCAUUGUAUCAAAAAGUUGAACAGCCAAAUGAAUAAUUAAGAAAAUCUCUCACAAAUGGAAUCAUUUCAAAUAUCGACAAUGUUGUCUGGCAUCCUUAAAGUUUCAAUAUUGUUUCUAUACACCUACUUUAAUUUGUAGCAAAACAUUUGCUUCCAUAUGGAUUCCAUUUGCAAGUAUUCCAAGACAAGGUUGCAAUUCACAAGAGAUUUAACAUAUUGAUCUAGUGAUCAAUUAUACAAUUUGAUUGUAUGGUCCAAUAGCCAACAGAUUUUGGUCCAUGGAGAUACUUCUCCAGCAGCUUGGCCUCCUCCAACAGUCCUAGAGCACAUAGAUAACUAUGAGCAUAUUAGCUUAAAGACUCAAUCCUUGGCAAUGUAGCUACUGGUACCCGCUAAAGUGGAAAGGUUAUUUGAUCAGUCUUCAUUAUUUUUACAUGAUUCUACUGGUUAAUCAUGAGGCAGAUAAGAUUGAGGUUCUGCUAGAGAAAAUCACUAGUAACCGGAUAAAAUCAUAAGGCAGAUAAGACCGAAAGCGGUUGUUAAAGUAGAUUACAAUCCACCAUGGCCACAAUGCACUUAAUUCAGCUCAAUCGUUAUAAUUAAUAUAUCACAAUCCUAUGCAAACACAAUGAGCAGUAAUGCAGUGGAUUCAGAUCUUUCUGCCAGUCAUGCUCAUUUACUCUCCCCUUGUACUGCCAGGGGUAUAAAAUCACAAGAUCACAAGAGAAUUAGACAAAAAAAAAAAUUUAUUCAACAAUCAAUAUUAGAAAAAAUCUUUUUUAUUUAUCAAUCAAAUUACUCUAAAUUAUCAAUAAGCUAGACGUGGAGGAUUACUUUGAGUUGGAUUAUCUGCAGCUGCAGCUGAAUCAGAAUGAUGUUUUCUCGUCUCCGUCCCUUGGUUGCCAUCUGGUCCUGGAUUCUCUAUCUCUGCUUCUCCCAGUCACUCCCCAGGCAAUUUCCUAAAGCCUUAAUUUUAAAUUUUCAAAUCCUCCCGCUAUAUAUAUAUAUAUAUAUAUCUAUAUAGAUGAAAAUAUGGGGCCUGCCUUUCUAGCGACUUCCAAAUUCGCUCACGCUCGCUCGAGUCCUCAGCGAAUUUUGGGUUGUAGGCCUACAGCCUAGCGAAUUUUGGGUUGUAGGCCUACAGCCUUUGGGAUGGAGUACUGACUGAACCGGUUGCAGAAAGGAAGAAAAAGACAAACACAGCCCCACCGUUCCACCAAUUUGUAUAUAUUUUUUUUGUUCUUUUUUCAGUUUUUUCAGUCAAUUCAAGUGAAAAGUAAAAUCAAGGGACCGGUUACUGGGAUAUAUGAGAUAUGCAUGGAUUACUUGCCCCUUGUGCCGAUUAAAUACCUCAUCACCAAAAUGAAAAUGCAAUUCAAAAUCAAAUAUGAUAUAUUGACAUGAGCCUAAUUGAUUCGUUUAAAAUUUCCGAAGAGUGCUUUAAUCUCAUAGAUACGCCUAGUCUACAUUUGUGCCAUUGAAUUGAAGCAAGUGAGAACAGAAAUACCUGGAAGCUUCUAGAUAUUGUCACUAAUGAAUUUGUUGUCGAGGACAAUUUUUUGUUGAACUCCCGAUCUCACUGUCACUAUGUUACGGUUCUACAAUGUAAAUUUGUAAAUUUGAUGUUGAUCUUAAUAAUAUCUUAAUGUUCUAGAAUUUUGCAAGUCUUAAUACAGUGCUCUUUACUGGCAUAUAGGCUAUUUUACUGACAUGAAACAGGCAUUGGUUCCUUACCUUUUUUAUGCUAAUUGGAAUAUUUAGUCUCUCCAAAUUGAAAAUGAAAUAAAGCAUCAAAUAUGCUAUCCCAAACUUAAUUAAAUUGUUUAAGUUUGCCUAAGAACACUUUGAUCUCACAAUUAAGCCUAGUCUGUACAAAAGUACCACAUUUUUAUGGCAGUUGUUAUCAAUGCAAUAGUCAUAGUUGAGAUCUCCAAGUAAAUAAAACUAGUGAAAAUACUGUUAGCUUUUGUAAUUAGAUAUAGAGCAAAAAAGCACCAUCAUAAACGCAAGUAAGUAUAUUGUUAUUAAGUUUAUGUGGUGUAAGGCAAAUUAAAAUUUGUCAAUUAUGAAGAGCUAUUUUUUUUUUUUUGUGUACACAAAAAAUAUUUCAGCAAUAAAUAACAAAAAUUUGCAUAAUGGAAUUGAUAAAGGAAUUAAAAAAAAAAUUUACCAGAAUCUUAAUAGGUAACCAUUUGUAUCAAGUUACUAAUACAAAACAAAAAUGUAUUUCACCAAUAUAGUUUUGGUUUUGUUUCUUUUUCAUAAGAUUUUUAUGCUUUAAAAGUUGUAAUAUCAAUUCUUGCGGCUAUAUUUUAUUACAAAUGAAACAAAUAAGGUAUGAUGUUUAUGUGUUAAUUUAAAAUAUAAAACUUUCAUACACUAAUAAUGUAUGCUUAUACACUAGCAGGUCUAAAUAAAUGUUACUCCACAUGUACAAAAUUCAACUUUAGGUUUUAUGUAUCUAUCAUGCAUUUGGACUUGCGAAUGUGUACAUUAUCAGUAGGAAUGUUUAGUCCUAAUUUAAAUGUUAACUUUUAGCAUGUAAGUUUUGCCUGUGUAGGCUAUUAACUAGAAUAAGAUUAGGGGUGGGCAAAAUUAUCCGCUAACCUGAAAAUCCGUCAUAUCCGAUCUGAUCCGAUCCAAAAAUUAGGAUAUCCGAUUUUUAUUAUUUGAUCGGGUCAAAAGAGGGUCGGGUACCCGCUAAGAUGCGGGGCGGGUUAGGGUCACAUAAUUGAAAAUCCGCAGGUACCUGAUCCGCCCCGCAUAUAUAUAUAUUUUUUAUUUUUACUUUUAUUUUUAUUUUUAUACACACAAUAUAAAAUAAUAAGUUAGAACUAAAUAAGUAAUUUUAUUGAACAAAUUGCAUUACAAAUAUGAGAGACUAUAGUUUAUUUACAAGAUUCAUUUAUAGAGGCCAUGAUCUUAUAUUUUAUAGAAAAAGUUUAAUUAAUGUGGAACAUAUAUAUUAAAAAUUGUGCUCCUUAUUUCAAACUUUUAUUGAUUUUGAAUUCUUUUAAUUUUUUUUCUUUAUCUUAUAUUCUCUUCACAUGCUUGUUUCUUAGUGGGAAACCUUUUUUUAGAAAAAAAAUUUAUUAAAUCUUAGAUGAAUGUGUAAAAUAUAAAAUUAAAUUGGUAUAAAUUAUUUUUUAAAAAAAAUAUUAAUGAUAAAUGAGGCGGGGCGGGUACCCGCUGACCCGACCCUAUUUCAGUGGGUACCCGAUUAGCGGGGCGGGUAAGGGUCAGAAAAUGGUUGACCCGCAAGAUACGGGUCGGGUCAGCCAAAUGGUGAAUGGGGCGGGUACCCGACCCGCGCCCACCCCUAAAUAAGAUAUACAGGUUGCUUGUAUUUUUUUUCCCCCUAAGGUAAGGAUUUAGUUUUUUUUUAAAAAAAAAAAUUCUUACUUAGUGAAUGAUAAUUCUGGAAAUUGGAAUAAAAUUAGAUGAAGUCAAGACAAAAGGUGGAAGAAACUAUAGGCUAGAAUUAAAUUGCCACGGAGAAUAUAGCUUCGAGAAAGUUUGAGUAGCUGAUUUUGUACAAACAAGUCCUAAUUUUACAAAAAAAAGUCAUAGUCAGCCAAACCAAGUAUAGUAGACCUAUUAUUCCUUCUCAAGAAGUCAUAGUCAACCAAGUAGGCGGUAAUAAGUGCAAUUGCUGCAACUUCAUUUACAAAAAAAGAUCAUAAUAUAAAAUCCUCGAAUUAAAAACGACUAGCAUGCAUGAUUUGUUAGGAUAUUUAUGUGAAGGGACUAAAUUCACACCUUUUAUUUAAAAAAAAAUUCUUAGUAAGGGAACGUGGGAUUUCAGAAGUGGGGAGGAAGGGCGGGAGUGGAACAAAUUCCAUACCUUAGAUAUUAAUAUGCUACUAAAAUCCUUAACAUUUAAAUGUUUUCCUUUUAACUUUAUUGGACUCCAAAUUUAUGUUUUCACACUAAAAUAAUGUUUCUUACAUUAAUCUUUUAACUUCAUUUCAUUCUUUUAUACUAGGGAGGGAGAGGCCGCGCGAUGCACGGGAAUUUGGUACUUGUGAUUGAAGAUAAUUAAUAAUUAUUGUUUAAUAUUUUGUAGUAUAAGAACUGAAGUAUGAUGAUUUUACCAUGUUAUUUUAACAGAAAAUCAUAAGUUACAUAGUGAGUCAAUAUAAUAAUGUGCAAUGAAAUAUCCUUAUUCUUAUACUAUAUAAGAAUCAGUUGUGAUCAAAAGUUAUGUUUGAAUUUCAACCGCAAAGAUAAGGGUAGUUUGGAAAUGUAAGAAUGUUUGAAGUGCAAUUGAAAAGUAUCCAAAAGUUUUUUCUAAAACUUAUUCAAGACGAUAAAACAUUUAAAAGUAUCAAUUGGAUCCUUCAUCUCCUGAAUCUAUAUGUAUUCGUGAAAGAUCCCUCAAGCAAUGCUUCUGAUUUCUCCCUCGACUUAAGCUCAAGUUGAAUUAUCUAAUCAAGUUUAUCCAUCAAUCACUUUGCGUCCAAUCUAAUAUAAAAUAAUUUUAUUUUAGACUAACUAUUUAUAUAAUUUUGUGGGCAUAAUACGACUUAGUUACAUGUUUCUUAUAGAAAUAAUAAUGCCAAAAAUGAUAGAUAGAUAAGAAACUUAAGUGGUCUCUUCAAAGUUCUGUAGAAACGAUUCAGAUUUGAUGUUUUUAGCUUGGAAAAUUUCUUCAUAAUCUCAUAAAUAAGUUCAAAUCUGCAUAAUUGUUAAAGAUCUGAUUUGAAAUUACCUUGAUUAUAAAAAAUUGGUGCAAAUAAUAUUUUCUAAAUUUGAAAUUGUAGGAAAUGGUUACUAAAAUCAGAAGAAAUUGCUCAUAUGAAUUCGAAUUGCAAGUUAUGGUAGAAACUGCUUAAUAUUUUCCAAUGUUUACUUGUAUAAGUAUCCAAUAUAGCAACUCUACUUAAUUGACUCAUUUGAACUAUGAAUAAUAGUUGUUUCAAUCAAAUCAAGAAACAUUAUUUAUCAAUGUACAGUACACAAUUAUGAGUAAAUGAAUUAAUCGAAUGCAAUCAAAAUAGUGUUGUAGCUGAAGCAUUUAAACUCAUCAAGUUCCACUACAAAUUCUUUUAGAUAGCAUGUUAAAUAAUAUCGCAAAACUAGUUGUCAAAGUAAAAAAGUAAAUUUUUUGUAUUUGGAAUUAUAUAAACAACAGAAUACAAGAACGAGAUCAUAACAUGGAAAGCAAAUAGAGUGCAAAUUACAUCUUAGUACCAUGUAACAUGAUUAAUUUUCUUUUUUAGUUUCAAUGAAGGACAAAAUACUAAGUUAAUAAAUUUUACAGUCAUAAAAUUUCCAAUUAAAAUAAACACAAGCUGAAUUCCAAAUCAUAUUACAUGAAAAACUAAAUAAAAAUAACUACUUGAACCAUACAUUAUCCAUAAUAUAAAAUGCCAUAAUAGUUCUGUUCAACCAUCAAAAAUUUUGUCAAGUAUUAAACUACUGGCAGAAUCACCAGGUCUUGAUCCCAUCCCUUCUUGCUAUGCUUACUGCAACACCCACACCCAUUAGCCUGUUGCCUCAGAACCUCAAGUUUCAAUCCCUAACAUUAUUUUUUCAUAUCUUACUUUCAACAAUACUGAUUAGCAUCUUCAAGCUAUCUGAGACUUUGGAAGAAGAUGUCAAGACUGAGGCUUCUUCAUGGUAACUACCGGAUCAUUCCCUUUUCUUUUUUUUCUUUUUCACUUGGGAAUUUGGAUUCCUAGCUACUUAGUAGCAGCAAGACACCGGGAAUUCUAGAAAUUCAGACUCCUUUCUUUCUAGAACUGUCAAAAAACAUCAUGCUUUUACAUGAUUUAGUUUGAGUGAUAUAUAGUAUGUGACGGUGCGUGUGGGUGGUAAAUCACGACACACCAGAAAGUCUAAUGAAUGCAAUAUUUGAUGUUAGCCACUUGGCCGAGGAGGUGAAGAUGGGAUAUGAAACUAAGCAUGUGUUGGAUCCAGUGUGGCACGAGCUUCAAUGCUUCCAAAAGGCAAAUCAAUCUUCUUCAAGACUGAAGGGACUUCCUCAAGGUCGUCCUCCAACUUGCUUUUGGAAUGCCCUCAUGUUAUACCCUGUUCUAAUUAAACUUUGACUUAACAUCUAUAACUUAUAACUAAUAAAUUUAUAAGAACAACUAAGUUCCGCUACUUUAAAAAUUAGUUCUACACAACUUCAUUCAAUGAAUUAUAAGCAAGGUGAUAAAAUUGCUAACCUUAUUUAAGAUAUAUGCAACAAAGCCAGGUUUUGAUACCAACUUCAACCUAUUCCACAAAUACAAGAACCAGAAAAUAGUACAAUUAGUUAGUUUUUGAAAUUAGAAGUAUUAAAAAGCAAACUAUAUGGAGUUCUUGAAUAAACCAAUCAUCAAAAAAAAAAAAAAAAACCACCUCAAACCCAAAGAGCUCACCUCAAUUUAAAGAAAAAGCUACGCCUUACACCAAAUAUUUAAUAGCCAUAAUAAAACCAAAGAGGUGAAAUGGAAAAAGAAGAAAGGCUAUCGGCUGAACAUGGAGGCAUAACUAUGGUGAUGGUUGUUUAGGGCAAUCAGCUGAACAUGGGGCAUAAAUAUGAUAAUGGUUGCUCAGGUAAUAAUUAGGUCAAUUAAUUGUAAUUAAAAUCCAAUUAUGUAAACAUCCAAUUAAUUCCUUAACAGAUGAGAAAGGCUUCAGGAAAUUGGAAGGUUUGGAUGUUAGUAUAAUAAAUAAUUAAAAGGCCUUUUAUGUAAUUUUAUCAAAACACAAGCUUAAUUCAGUUAUACCUGAUACUCAACUUGGCACCAAACAUUAUCACUUACCAAACCUGCCCCUAGCCUUAAAUGUCUGAAAGGUUAUAUAAGUAAUUAUAGCAAAAUUAAAGCUGGAAUAACUUGUACUUAAUGCUCCAAUUAUACUUCAAACACUCUCACAUUCCCAAAAUAGCCUCACCCUUGCCGUUGAAAUUUAAAAACUAUCUUUGCCUUAAACUCAUUCUUAUAUAGUAUAAGGAUUUCAAAAUUUUUCUAAUUUUACAGUCUAUUUAUAGAACGAGUAUCCAAUAAGUACUCAUUAACACACCUAACUUAUUAUGUAUAUAUACAUACUAACAAUUAUUAUCAUUUAUUGCAUUUAUACACCUUUUUAAAUUAAUUUUAUUGUUAGGAAAAGUUAACAUAUGAAGUACAUAUCUUAACAAGUUCCAUUACAUACCCAUUGGAUUGACCCAUAAUCUAUUUAGUAUCAGUGAAUUUGUUUUGAGAUUUUUUUUAUUCAAUAGUGAAACAUGUAAAUUUUCAAUUUGAAUAAAUAUAACAAUUACAUUUGACUAGAUUAUAAUAUUCCCUGUAACAUGUUGGCAUAUAAUCUUGCUAAGGUUUUGGUUAUUACAUGAUCAAGUGCAUUAUCUUGUUAAGGUUUUGCUUAUUACAUGAUCAAAUGCAGUAGUGCCAGUUAUAUGGAUAGCUGCAUGAUUCUUCAACAUCACAAAGCUGAGAUUUUUAUGGUAUUAAAAUUCGCUAUUUAUAAUAUUUUGGUUACAGAUUUCUUGUUUAACAAUAGUUUUGUAACUGAAAAAAGCAUUCUGGAUUUUAUAUUAAAUGAAAUAUAUAGAAUGAUAUACUAUUUUUAAUACCCUAUGUGAUUUAAUUCCUAAUAAUAAACAGCAAAUUCUAGAGUUUUCUAAAUUUUUGGGUUGGUAUUAAAUUAAUUAAAUAAUUUAGUAAAUGAGGGGCAAUGGUGAAAUUAUAUUAUCUCUCUUUUCUAAUAUCACUUUUUAAUUGUUAGUUAGAACUAAAUGUUACAAGAUAAUAAAUCCCAGAGGAGGUUAAGAAAAUUUUCAAAACCUGGAGGGAAAGCAGCAAAAUUGUCAGAAACCUCAGGGGAGGGUAGGUUUCUGAAAUUAUCCCUUUUGAAAAUUAACCCUGUUGUGACGUCGUCCCUCCUUUUCCUAGGGAAAAUAGAAUAAGAAUAAAAAUAUAAAGCAGACGCAUAUGAUCACUGUGUCAUAGACCAAAACAGAUUGGAGAGUUUGAGAGGGACGCGAAAGCGGUAUCCCCAAGCUCGUCUUCCGCUACUUGGGAUGUUCCCUGGUACUACGUUCUCACCCCCUGAAGUCUUAUUUUUUCUUAAUUUGAUUCUGGAAAAGUUAAUGCACAAAAAAAUUAACAAAAGAUAAAUUUGCAGCUUGGACUAUAGCGAACAAAUUUGCAGUAUCUGCAUGGUGCGUAAUAAUUUAUUCUGCAACCUUUAAAAUCUGCUGCUUUUAAUAGCGUAUCAUCUAAUUUGGCCCCGUUAAAUCUGGCAGGCUGCAUUUGAGAACCAAGACAAGGUUGCAAUUCUCUAUUAUUGCCCGCACGAGUUUCAUGCAGAUUGCUUGAAAACGUGGCUUCUGAAGCAGAAUACUUGUCCUGUUUGUAGAGCCUUGGCUUUAAUACCAGAAAAUAUUGCAGAAUGCAAUUACGAUGUGGAAUUGCACCAAGCAUUUUUCUUGCCUGCGGGUAAAGCUGUAAAGCGUUUCCCUUUUCUAAAAUACUUCUGUCCUCGACUAGAUGGCUGAGUACCAUAUAUCCUCCUUUAUUAUUAGUAUUUGAGCAAGCUCAUCAGGAAAUAGAAGUGUCUUUUAAGUUAUUUUAUGUAUUUUGCUGACUUUUCAAGUUAAACAUGUCCUCUUUAUGAUUUAAGCAGGGACUUAAGAGUAGUUUUGCAUGAAAUUUGACGAUGGAUGGAUGGAUCGAUCUUAGGACCUUUUGUCAUGUUUUUGUCCGAUCUUUGAAAUUAGGGCCUCUACUUGUUAUUGCAGCUUUAAUUUACCAAAACAUUUGAUCAAAUACCAAUUCCAUCACCAAACGGGAACGUCUUGUUCCUGAGAGUUUUACAAAGGGAUGUUUUGCACUUAGUUUGGUCUUGGCAUCAGUCAAAAGGUGAAAGUAGGGCUCCUCAGAGUCAGACCCCUUAAAUAUCCCGGGCAUUUAAUUGGAUCUUGAGGUUUGGCCAAGUCACCAACUAAACCCAAUAGACAAAAUGAAAGAAAUGCAAGAUUUAUUCUUUAAUGAGAAGAAUUAAAUAAAUGCCAAAAGAUUAGAAGACUUUUGAAAAAUAAGUUGUGAGUUGCCAGCAAAAAGUUUAAUCAUAAGCAAGAAAUUUGCAUGAAAGGAAUGCAUGAUCCCAAGUCCCCAACUCCUAAUAUAAAGAAAUUAGCAAAUAAAAGAAAAGAUAAUCAUCGAAAUUGCAGAGAAACAUAAGAGGAAAAGGUCAAGUACCAUAGAAAAAAAAAACAAAGAAAGGAAAAUUUAAGCAAGAGGUAUUUGCCCAGAAACUUUAGGAAAUGAGAACAUAUAGGAAAUGCAUUGUGAUGAUCAAAUACUAAAUUGGUGCAAAUUAAGUAGCCACAAAAAUUUUUUUUUUUUUUAUUUGGCUUAAGGCUUUAAGCUUGUAGCAUACUUAGAUCAUGUAGCUUUUCUUUCAUACUUUAACCAUGUCUAACUUCAUAUCCUAACUAUGCAAUUUUUUAAGGCUUUAAGCUUGCAAUAUACUUAGGAUCAUCAUAUCCAACUGAUGCAAUUUUAUACUCUUUCUUCGUGUCUCAUAAAAACAUGAGGAAAAAAGGGAAAAUGAUAUAUACAUUUACAGAGAAUGUCUAGAAAGUAGAAACCUCAUUCUCCUUUACAAAACGAAGACGAACAAAAACGUAAAAAAUUUGAUUGAAAAUUCAACCAAAAAGCCUAUAAAUGGCAACUCUUCUUUUUCUUCUUUUCCAUUGGCAAUUAGCAAAUAACAUAAAACGCAAUGCAAUACUGAUAACUUUGCAUAAGUCAAUGUUUGAUCUUCAGCGGAAGUUUCACAAAUCAUCAAACUGGAUGGUCUAGAAGGCACUCACUUCGACUCCUUAUCCAAAACUUUGGAACAAGCGGCAAUGCCAGUUUGACUAAUGGAAUCCUCCCAAUUCCUACCAUCAAUUUGCUUGAUCUCAACAUGGUUUAGCGUUCCAGGGUCCACACAACGAAAUGUAACUGCUAUACCAUCUGGAUUAGAUCGAGGCACAUAGAAGGAGGUUAUGCCACAAAUCUUGCAAAAAGUGUGUUUAGCAGUGUGAGUGCCAAAGGUGUAGGUUGUGAGAAACUGUUUGGAAUCUCCAAGAAGCUCAAAUCUUAUACAAGGGACGAUAAAGUGAGUAUUCCCUCUCAUGGAGCAAUCAGAGCAGUUGCACUGCCAGACAACAAUGCUGGCUGGUGCUUGGACUCGCCAUCGUACACUUUUGCAGUGGCAUCCACCGUUAUGUAUGACCAUCUCAGGGUUCAUCCUCUAAAGGUUCUAUCUGUCUGGAGUUGCAAAGACAAGCAAUAUGCUGUUGCUGCAAUCAAGGACAAAGAUCUACAAAAAACUUGAGGAAUGAAAGACUUGCAAAGGUUUCAAGCACUAAAACCUAUUGGAAAAAAAUGACUAAAUAGUAGAAGAAGAAUGUUUUGUAUUAAACUCUUAAACUAACCAACAUUGGACCAGAAAAUAUAAAAAUUGGAAAGCGUCCUCAAGAUUCUCAACAACAUUCACCAAUUCAGUGCGUCUCUGCAAAUACUCAAAAGACAGAGAACACAACCCCAAUAGACUUACAAAUCAGUUAAACAAGAGACCAAAAUCACUAUCCAAAAGCUCAACUCAUAUAGUAAUUGAAUAGGGGGUUGUUGUAUAGAUGAAAAAAUUUGAGAAUAAUAUCUGAGUAGCCCAUGAUGCAGGACCCCUCGUACUUGUCGACCAAGUUCUUGAUCUCUUGAAGAAAACACAUAAUAUGAACUGCAUAUAGCACAUGCAUGGCAAAUAUGAUCAAGCUCGCCUAAAUGAUUUCAUUGAGAAAAUAUUAUGAAUGCAGAAUAUACGUUAUGAAUUGGUUCAGGUAAAAAUAUCCAUGCACCAGAAUAAGCUUCAAGUAAAGGGUGAUUGUGGCCUAUGACAGAUUACUGGGAUAAUAUUUCACUGGUAAAACAUGUCUAUUGUGGUGAAGAUUGCAUUUUACAUUAGAGAAAGAUAUAUAUAUAUAUAUAUAUGUGUGUGUGUGUGUGUGUGUGUAUCACCUCAAAAUCCUCUAGGAAGUUGACAACUAUUUGAUGCUUACAGUAUGUCAUAGUUAUAUAGCUCUCAAAUAAGUCUCAGGUUUUAGCUUAUUGAGUAUCAACUAUCAAGAAGAUACAAUAAAGACCAAACCAAGAAACUAUUUCCAUUCAAUUCCCACAUGCUGAAAAGUGAAUUAAAACUAAAAACUAAACAACUCCACAUACAAUCAUUUGAAACAACUGAGCAAAUUCACUUAUCUUUAUGGACCAAGGAAAUUGGAUAAGGUACAAUACCUGAAGACAUCCAAAAGAAUAGCAGUAAAGUAUGAUGAGACAGCGUUUCGGCAUAUAUCUGUCAUCCAAUUAUUGGGACUAUGCCGGAGAUGAGUCUCUGACCUCAAUAACUAAACAAAGACUACAGGAAAUUGUCCUACUUUGUAAUUUGGCAGACUUAUGCUCUGCAUAAUAACUGCCAAGCGGAAUACACAUGCAGCUAGACCAGUGAAAACUGAAAGGAAGUCAUGUUUCUCAUACUUGCAUGAAGUUCUGUAACACUAUGAAAUUCAAUCACAUCCAUAAGCUGUAGAUGAAUGAAUGAAUGACCAAAAGUCAGACAACUUAUAUUCCAUCUUACUCAACAUAAUUGUUCAACGGUGUAUUAGCUUCAACAUUCAGUGGCAUUUUGAUUUCGGUUUAUUCCUUGGAAAAGAAACCAUCAUCUAGGCAUCAAAUAACCUGGGUUUCUUCUUACUGAGCAUCAAAAGAUAACUUCUCUAAGGAUCAGUCAGUGAUUGAAGAUUAUGUAGUCAGAAAUUUGAAAUGAAAUAGUGACACUACUGUUACUCCUUAAUCUCUACACAAACAUUACAAGUACAUAUUUUUGGAGCCAUUACUAGAUUUACAUGUUUCCACUAUUGCCACUGCGAUUUUGUUUAUAUGUACGGAGGAUACAUGGAGAGUCUUAUGUUGGUUUCGUGCCCAUUGUGCUUGGAUGGUGCUAUGGCUGAAAUUUGUGUGAACUCCUGAAUCCUGGGCCAAACGGUUGUUCGUGUACUGACAUCAAAAGUCGACUAAUAGAACCAAACUGAUACAUUCACUAUCAAAGUCUUCGGUUGACGAUGGCUGAUUACAUAGAGGCAAAAGGAAAGAAAUAUUGGGAAAUGAAAAAGCAUUUUGUGCAGUGGCAGUUUGAGCUCAACUAGAAGGUUGGAUUUGGUUUGAUCAGAUUUAGAUAUCACAAAUGUGUUCUUCUCAUCAGAUGCUUCAGUUUCAAUGGUGUUGGAAUCCCACUGACUUCAUUUGGUGAGAUUUGUCCCGGAAUUCCUUCCACAAUUAGUAACAAUUAUGAGGAUUUUGAAUUGGAUUUUGCGUUUGAUGGUUUUUUUUUUUUUUUUCAAUUGGAUUAGCGUUCAAUUAGUACUAGUAGAAUAUGGUUCCCCUCAACAGAGGACUGACAAAUCUCAUAUCAUUACCCUAUACAUGUUGAUUGUCACACACACAAAAACACAGUUCAAACUAAAUUGUAAUAACUUCCAAGAUGCCACACUGCAUAGACCAAACAAAAAUUUGACUUAUCUGAGUUAGCCAAGUAAGAAAUAUUUUCUCCUAGCUUUGGUUUGGAAAGCUACAGUAAGUUUUAGAUGAGAUCUUUAAUAACCAGGACUAUCCCCUAACCACGAUAUCUAAGCGACUAAUCCAGAAGGAAAUUUGUAGGAAUCUCAUUCCGAAGAUAUUCAUAUGGCUUGAACUCAAAUCCCACUAGCCUUUGGUCCAUAUUUACAUAUUCUCACUUGUAAAUCACUAAAUUAUAACUUUGUAAUUCAUCCUUGGUACAACCAAUACAAAAUAACCAGUUUACAAUAAUAAAGAACUAGAGGAAAAUAAAACUCAGGCGCUAAAUCAAACCAAAAAAGGAAAAGCACAAGUCUACUUUGGCUAUAUUGGGGAACUACUCAUCAUUUUUACGCCUGAGUAGUACGAAGUUUUCACUUCAAGAAAAGUUCCAAAAAACUGCAUUAGUAAGAAAUGCUGCAAGAGCCAUUACUCAAUAAGCUGAUGCAUGUCACUACCAAAAAACGUGAUUUUAUUAUAAUUAUUUCUUAAUUUUAGUCAACUGGAUAGGCAGAGGUAAACUGAAAGUCUUCUUAAUAAUAACAAAUAUCCGAAUCCCAGAUGAAAUUCAAAACAUCCCGAACCAAAAGAUAAGUGGACGUGAGAUUAUUUUGCACGAAUAAAUUCGCUUGGCAUGCAUCAGCUUAGAAGGCAAAUUAUCGAUAUACCGACAUAUCUUGAAUUAGUAGAGGGAAACUGUAACAGUAGAAUGAAAAACAGAAAAAGUACCUUUUCUUGAUCAGAUCAUCAGAGAAGCAAACUGCAGAGGAGGCCGGAGAUACGGAAAAGAGAGCGGUUUGACUAAAUUUUUCAGAAAAUAAAACAUCAAAGCGUGUUUCACUUGCAUGCGAAUUCGUGAAUUUGAGUAUUCCAAGGUCCAAACAGAGCCUGGCUGGCCAAAAAAAAAAAAAAAUGGUUGAACCAAACUGAAAUGCUAAUUUUCAAUAUUAAGUAUUGUACAAAAACAUAUUUUUAAAUUAUGGAAAAACAGAAAUAACAAUGCUCAAGUACGAAGGACGGAAAAAAAAAAGGGGGUCUCUUGGGCUUGUUAAUAAUACAUCGAAGAGAGAGGCCUGUUACUUGCUCCGGUCAAUAGCCAAUCUAUAAGAACGGUCUUAGAAGCCCAGCUCUGCGAUAUAAGCUUAAAAGCCCAGCCCUUGUUCAUUUCGUAUUGCCAAAUUCUUAAGAAGGGCACUUGGGAAUUUUUCUUUUUACCUUUUUUAUAUUCUUUUCCAUAUUGCAGUUGACUAGUUUUGAACGUUAUUAUGUUUGAUUUUCUUCGUAAUUUUUUUCUUCUCCUAUCAUGAUUUUCAUAGGCAAACUUACAUUUAUCUGAAAAAUUUAGGGGAGCGUGUAAGAUUCAAGAGAAUAUAAAAUGAGAUGUAAAAUCUUUAAGAGAAAGUAAUUGGUUGUAUUUUAUAAUCUUGGGGAUGUCUUUCAAUGCAUGAUUUAACAUGAACAUUAAUAACAAUUAAUGAACCAGCAUCCGGCUACUUCAACCCCUCAAUUUUUGUCUUUCAAAAAAAAACUUUUUCUUGAUUUUUUUUUUCUUGGGGUGUUCAUUAGGACCACAUCAAAGAAGCUAUAUAUCUAAGAUAAAAUGCUGUGUCGAGUUUCAAUUAGGAUCUUCUGGAAAUUGCAUGGAUAAACGUUCUUUUUUUUUUUUUUGGUUAUGUAUUUAAGGCAGAAGCUAACAUGCAUGUGCGAGGACCAUUUUUUGGCUUGAAUUCAUCCAUUUUCUAGCUCGAGGAUGCAUAACUUAUAGUCUUUUUCUUCUCUCUUGUUCUCACCAACUAUGAAGAACUGCUUUGCCAGCUUCUUGAUGUAUACAUAUACAUGUAUAUAUAUAUUGGCUUAAGCUAUUAAAAGCUUAGCCGAAUUGCGGAAUCUGGCCCCGUACCAGUUGACUGUUAUUCAAUGGGGUCAUGAAGACAAAACACAAGUCUCGCUCUUAUCUUUGAGAUUGUUUACAAGAACUCCAAUUUGGAAUUUGCUCCCAAUUAUUUUGGCAGUUGAAGGAUAAACGUCAAUAAGGCUAUUCCUGUGAGUAUAAAACGUGUGGAAUUAAUCAAAUCAACACAGGGCGUUCAAUUUCUUUCUAUACGUCAUUGCCGUCAAUGAUUCCAAGUUACAUUUUGGAAGGUUGCAUCCUCAUUUGUCAAAACUUAUCCGAAGUAAUGAAUACAUUGUCUCGGAUAAUUGAGUAUGUUCGUUUAGCUUUUUAGAGCACGAUAUUGUUGAUGUAAAUUGAAUUCUCAGAGAAGCUAAUAAGAUUGCGCAUAAUUUAGCCCGCUCUGCAAAAUCGGACAACUUUGUAUUGUCUCUGUGAAAGUUGGAACUCCCUUCCGACUUUUGUCAAAUAAAUGGUGCUGGACGAUUUUCAAUAAUCUCAUUAAUAAAAUCGCUCUUGUUUUCUAUAAAAGAAAAAUUAUCAAAAGGAUGAGCAUCCAAAAAAAUUUAAAUGUUUAUAGAUGCAUGCUUUGUUAAAGGGCUCCAAUAUUAAGGAGCAUGGCCAAGAUCAAUGACCAAAAAUGGGAGGACCUCAAGAAAGUUGGCGAUGUCAAUGCUGCAAAUGGCGAUGUCGAUUGCACAUACAUCCACCGGUGGAAAUAAACAUGUAUCUGAACUUAAGGGCUUUCACGACGAUUGAGACCUCUCACAAAUCGUGCAAUCGAUUUUUAGAUCUUUAGUUUCUAUGCGAUGUUUAUAUGUUUAUGCUCUCUCUUCAGAUCUUAUAGAUAUUCACUGUCCAGAAGGCUAUUAUGGGGUCAUUCCUAUAGAUUUGAAAUUGAUAGAAAUUAAUGAGAUCUCUAAACAAAUUAACAGCAGAGAUGAUACUACCCUCACAAUCAAAGCAUUUCAUCAUUAGGCUGGAGCAGUCGGCAAUUAUGUGUCACACGGUGAUAUGCAAAUUAAGUGUGUCGGCCUCCCUGCUACUGCUAAACAAUUUGGCCCUCAAUUAUGGAGAUACAUACUAGACGGGCUAGUAAUUGACUAAUUGGUGAAUUCUUGAAAUGCAAUCUUUCUUCUUCUUUUUUUUUUUUUUUUAAAGUAGAAAGUUUUGAAUCCAAAAUUUUUUAUUUAUAAUCGCGUAAAUCUUAUCUUUCAAUUCAAUCUUCUGCCUAGAAAUCUAAUCAUUACUAAGCCUCAAUACGUAUUUAUUUAUUUUUUUUGUAGAAGGAACUCUUAUUUAUGUAUAAAUCAUCAACUCGAAUUUCCAAAUCUUUUAGUAGGGUUGUUGGAAGGAUAAAGUUCCUCUCUGUUGAGCCAUCAAACUAGUUAGUAUAACUCUUAAAGUAGCAUCCCUCGUUUGAUGGUAGUGCUCGAAGGAAAAAAAAAAUCUUGUUUCUUUUUUUUUUUUUUUAAAAAAAAAAACUCUCUAACUCCUCCCUCAUUUGAUAGUAGUGCUCGAAAAAAAGCUUGUUCUCUUUUGAUUUCUUUGAACCUUUCACUCAUUUCCAUACCCUUUUCACUCCAAACUGCUAGUAACUUAUUUUCCAUUUUACAAAGAGUUGUCUGAACAAGUAGAGAAAGCUUAUUUUAACACCCAAAAAAAAAAAUUUACAAUUUGCAGUACACUCAUCAACACCAACCGAAAAACUGCACCAACACCUAGUGAUAAGCUUUAUAGAAAUUUCAAAGAAUUACACCCAAAUUUUGCCAUAAUAUGGUAAAAGAUAUAAAAUGAACAUGAAACCACUUAACUUAGCACAAAGUAGCCUGUAUCAUCAAACUAAACAAAUACGACCUUGUCCAAGUCGGUUUUUCACCCUUUUUCUUUUUUUUUUUUUUAAAAAAAAGGAAGAAGAAGUAAAAAAAAAAAAAGAGUACGUUACUCAAUUCUUUGAAAAAAAAUUUUUUUUUUUUGGGCUUUUUACUCAAUUCUUUGAUUGGCAUAUCGAUCAUGCAUGCACGUAAGCUCAUCCUAGAGUCGGUUGACAGCUACCUCUUCUGAAUAGUUCUAUAUUUGUGAAAGUGGAUAUGAGUCAUAUCCUUGAUUGAAAGAAACUGAUGAAAAGAUUUAGUGGCAAACCUCUCGAAUUUCAUUAUUCUAGAUAAGAUAACUUUAACAAAUCAAUCGAUGGGUAUUGGAUGUGAAUACUGAUUGAUUAGUCUUGAGGAGAUUUAGACAGAUUAACCGCUCCAAGUUCAACAUCAAAAAGAUCAAUACUAGCCUGCCCGUGAUCCCUUCAGUGAAAACAAGAAUCCGUGAAUAUCAAUCUUAGCAUACUACCUUUUGGGUUCUUUUUACUCUUUUAACUUUUCUUAAUUCUCACCUUCAACGUUAACUUCAUCUGGGCUUUUUCCAGUUGCUUCAGGUGAAACUUUUGCCAUCAAUUUUAUUUCACACAAAGGUCUUGUCACAUGAUCAAGUGUUCAUCAAAGAAACAAAUGCACAUGCACUCAUUCCUCAGGGGGCUCGUGAGUUAGAAAAUUUUGUAUGAAACAUAUUUUCAGAUUUAUUAACUUAUAACAAAAUCACACAACAUAGUGUGUUUGGAUGGUAGAUGAUUUGGAAUUUUUUUUUAUAAAAAAGAUAUUAUAACACUUUUUUAAUAUGAUAUAUAUGAGAUAAAAAGAUUAUUAAAAAAAUAUGUUGAAAAUGAAAGUAAAUAAAUUUAUGUAAAUAAUUCACUAUUCACUCUCAUUAUCUUUUGAAUAAAAAAUUACCAAUGAAAGCCCAUAUUGGCAUAUUUCAAUGGGUUAAUUCCACUUUGUCCCCCCAAACUUUGGAUGAUUAUUCACUUCAGUCCCUAAACUUCAAAAUGGGACACUUAAAUCCCUAAACGUAUAAAUACCUCCUAAUUAAGGAAAUUUGUUGACAGAAUCCUGAAUGUCGUUGGUGGUCGAAGUGUCUCAUUUUAUAAGUUUAGGAAUUUAAGUGUCCUAUUUUAUAAGUUUAGGGACUUAAGUAUCUCAAUUUAUAAGUUUUAGGGACUUAAGUGUUCCAUUUUGAAAUUUAGGGAUUGAAGUGGGUAAUCAUCCAAAGUUUGGAGGGACAAAGUGGAAUUAACCCUAUUUCAAUUGAGGGUCACUAAUCAGUUGCCAGCUAACAACUUCAGAAUCCCUAAACCACCAGUAGAGUCAAAAGCUGUACCCAUACCGUAAUGUGAUGACCCAAGUAUUUCAUGCAAUACGUACAGGCUAGUAUAGCCAUCAACUUUGAACCAUAAUCGAACCCCGGUUGGUCCAGUUUCCAUCAAGAAGCUGUAGGGCCUAAGGAUAUAAUCGAAUCGAGUCGAACUCGAGUAUAGCGAUACUCGAGCUCGACUGCAAGAGCUCAAGUAAGUAGUAUUAUUGGAACUCGAACUCGAGCUUGAUGCUUGCUCGUAGAACUCGAGUUCGACUCACAUGAGCUCGAGUCAAUGCAAGUCUUAUCGAGCUCGGUCGAGUUUGAGUUAGAAAUUUUCAUUUUAUUGACAAUUUUUUAGCAAAAAGAUAUUAUUGCCCUUUAAAAAUUUUUAUAUGAUUUGAAAUAUUUCAUAAAUUCAACAACUCUUUUGGGUAUAAAGGUGAUUUUAUAAUAAUAAUAUAUUUAAAAAUUAAAUUUAAAAAGCUCGAUAAGACUCGACGAAUCUUCGAGCAUUGUUUCUAUAUGCUCGAACUCCACUCGUUUAGCUUAUCGAGGCGCUCGAACUCGGUCAACUCGAGUUCGAGUCAAGUUUUUGACCUACUUGCGAGCAAUUCCGUUCAAUUACAUCCCUAGUAGGGCCUAAAAAAAUUGUACAUCAUCAAAAACAAAUUUUUCUAUUAUUAAUUCAGCUAAAACAUCAAAUAAUGAUAAAUUGAACAUUCAGAGCUCAUCCACCUCAAUCCUUAAAUCUUCAUUAAUUCUUCUUAAUCCUUAACUGUUUAAGACAAGAACGUCAAUGAUUGUAAUAGUUCCAAAAACCAAUUAGAAUUGAUGAUGCCCUAUCCGUUCUAAUAGAGACGGUAGACUGCAAGAGUCUUGCUUCUCAGUCUAAGAUGGUGACACAUUUGAGGUAUAAUAGAAGUUAGUCCACGGGCACAAAAAACCAAGAGUUGAGUCAUCCCAACUUUCUCAAGAAAAAGAGGAAUGGGGAAAGGAACCCUCAUUACUAGUGACUAGACUAGUUCAACGCACUUCAUUAAGCCACUUGGCUCGAGUUAACCCAGAAUUUGGUCACUGAUGCUGCUUUCAUAAUUGGCUUCUGAGGGUACGUGGAAGGUCUGGUUUUACUGGACAGCCUUGUCAUAAUUAUUGAGAGUUACAUCCAAGGUUAGAUGGAGCAUAUGAAUUGACUCGGUUUGUCAAAUUUUGUGACUUGAAAAACCAUGAUGAGUCAUUUUCUGUGAAGCAAACACCAUAUUUUGUUUAUGACUGAAGUGUAGAACACGUGAAAUAUAUAAUUACUUAAAGCAGCCUUGGGGGGCUAAGAAUUGAGAAUUGAUGUGUGAGAAGUUCCUUGCCACUCUUUGUUCUUCUUUUAAUUUUAGUUUCCUCCUUUUGUAGAAAAAUCAAGAAAAAUUUUGAUCUUUUUAUAUUAACAAUGUAUACAUUAAGGUCUAAAUACAUAUCACACGUGCAAAAUGGUAUAGUUACCAUUCAUUCAGCAUGCCAAAGGAAAACGUGUAUAAUAAUUAAUUUUCUUAGAAGCAGAGACAAUUCCUUCACAAUAGAUUAGCACAAGGAAUAAUCACCCUUUACACUAGAAUUUUUUUUUUUGGGGUUGUACUCUAGUGUCAAAAGUGGAAAGAAAUAUUGCUAAUCUGAAAACGUGCACUUAGAGAGGACUCACCAGAUUCUCACGAUUCUGUCAAGGCACCUCCCAACAGCAUGAUAUUUUCGGAGACACCAAGACAAGGUUUGAUGAAACAAAUUAUGGCCAGCACUUAUUAUUUGUUGAUGGGAUUCAGCUGCCAAAGAUUGAACCUAGCUGGGAGUGACAGGACAAUCUUUCAAAGGCCACGCAGCUUCCUUUCAAAGUUUGCUAAACGCCUUUUCUUUUUAGCUCGAGGAAGAAAAAACCGAUUAUCAACAAAUGCGUAGAAUUUCUAAGCAAACAAAGCAAUUAUUAUCAGUAAGUAUUAACCAACCAUAAUCUGCUAAUUACGCCAAGAACUAUUAUUAAGAAAGACCCUAAUCAAGGCGUAUCUACGUGUAUAGGCCUCAGGGCAAGAGCCACGAUGGACCGUGUUUAGAAUCCCUUGACAAAUUCUAGGCUCCAAGGAAUUUAGUGCCAAACCUUAGUGUGUUUGAUAGAGACAUGAUGACCCGCAGCUGCUAUUGGUCCCAUAGAUUCAAUUACUCGUUUAAAAGAAAGAAAAUGUGAACAGAUGAGGAAUGGAUUAGACAAGAUCUAAAGACGUGUGUAUAUGAUAUUAAUAAGAGAUGUUUUAGUACUUUUUGAACGAAACUGAGUGAGAAUCCUCCAUCUGUUGUAUUGAUGAUAUUGUAGGAGCAAUUGACUUUAACUAAAGGUUUCUUAUUCGGCAGGGCAAAGUGAAAAGAAAAAAAAAAAAGCCAGCAAAAGAGAAGCUGCUGCGGUUUGGACACUCUUUUUGUUGAUCACUCAAUGUCCAACAUUUGUACUUAGAAAGAUUCCAGUUCACAAAUCAAGAUUUACAGUAUUUAGGUGAACCACAAGGGUAGCUGUCAUAUGGGUUGGAAAUUGGAAUUGUAAUUAUGAGCCUUGGAAGUUUCUAAUACACUACUCCGUGGACAUGAACUUUUUUCUCCUUGUUAAAAUUCAAGGUUCAAAAUGAGGGAGAAGAUGACGGUGACAAAAAAAAAGAAAGAAUGAAUGAAGUUUACUAGAUUUAAUUGGAUAAUUUGUGGGAUUUGUUAACCGUUCUGAUUAACUUGACCUCAAUUUUGGUAGGACAAAAAAGGUUUUCUUUUUUUUUUUUUGCCCUUUUUAUUGGGGUCAACACACAAAUUGAAGAAGAGGAUGAGCACAAGCCCGAGACCCAAAGGUUCUUCUUGGCAGUUAGCAAUAAGGGCAGGCCAGCUGUUGGGAUAUUAAUGGAGUUUAAAUUCACGAGUCCAUGCUUUGACAAAAUAAAGUGAGGAACUCGGAAGUACCUAAACAACCUCCCAUUCAAUCAAAUACAGGGUGAAAAGUCGCGACCAGGGCAGGAUCGCCCAACCAGAUUAGUUUGAGAACACUUGCCAAGUUGGCAAGAGAUUAGUAGUAUUUUACUAGCCGUAGCUUUCAAUACGAGUCCUUGUGUUAAUGUAUUUUAAAUUCCUAGGGAGCACGUAAGCACAACAUUUUUCAACAGAUGAAAAAAAAAAAAAAAGCUUGACGGCAAGAAUAAACUUUUCAUAUCAUGGUUGUGACAGUAAAAUUGCAGCCAAUCUUUGAGCAAUUGCCAACUAUGAUGAUAAUGAGUUGAACGUGUGACAAUUAGAGAUUAAGAGCUUGUAGUGAUAGGUGCAACUACGGAAGUCAAUCAAGACCCUCAUAUGGAAAAAUUACAAGCGAUCUAUGGUCUAAAUCGAGUGAUACAAAUUUGAAUUCACAAAAAUAAAAAUUUUUCCAAUUUGAGCGAAAGCUAUUGGAUUUUGAGAAUAAUUGACACUGCCCGAUCUGCUCGGCAAAUUGUCCCUUAACCUGCGACAUAGAAGACUUUCAGGAGAUCAACAAAAAUUGGCACAGUUAAUAAAGUCUUGUUUGGACAGUCAUUUUUCGUCAAAAAAAUUACGUCAUUUUUCGUGAUCACAUUUUCCUAUUACUCUCUUCGUCCCAUUUUAAUAGUCCUGUAUUCCUUUUUCAUCUGUCCCAAAUUAUAGUCCACUUUCCAAUUGAAGAAUAUUGUUGUAUUUUAAUUAUAUGGACGAUAUGUGAGAGCUCUUGUUAAUUACAUAUCAUUUUGUGGACUUACUCUGAUUCGUGAUGAUGAUCGUAGUCAAAUCUAUUCAAACUUUAAUUAUUAAAAAAAGUUGAUCCCGAGGAGGGAGCAAAAUAACCAAUUGAAUUAAGAAUUCAGUAGUGAAAAGAUAACUAUUUGGGUGAUUAAAUUAAACUAAUUAUAGCAAAUUACAGAGGCUACGUAUGUGGCACCAUUGAGAAGGACAGUCCAGCGCACGGUGAAUCUCCCUCACUUCACUCGGUCUUUAUAUUUUCGGACAGACCAGCAGUACUGCUCAGCUAAGGAGGCGAUCAAUUAGCUGCAACAACUCAUCAAUAAUAAGGAAACCGCGUUUUUCCGCUCUCUUUGCUUUUUUGGCUUUGCAUUGUUCUUUCCGGACCCUUUCCAACCCAUAUAAAUACCAACCAACCCCUCUCCACUUCUCACGCUCUUCCCCACACUUCAGAGUCCAGACUCGCUCCCUUCUCCCCCUUUAAGUUUCCUCUGCCAAAAAACAAUCUUGUUUUCUUCUCAGGAAGCUCUUGAAGUUUUGAACUUCUUCUUCAUCCAUGGCUUCCUUCAGCCCCCUUUUCUUUCUUUCCCUCAUAUUCUUCUUCAGCUUUCACAAUCUUUCAUCAGCAGCCCACAAGAACCAUCACUCAAAGCUGACUAAAGCAACAGUCUUGGACCAUUCCUUUUCUCUUUCUUUUCCUCUAACCUCAGCCCCUCUAUCCAAACAUGCUUCGUCAGAAACAAGCUUUCUCUCGUCUCUUGCUUCAUCAUCAACGAGCACCAAGAAACGGAACCGGAAUGCUGGAGAAAAGGUCAAGCAACCAUUGCCAUACGAUUACAAAUCUUCGUUCAAGUAUUCCAUGGCUCUGAUUGUUUCUCUACCAAUAGGGACCCCCCCACAGAGCCAGCAAAUGGUUUUGGACACCGGAAGCCAACUUUCUUGGAUUCAAUGCAACAACAAGAGUCCAUCACCGAGAACGGCACCUCCUACGACGAUGUUCGACCCUUCUCUUUCCUCUUCUUUCUCCGUUCUGCCUUGUACGCACCCCAUGUGUAAACCCAGAAUUCCCGAUUAUAGCGUUCCAACUUCCUGUGACCAAAAGCAAUUGUGCCACUACUCUUACUUCUAUGCCGACGGCACAUUGGCAGAGGGCAAUCUCGUCAGAGAAAAAUUCACGUUUUCUAGUUCCCAGAGUACCCCUCCCCUGGUUCUUGGAUGCGCAGCCGAUUCGAGCGAAGACAAGGGCAUUUUGGGAAUGAAUCAGGGGAGAUUAUCCUUUGCCUCCCAAACUAAGUUGCAAAAAUUCUCUUAUUGUGUGCCCGUCCGACAGGGUCAAGGUAACAUAAUGCCCGCGGGAGGAUUUUACCUAGGCCAAAAUCCGAACUCAAACACUUUUCAGUACAUCGAUCUUUUGACUUUUGCGAAUGGUCAACGCAUGCCCAAUUUUGACCCUCUAGCCUACACCAUCGGGCUAGUGGGCAUAAGAAUUGGCACCAAAAAAUUGAACAUAUCGGAAUCCGUGUUCCGGCCCGACGGUGGCGGUUCCGGCCAGACGAUGAUCGAUUCCGGCACCCAGUAUACAUUUUUGGUCGAGGAGGCAUACAAUAAAGUGAGGGAAGAAGUUGUACGGCUAGCAGGUCCAAAAUUGAAGAAGGGGUACGUUUACGGUGGUUCGCUGGACAUGUGUUUUGAUGGCAACCCUGUUGAAAUUGGGCAGCUGAUAGGGGAUAUGGUUCUAGAAUUUGAAAAGGGUGUCGAAAUAUUUGUUAAUAAAGAAAGAAUCAUGGAUGAUAUGGGUAACGGGGUGCAUUGUCUAGGCAUCGGACGGUCACAGUCCCUUGGAGUUGCAAGUAACAUCAUCGGCAACUUCCAUCAGCAGAAUCUGUGGGUGGAAUUUGAUUUGGCCAAUAGAAGAGUGGGAUUUGGAAAAGCCGAUUGUAGCAAGUCUGUGUAGUACCAAAUAGUGCUGCUCUGGCUUGGUAAAUAUUUUUUUUUUCUUUUGGGGGGGUGAGGUGGCUAGCUGGAGAUAAACGAGAAAUGUAUAAUUCAUGAUAAUGCAUCCGCAGGACUUGGGUUGGGUCCUGUGCUGUGCUGUGUAAAGUAUUACUACUGUAUUGUGCUAGUGAAGAUAUUUUUUUAUUUUAUGUCUGUGAUUUCCUUCCUUUUUUUUUUUUUUGGACAUUAGUAUCAUCUAUAGCACAAUAAUCAUCCAGUCUUUUUUGAUCAAACGUGGUCGUUUUCCAUGCCAAACUGUACUUGGUUAGUUACUAAAAAAGCGUUAAAUUAUAAUAUCCAUCCAUUCACUCGGUUCUUUUUCCUUGGUCCGCAUUUCAGUCUUAAUGCUUUUUCUAUUUUUGGUAAUUACAGAAUUUUUUUUUUGGUGAGUAAUAACAAAUGUUUGCCUUACAUUAAUUAUUAACAAAACAUCCUUUAAAUACAAAUUUUCAUUUUUUGUUUGCAUGUGUGGGAAAUUUUAGGUGGGAAGCAGCAGCGCCGAUCCUUAGAAAAUAACUUGUGAAGAAAGGGAUACCAACAAAAAGGUGGUUAUGCAAAUCAUAAUUCAAACUAAUGGUUGGUUCAAUCAAUAAUGUUUAAACGCACUCAAUUCUUUUUAUUUUGGCAUCUAAAGAGAAUCUUUUAAUUAGCACAAAUAAUAGAAAGCAAUAGAUGCCUAAUGUAUGGGAGGAAAAAAAAAAAAGGAUUUGGCUAAAACGGGUAGCGCUCACAAAUUUGUGUUUAAAAGGAUUUUUCCAUUUUCCUUUUAUUUUGGGGUGGAAGAUAGAUGAUAAUAAAUAAUAAUAAUAAUAAUAAAGUUUCUUCACCUAACCCACGAUGGAGUAGACCGGAGCCAUUAUUAUUAGAAGAAGGAUUAACCUAGUAGUAGUAGUACUAGUUUCUUAAAGUUUAGGAUAUCAGUCACAGCACAGGUAGUAAUGCUGGGGUCUACAAAAAGGAAGGUUGCAUGCAAUCUGGAAGACAGCUUCUUUAGACUCUUCCGCCGGCCCUUACUCAAAAGCUUACACAUUCCCGACAUGCGCAAAUAAAAUGAUUAAAGAGGCUCUUUCAUCUUGUCUUGUGGGAUUAAGUUUAACCACUCUUUUUUUUUUUUUUUUUUUUUUUGUUCUUUGCAUGUGCAUUACUGUAUAUGGUUACUGCAUAUGAUUCAUCAUUUGUAAAUUAUGGUGAUUUUUUAAUAUCAGUUCAUUUUUUAACAACUUUUUUUGUAAGAGGUAAAUCCUGUAUGACAAUCCACUGUUGGGUAGCUUUGUAUCUUCUCUUCCUGUUUGGAUCGCAUAAUUCUUUUCUUGUCAGGGAGACUGAUGUCAGACCUGCUAGAAGUUAAUCCAGCUAGCUGGCUGGCUAGCCUGAAUGGAUAAGAAAUUGGAUUUACUCUCAAUGUUUUUGUUUGUACCCUGCAUUUAAAAGGGAGAGCCGUGUACUUUUUUUCUUUUUUUUUAAUUCAAGGGUAACCCAGAGGGGACGGAGACGGUAAAUCUAUUCUAUUCUAUACUAGAAUACUAGAGGGAGGGAACAAAUCUGAAGAGAUCCAAAAAUAACCCGAAGGAGAUUGAACCACCACCAGACCAGGGAUAGGAAAUUGGAUUUACUCUCAAUGUUUUUGUUUGUACCCUGCAUUUAAAAGGGAGAGCCGUGUACUUUUUUUUUUUUUGUUAAUUCAAUGGUAACCCGGAGGAGACCGAGACGAUAAACCUAUUUUAUUCUAUACUAGAGGGAGGGGACAAAUCUAAAGAGAUCCAAAGGUAACUCAAAGGAGAUUGAACCACCACCAAAUCAGACAGUUGCACUACGCACUCGUCUGAAUUUUUUAAACAAAGUCACUUAAAUAUAACGAUUGGUGGAAGACAAGGUUUGAACCAUUGCCUCCCAUCCUACCAAGCUUUAAUGCUUUGAUGGUGACCACCAGAUCAAAAGCUGGUGGUUGGAAGAGCCGUGUACUCGUACGAGCAAUAAUUCAUAAUACUUGACGAACCAAAAUUUAUGUGAACUGAAUAGAUUUACUUUAGGUUGUCUUUGGUUCGACAGAAACAAGUAUACUCUAUUCAAAUUUCAAGUCCAAUCAAAUUUCCAACUGCUACAGAACCAAACGCAACCGGAGUAGAUUCAGUCCAAUUUUGGUUUCAGUAGAGAAUUGUCACUCCAAUCAUGAAGUAGAAUUUGAGUCAUGUACAUUAAUUGUGGAGAAUAGUUAAGUCCUGCACAAAAGAGUGACAAGAUCAUCAUGAGCGGAUUUAUUUUCUUCUUUUCGUUUUGUAUCUAUUUUUUAAUUAUUAUUAUUUUUUCAUAGGAAAAUAUUUCGAUGGAUACAAUUCUAAUCAUCAUCAUUACGAAUCAAAACAUAUAUCAUAGGAUCAUAAGUCGCUUACAGUCAUAUGAGUUCUUAUAGAUUAUUUAUCUACAUAACCCUCGUAUUAACAGUAAAAUUUGAAUAUACGAUUUUUUUUUGAAUAAAUGACCAUUUUGAUUGAGUGGGGUUUAACUUAUCUAUUGUUUGGUGGGGAGAGGAGUGGAGCCUAAAAGCUUAGAAGUUACCACAAAAGAACGAAAAGAAAAAGCGACGUGGAAAAGCCAAUCCCAUGACUGGAAGACAAUUAGAGUUUGGGAUUUAUCUCUUUCGUGCAGUCCCCUCAGGAUAAACUUUAAGUUAGUCGGCAGUGACUUCUCAAGCUAAUUUCACUGUAUUUGCCAGCCCUAUAAAGGUCUCUAGCAAUCACCACGAGAUUGACUAACACAUUGUAUUAGCUGUGUAACAUCAAUAAUUGUCCCAUCAUAAUCUUGGUCUUUUUCAUCUUUCUUCUUUCUCUUUUCAUUCUUCUUUUGUCUUUAUAUAUUAAGCAACCAAGUCUUUGAACUUGAUUGAUCUUGUGCAUUUGACUAUAAGCUAAUAUUGUAUGGCAUAGAUUUUUGAUUAAGAACUUGAUGCAAGAGUCGAAGUAGCAUCUCUUAAAAGUAAAGAUGAUAUACAUACAUACUAUGAUAUUAAUCCAUGCAAAGUUACGCCCAAAAAACAUAUCAUCUAUCCAAAAUUAUGGGCAUCUAAAUUAGAUCGAAGACUGGGUCUAGAACAUCAAAAUUUGCAUCACAAAUUGUAUAUUCUACUGAUUGGAAUUGGAUUUCCUUUUUGAGAUACACGUAUAAGUCACUCUUUCCAGCAUCCCAUGCCGAAUUUCUUUAUUAGCGUCAUGAUAUAACUUAUACCUAAGGGAGACAUAUUAUGACAUAUCCAUGGACGAAUUCACAAUAGCACGAUUGAUGGAUUAAGACAAGUCCUCAAGUGGAAUGGAAAUUUUCCUGGACAUUUUAGGUGCAGGAACUCACAAUAAUCAUGAUACGGGAUAAAGAAGGGGCCACCUAGGAAAUGACAAGAACCAAAUCUCACCUUACUAGUAAAUGGCAAUCUUAUGUUUAACCCAGUAGAUGAUAAUAAUAAAAAAAAAGGGGUUCAAUUUUAGUUAUUUGAUCAGGCCAUCCAUAAAAAAGAGUGCAAACCAGUUCUUUUAGAAGCCAUAUAUGCUUGGCAUUCUUAGCCAAUGCAGUAUUAGUGCAAAACUACAGAUACACUGAAAGAAGGUCAGUAUGAAGAUCUAACUAGGAUAAGAUUUCAUCUUACAUAAAUAGCAUGCACUUGGUGCCAACCAACGAAGCAUCGGGAUAUGCCAUUUAGGACCCCCACCCCCUCCCCCCCCAAAAGAAAAAACAAAACAAAAACAAGAAUAAGAAGAAGAAGAAGAAGAUAAAAAAGGAGAUUGCAACUUGUGGAAGGUUGCAUUUUGGUUGGAAUGGAAGCAAACAAACAAAUGCAGUUGAGACUUGCAAUGCGAAAAACAGCUGGAAACCAAAACAAAAGCACAACCAAUUAGGCUGCGAUCCCUUUCAACUUUCAAGCCUCCUCGAGUACCCCAUUUUGCCGAUCAAAUACGGCGGCUCGCACAAAAACGCAUUGUAUUGAUUAACAUAAAACAUUAGAUUUUAGCCACGCUUUUAGAAUCUCAUCACUUUAUUAGGGUAGAUGACAGAAGCUGCUGCUAUGUUGUUACAUGGAUAUGAUAUAAAAGCGCACACUUCUUUUGAAAAAGUGUGUCAAACUCAAGUUUUUGUAUAUUUGCUACGUGCUUUGAUAUGCUAGUACGUACUAUCGAUUUGGUCCCCUCAGGCCCUCAUCACCUUCCCUUGCGCCAAAACAAUUUCUUCAAUUCUUCUGCGUUUACCAUGAGAUGGUUGGCCUUGGCCGCUAGUUACGUGAAUAGUUAUUGCCAGCAGGGAACAGUUUCCCUUUUAUUUUGUCCAUGUCCUUUUGUUGGUUUUGGUACUUUUUUUUUUCGCUGAUACGAUAAAUUAUCCUGUACUAGGGGAGGGGAGGACCUGAAGAGGUCCAAAGGUAACGUAGAGGGGAUUGAACCACCAUCGGACCAGACAAAUGCACUAUGCACCCGCCUGAAUUUUUUUAAGCAGAGUCACUUUUAAUGUAGCAAAUUGAUGGAAGGUAAGGUUUGAACCUUUACCUUCCAUCCCACCAAACUUUAAUGCAUUGGUGGUGGCCACCAGCCUUUGUACUUGUGGAAGUGAAAAUGGAGAAAUGGAUGGAAACAAGUAAAAAAAAAACAAAUAUCAGGGAUCAGUGUGGCCCUAUAAUGUAGUAUAGUACUAGUUCAUGUCCCUGUCACAGAGUACUACUAAUUGUUUAUACUAUAUGAGGUAGAAAAUGGUACAAUUCCACGGUUCAUUUCCCUGGUACAUCGUGUAGUAGCAUAUUGGGAGAUUAAAGUAGUUGGACGUAUGUACUCACAAAAUAAAUUAAAUAUAAUCUAGCUAGGGCACAUGAUAUAUAUUCAUGAACUACAUCUUCUCCACUUAUGAUGCAAUCUAGGGCACCUGACAUAUACUUAUGAUGAACUACAUCUUCUCCAUGGAGUCCUUUUAUAAGACAUGGACGACUACAAGAAGAACACUCAGAUUUAGAUUUAGACAUAUGAUUGUCAAAUCAUUUUCUAGUGCGCAGGCCGUGGGAAACACAAACUGUGACUUGCUAGCUUUUUCUCCUCUUUCGAUCUGUGACUUUAUUUUUUAAAGGCAUUUUGGCAUUUCGCAUGUGGAGAACUGCAUAAUGUUAAGAUACACUUUAACGUGAUUUCAGACGAAAACACUGCCGAAAAAUAAAGGGCUCUUGGCUAUGACCCUGACUUGUUGGGAAAAAAAAGCUUCUACAAUUGUUUUUCAAGACAAAUUUUGAAAGCAAGAACAGAAAAUUAAUUUGCGAAACCCUUUUCUUGUACUAACCUAGGAGUACUUCAACAUGGCUUUCAAUAACAUAAUCAAAGCCAUGCCCAGUUUUAAACUUCCAAUAACAGCACAGUGUUUCUUUCUUUGCAGGGAUUAGUUAUAUUUUUUUGGAUUAUUAAGGCAUUUGGCAUUGGGAUUCUGCCCAGCGGAUUCAUUGCAUUCAAGUUGAAAAAGUUGUCAUCCUUUUUAUCCAAUGAUGAUAGUUCUCUAUCAACAUGCAUCUAGUGCUCGAUGAUGAGCUAUCAAAGCUUCUUUUUUUUUUUUUACGUCUUUUCAUGUUGAAAAUGCCAAUGCAAAAAAUAAAUCAAGAAACAUUCGGACAAAGAAGGCAAGAGCCCCACAAAAAAAGAAAGAAAAUUCACCUAGGCCCAAUGAGACUCAUAAUUAUUAAAUAUCAAUCAAUGUACGUUGAUAUAUUAAUUGGAGGCCUGCAACAAAACCUUCAAAUUUCAAAGUUGGCGAUGAAGUUCAUACAUGAAAUUAACCUGCCUCCCAUUAUUGGAAAAAGAGUCUACUUUUGGCUAUUGGAAUACCUCAAAGCACACUGCUGGAUCCAACGUUCUUCCAGUUUGCACAAGAAUUUGAACAAUUUUUACAUUAAUGGUUUCCACUUUAUUUGUUUUCUUUAGGCUAAUAAAUGCUGAUCCCUAAGCACUUUUCCAGUUUUCUUUUAGGAGUAGCAUUAUUGAACAAUCCCCAUGCAUUUAUUAUUUUGAAUACUUCAAUUUCGAAUUCCAAAUGAAAAGGGUUCGAAUUUUGUACCAUCUCCCCACUCUUGCUGAUUAUAUUAAAGAUUUCGAUGGCGAUUUGCUGUUGAAUACAUGCAUCUUCUUUCACAUUCCACACGGGUUCUUUAGUGCUCCUGCCGCCUAUAGGCACCAUGGCUACCUACCCAAUAUCUCUGUCUUUGUCCUUGUUUUGUUGGUCUUAAGUCUGGUAAUAAAAUACUUUUGGAUCCAUCACAAAAGUUUUUUUUUAGAUAAUUUCCUUUUCCUUCAAUAUCUUUUUUUCUAGAAAAGAAGCAAAAUUUUAUUAAUGAGAUUAUUAGAAUUCGUCUAGUAUCAAUUGCUUUACAAAAUGGUCGGAGGGAAAUUUCAAAGAGAUUAAAUAUGAUUGGACAUCUUUGCAUGAUGUGCUGAUUUGUGCUCAAUGUUUUCCUCCUCUCUAGAAAUACAAAUUACAUCCACUACAUGUUGAUGUAAUACAGUAAAGCGAACAUUCUCAAUUAUCGAAUCUAUAAUAUGUCUGAGAGAAUGUCUUCAGAACUGAUAUCGGUUUCCUCAAGUAUCUUAUUUUGAAUAAUUGAAAUAUUUAGACUAAUGCCGGUUUGCCACCAUCUUUUCGACCAUUUCCGUUUAAAUUUUUCUAUAAUUUGUCAUUUGGAAUUAGGGCCCCCUCAUAGAACGAAAAGCUACAUAGGUACCAUUUUGUGCUUUUGCAUUGAAAAAUAUUUUGUGACAUACACUUGCCGAAAUAAAAUUUUGAAGUGUCAGCGUAUAAAUCGUGAAUAGUUUUUUCUCUCUCUUUUUUUUUUGUUGUCAAAUUUCAUAUUAUGAAUGGUUUUCUCAGUAAUAAAGCUUUUAUUUAUUCGUUUAUUUACCUAUUUUGACAAACUUCUUGGCAGUAAAGCUCAUAUCUUAAAAGGCCGUGUGAACUAAAUAAACCAAGCAUUAAAAGGGCCAAAUUUAGCCGAACGAGUCCAAGCAGACUACAGCAAUUUCCAGUUUUCUAGUGUGCGACCCAAUCAAUUAAUUGGAAGAUCAAUCGCACUAAGCCCAAUACAUUGACCCCGUCAGGCUAUCUAGCUGGAUUACUCCAAUGACUUAUGGGGAAAAAAAUUAAAAAAGGAAGCAAAAUAAACUAAAAUGCGUUUUUUUUUGGUCCCUAUAAUUUACUCCAAUGAGAUAGUAGAAAACGUCAUACUUUUUAAGCCCCUUUCAAUUUAUCUCCUACAUUCCCUUUUUUUUUUCCUUUGCUAGAAAGUUCAAUGAGCAAGAUUAUCCAAUACAUUGGUUUUCAACAAUAAAUAACAUCUUAAUCAUACUAGCUUCCGUAAGCUUGAUCAUAGAACAGAGACUUCUAGUAAUUAAGAGUUACAAAUGAUGAAAGUAGCCAAUCAUUCUUGCAGUGUUGUGAAGAAUCAUCGAAUGGCAAUCGUGAAUAAGAAGAAAUCAACUGCUUUGUUUCUCAUCAAGAAGUGUAGCAACUCCUCAUAAGAGGAGGAAUGAGCCCACCGCCAAAAAAAAAAAAAAAAAAAAAAAUUAGAGACAGCAUAGCCAUGAUGUGUAGAUUCCUUUUUUUCAUCUGCAGGAGAAAUCUUUUACCUGUAUAAUACACGUCAAUUACCUGUAUAAAGUUCUUGACAGAGCCUUUUUAAAUCUACUAUCCUUCUCAAUUUCGGCAGAACUGCAUCUUGAGCAAACCCGUGCAAUUUCCACACCCAUGAAUUAUCACAAGCCUAGAUAUAGCUACCUAGCAUGCAUUUUCCACCUCAAGAAAAUGUAACCACAUAUACAACUCGGAAAAGGUCCGCCCGCCCAGGAAUAGAUAUCUUGAAGCUGUUUAGGCUGUUUGCUAGGAAUACCCAGUUUUCUCCACCUAUACAACACAUUUCAUCCAGUCUGAGGCUAUUGUAAAAAAAGUCCUUGAGUUUUGAUAUCCAGAUAUUCCUUUGGGAUGAGCACAAUGCGGCGCUUGAUCAUCUAUUGUAUCGUUUUGAGGUUUUACUUAAACUGGCAAUCAGUGAAGAAUAAGAGCCAUAGUCAAGAAUAAGCCCUUUCUCACUACGUAGUUUCUCAUAAUUGUCAGGGUUGCCAUACUUGCAAUGCCCAUCCAAUAGGAUGUUAAAAGUAAUGUCAUCCGGAGCAACUCCUAGAUUGAGCAUUGCAUGCAAGAGCAUGUCAGCAUUCUUCAUCUGUCCCAGCUUGCACAAACCAUUCAUUAGCACAUUGUAAAUUAUAAUACCAGGUAUAUGUCCAUCACUCUGCAUCACUUUCAGCAACUUGAAACCUUUCUUAACAUCUCCCUUCUUACAAAAUCCAUCCAUGACCAUAGUAAACGUAGCAUCAUCAGGCUUCAAACCAACAUUUAACAUUUCCCUCAACAUAAUUUCUGCAUCAUUGAUAAGCCGUUCUCUACAAAGGCCAGAAAUAAGAGCUGUAUAGGCAAUAUCAUCAAGCUGAAUUGCUUCACUUACCAUGACAUUCCUAAUUUCUAAUGCUGCUUCCAAAUCACCCCCUUUACAUAAUCCAUCAAUAAGACUCGUAUAUGUAACUUUAUCCGGCUUCAAACCUUUUCGUGUCAUCUCUUCAACAAGACCCCUCGCUUUGCCCACAUCUCCAGUCUUGCACAGCCCAUCAACAAGCGUGUUAUAAGUGAUUAAAUCAGGUUGCACUCCAUCACUUAACAUUUUCUGAUAACCUUCCAUUGCCAAUCCAAUCCUUCCAUUCUUGCAAUAACCCUUUAUCAAUGUAGUGUAAGUAACAUGAUUCGGAAUUAAACCUUUCCCACACAUCUCACCAAACAACUCAUUUGCACCAUCUAUCUCACUCUCCCUACACAAUGUAUUGAUCAAAACACUAUAAGUAUAAACAUCAGCCAAUAUUCCACUCUCCUCCAUUACUCUCUUCAACCUGAGCCCCUCAUUCAAACUACCCAACCUACAGUACCCAUUAAUCAAAGUAUUAAAACUAACUAAACUAGGCUUCAGACCCCUUUUCCCAAUUUCAUCAAAAACCAACUGGGCUUCCCUUAUUUCACCUAUUUUACAAAAUUUGUUCAUCAAAAUAUUAAAACAGAACAAAUCUGGUGGAAACCGAGCUUCCAAAAUUUCCUUAUAAAAGUCCCAAGCCAAAGCUGGAGACUUUAACUUCAUAAAAUGAUUAAGAAUUCUCAAACAAGCCUCAAAAGGGAUAUGAAGUUGAUGCUUCUUAAUCAAUCUAUAACACUGCAUUGCAUCGUCAAAAAGGCCUAAUUUCAAGUAAGCAAUGAUCAAACUGUUAAGAAUCACAUAAAGAUUGGAUCUUUGGCUACCUUUGGUCUUGAGAAUUGCUGAAAAAACUGAGAAAGCCGAAUUUUUGCCUUUUCUUGAAACAAUAGUGUUGACAAGGUUGUGAACAUAUGGGAGCAUUUUGUGGCUGCAGAGGAAGUGGACCAUCGUGCAAUAGGAGAAAAGGGUGUGGCGAUAGGGGGUGGGGUGUGAGGGAGAAGAGAGCCAUGUGAAGAAAGAGUAGAUGGAAUCAGGGGAAAUGGAAUGAGGAUUGGUGUUUAUGAGGUUUAUGAUGUCCUGGGGUUUAAGAAAAGGGAGGAGGGUUUUGAGUGAGGUUUGAAGAGGUUUUUUUGGGGAGUUUAUUAUGGCUUCUGAGAGAGUUGUGAGAAUUGGGUCUGAUGAACCCUGAAUUUGAGGUUGGCGGAGGGAUUUUGGUGGCGCAUACCAGGUGGUGGUGGUGGAGGUGGCGGCAGCGCUGGUGGAGAGAUGGCGGAGGUGGGUUAGAGAGGAUAAGGAGUGUUGGGGUGCUCCCGACAUCUGCCGUAGUGUCACGUGCUCAAGGUCAUUGAAAGCAAAGUUAACAAUUCCAAAUUCUGCGCCUUUAAAGACAAUGAGGAUAAAGGCGUGGUAUACACAAGAAAGAAAACCAAAACUUUCUCCAUGAAUUUGUCCGGGAAGCGUGGGGUCUAACCUUUUUUGUGCUGUUUGUGCCGUUGAGAAUGGGCGCGUGAAGGGGAUCCUAUUACUACUAGUUACUGGCCCUGAAAGCGUAACUAGUUUCACGCUUUUGUGGAAUUUGUGAACUUGGUACUAAGCUGGAUAAAGCGUCGUGUUAUUGGCUGAGGAUUUCUGAACAAAAAUUACAAAUUUACGUUAGAACCGUUUAAAACAAAUCAUUGUAAUAGCAAAGCCAGCCCAGAAGUACCUUACAAGUUGAUGGAGCAAACUCCAGAAAAGCAAGAGAUUUUACACUUUUUGUUUACUUCACAGUUUCACACUCCAUUCAAAAAAAUGAUACCAAUAGAGGAAUUGAAAAACUUAAAAAAAAAAAAAAAAAAAGGUCCACCUCAAUCAGAUCCAUAACUAGCAUACACUACUCGUACCACGCCUCAAUGUACUGUUUCUGUUUUGAGCUUUUAAUUCCAAGCCGACAACCAACUGAACAUAUCCAAUCUCAUCAAUUUUGACUAGACAUGGAUGCCCCGUGUUCAGCAGCUAGAAGUUUUGACCUCCGUUACCAAUUUUUCCGGCCACCAUGACUAUAUGCAAUUUUAAAACUCCGACCAUCCACGACAUCAUCUUUCCUCGAGCCACAUACCGCCCCAUACUUCAUCCAAAACCCUCUUGAAUUUUUGCGUUUCUGCUUACUUUUUCCCUCACUUGUGCCACUUUCUGAUAACGACACAACUCUGUUAUUAGCGCGAUGAUCACUGCCAAGAAAACUUUUUAAAUACUCGGCUCGACUCGACUCUGCCAUAUAGCGAUCAAGUUCCUUCGAUAUCCUCUGGAUUUCAUAAUCAUCAAGAAGAGAUAUCUCGCUUUGUUUGCUACUAGCAGUAGAGAAUGGACUAAGAGGAGCUGAUGUUGGAGGUGAGAGACGAUGUAUAGGAGCUUCUUCAGACUCUUUCAUGGCUUCAAUCUUGUACCUUGAUGGUUUAGGAGCUCUUUUAGGCAUUGCAAGAUCGUACUCGCGCACUGCUCGGCCUUCAGAUCCUGAUCCAUGUUGAUACCAUGCCCAUGCUGCUGCCUUCACCAAAGCCAAUUCAUCAAUGCUCCCUCUGCUACCCUUUCUUCUUUCCAUCAAAGAAGCAACGCUAUGGCGAAAGGGUUCUUCUGGAAAUGGCCAGUUUUGCUUACUAUUGGGGUCGGAAUGGAAUGAAACACAAAGCUCCACGCUAUACUAUUGGGAAUGUGUUGGUUAUGCGCUUCAACCAUUCGAACAAUAAUAUGUCUCUUUCAGAAAAUGAAAGUAACGUAGGUAUGUCAUACUGUCAUGGAAGUAAUGAAGGCCGUAGGAUAAUUCGUUACAUGAAUCGUAAUAAUAGAGUCGCUAUAUGUCUAGUUGUGGAGCUGAUGUCAGGCUUGAAUGUCCAUUUAAUUCAAUGUGUCGCUAGGGGUCCAUUCCAUUACAAGGACUGUUUUAAAUUUUGGUGAGAAAUAGAAUAUUUAACCGGGUGAAACUGGAAACAAGAGAAUUGGUCCCUUAAUUUAUAAUUCCCAGUUGUGGCAAUUUAUUGUUUAGACGUAUAAAAGACUUUAUCUAUUCACCAAAAUAGAUUACAUAUGAAGUCCGGGUGACAGGGAAGAUCUUCAUCAUGUUCAUAUUGCUAGAAAGAGUCAGCCAGGCUGGUCAUCCCAUUCCGCCUCUUUUUUUUUUUUUUUUUUUAAAUUAAAGUUUGAAUGGUUUCGAUUUCGACCACCACCAUGAAUCAAGAUAUACUUUCAAUCUACACAGCGAUAUAAAAAUUCAUAAUCUUGUAUUCACAUCUCCUUACCAACUGAGUCAACUUGUAUUCGUGUUCUGUUCAGCUUUUGCAUAUUUACUAGUAGAAGGAAAAACAAGGUUGCGUGCGUUCAGUUGAUUUGUUCAAGCCAGAUUUGUUGUUGAAUACGUUACUUCUAAAAAUCAAAUGCUUUGAACUGUUUACACAUGCCCUGCAGGUUUGAAAUUUUACACUUAAUUAUGUACGUACAUUGGUUGAAAUAUUAUUGGUUGAGCCGGUUAUCCAUGAUGCUUUAAUGAAACUUCAGAAGAACUUUAGACUUCGACACUUUUUCUCCAAAAUUAUGAUGAUACUUUUGGAUCUUCCCUAUGAUAAUCUGGUGGUGGUUGAAUUCUGGCACGGCACGGCACGGCGGCGGCGGGGCAUUUGUUUAAGCUUCCACCCGUUGCAAUAUUUGUGAUUUGGAUCUUCCACCCGUAGCAGUUUUAUGACUGUUGUUUACUUGUUUUUGUGGUGCUUGGUCAUGUCAUCUAAUCCAACCAUACCAUUGACGUAUCUACUAUUAGAAGAAGAAAAAGUAUUGGAUAAUCACUUGAUAACAAAAAUUCUUUUCCCUUGGAUUGCAGUAGUGUUGCUUGCAGUCCUUAUACUAAUACUAUUAUGACUAGAUACUUUAUCGGAACUUGCAACUAUUCUGAAUCAGCGAUCAAGCACUUUUUCGUGUAAUCCCACUAUGCAAAAGUUGGCCGAUAACAAAUCGGAAAAGGUUGCAUUAAUUUGGUUGUUUCUCUUAAUUAAAUAUGCCAACACUGAAGUAAUAAAUUUGUCCUUGAUCUCUAGCUUUUUGAACUCUGUAGCUGCAAAAAUAUAUCACCUAUUAGCACCAUCUGUAAAAGCAUAUUCAUUACCAUGUAUGCUACAAGAUAUGCAUUCUUUCAUGUGUGUGCUCUCUCUUUUCUACUUGGAAGCUAUUGUUUGUUAUAUUUUCUUUAUCUUCUGCUUUCAUGGGAAAAAUGUUAAAAUGAGCAUAAGCUGGAGAGCUCUGGAAUUUCAGUCACCAUGUACUUCACAUUCUGAGUAAAAAUAUCUGUACAGAAUACCUAUCGAAGCAAACCCUGUAAACCUUCAAAAGAAUAGGAAUCAAAACUACCAAUUGCAAUUGAGCUACAAAAGCAAAACUGCGGAAAUCCAACAAAGAGAACUAUACGCACGUUGUGCGUUCUUUUUAGCUGAACAGCUAGCACAAUUCUGAGGACUUCAACUGCAUGUUAAACUCUGCUGGAACAUUCUUUGAAUCUGCAGAUGCCAGUGACUGAACUUACAUCAUGUACAAACAAAUUUAACUUCUACGUUUUCUGGUGGCUGAAAUUUCAACUUCUACAUGCUUGAUUUCGUCUUUCAACUCUUCCAAAGCAGCCUUUCCGGAUUGCUUAACGCUUGCUGUUGAGUUAUCAUUUAUCAAAGCGAGUAGAUGCUUCAAGCACGAGAGGUACUCGGUUUUUACCUCAGGAGAACUAGACAAGGACGUCUCGGUGCCAAACUGCAAAGAAAAACCAUACUGCCUUAAACAAUUACUGCCAAACAGGGAGUGACAAUCUCUUCAUGUGAGGUCAAAAAAAAAAAAAGAUGAUCUCUUCAGCCAUUGUCAGGAUUAGACCUCAUUCACAUGCAACUAGGAUCAGCAAGAUGAGUCAAAAGGAGGUCAACAGGAAAGGCAUGAGCUACAGUAGAAAUGGUAAAUUAUAUCAUAAAAGGAAGAGCAAAUGUAAUGCAGAAAAGCUCUCCCCGCUAGUGACCCAUGAAUUUGGAUUAAAGAAGGAUUAUAGGAGGAUAAGGUUCUGGGUUUUGUACCCUAAAAGUGUAUUGUGGUUUGAUUGUUAAUUUUUUUUUUUUUUAAUUUAAACUGUCAAACCAGCUGGGGAGAUGCAUCGCUGAAUCUUCGUAUGCUCUGAGAAGAUUGUGUUCCAUGAUGCAUCAUGUUGUCUGCUGAGUGGAGAAUAACGUUGUAAGUUGCAAAAGAAGAAAAAGAAAAGCCAUAUGUGAUAGGAGGAGACCGGGAAGCCGAUUUCUUAGUAUGACUUCAAAGUCAUUUCAAACUUAUAAAAGCUUCAAUAUUUUCUAAUUUAGUAAAAAUAUAACAAAAAUAUUUGGUAAAAAUAUAACAAAAAUAUUGUAAAUAAUCCAAUAUCUGCAGCUGUAUGACGAUUUUUUAUGUGUAAGGGAACACAUCCAAACAACUAAUUUCUGGAAAGGGAGAGCAAAAUCAACCUGACAAGGAUCUAUAAUCCAUUUUGGACAUACCUCCUUAAAAGUAGACAUGCAUUCGUGAAGAAUUUUCUCAGCCUCAAAGACAGGACGAUCUUCAUCCUGUUUCAGCAAAUAGAACUUAAGAAUGAUUAAACUGCACUAAGAAUUUUCAAAACCAGAACAUAGUAGAGAAUUUCAGGAUUAAAUCCUACAGAGAUAAUAUGAAAAGAACAUCCAGAAGAUUGUGAAAUUUCAGCUGGAUAUAAGCAUAAAAUUAAUCUUUCUAAAAGUAUAUUGUCCAUUAUGGUCAAGCUGCUUUAUAAUGUAUGCCCACUCAAGCUCCAAUUGAUCAGAGAGAUGCAGUAGUGAAUUGGUAAGGAAGAUAGAGAAGAUCAAAAACAAGGGCAUCAAGUGCUAUAUAUUUGCUUUCUGUUGGUCAUUUUCUUAAUAGCCUUCUCAUUAUGACAAAAUUACCACAAUAACCACCAUAAGCAGUAACAAGAAUUUGCACAAAACCCCCAUAAGAAGCAUGUUUUGCUACAAUGAGGUCAAAGAAACGUCCAUGGUACUACCAACGCAAUUACAAACAUUACCAUAUUCAUAAUAAUUCAGACAUCAGAAAUGACUGGAAAAAAAUGAUGAAUUGAUAAUAUUUGAUUAUCAAAUCUGAUGAGAAAAUGAAAAGGUAUAACAUCUGAUCUGAGAAAAUAAAAAUAGUAAUUCUUCCAUCAAUUCCAUUUUAUCAGAGCAGAUUUGUUCCUGAGUAUGUGAAGAAGUAACAGAUGCUUAAGACUUGGACAUCCAAAAUAUUUGUAACCUGAAUUGGAUGCUGUACUUCUAGUUCAGAUUUGUUCCAAUCUGAUGGCCAGGUAUCUCAGAGGAAUCCUUUAUUCUAAUGACCUACCUUAUUAUAUUUGAGAAUAUAAAAUAAUCUUAUCAACCCACAGUAUUCCAUUUUACGAGAUCCACACUUCAUCUUAUCUAUCAAAUUUAUUCAAUUUUUUAUUAAAGGUAAAGUAUCACACUUAAUGUUUCACCAAAAGGUCAUCAAUUUCAUUGAUUUUUCAGGGAGCUGCAAACACUGACCAUAGACUCCUGCAGUUCUAGCUUGGUGAUCUCCAAUGAUGCAAGUGCAUUAAGUGACUGCAACUGCAGCAAAAUUCACCAGCAAUUGUAGUUAGAAUCACAUAAAAGUCCCUUGAUCCAGAACAGCAAGUAUUGCAAAGCACAUAUCAGUAUAUUUCUGCAAACCAAACUUAGUGUAUGAACUCAUAUAACGUUAGAUAAAACAUAAUUGACUAAGCUUUUCCAAAUCAAACCAAGUCAAACGCAUUAAGAAAACAGAGGUCAGCUGAUUGAACUGAAACCUCGUGUAACCUUCAUGUUAUACAAUGAAAUUUGUUAAUUCAAUUGAGUUAAAAAUAAGUUUAGUAGAUCUCGAGCAAAUCUAAGUAAGUAUUUCGAAGUAACUUGAGCAGAGCUUUCCCCAGUACCUACAGGGAAGCAUUUUCCUCUUUUCUAUUUAAGAAAUUCAGCAAUCUUGAUAGACCUUAUCCAUCUCUUUUACCACCCGUUUAAGAGCUUUUCAAUCUUAGAUAAAGCAUCUGCACUGAAGCGAUGUGCAACUAAACUAAAGUGGUUUAAAUUUCUUUUCAUUGAAAUUGGAUAGAUCUUCAAGAUGUUUCUUUCCAGAAUUUUGAUCUUCUGAACCAAUUGACCUGUCAAUAAUUCUAGCUGUAAAUACCAUUAGAGGUAUAACCAUCACAAAAGGAAAUAGAAAAAAGAUGUCUGCUUAAAGAACAUACAUCAAUGAAAAGCAGAAUCAAUAGCAAAAAGAAAAUGUCAAACUUGUCCGUAUGAAAAUAUGAGAGAAGAAUACUACAUGAAAAUGAUUGUGAGUUUGUGACAAUCAAAGUUCCUUGAACCAAAAGAAUGAGAUAAAGAAAAAGAUAAGCAUCAAGAGAGCCCCAAAACUGAUGAAUGUUUGAGAAGGUUACAAUAUUCCACCCAAGAUUUUUUUUUUUAUUUGCACACAAGAAAACCUGCAAACAAUAAGGAAACUCACAAGUAUUAACAUUGCUGAAUGCUCAUUUUUGGCAAUGUUUCGGACCACUCCAUGGGGCUGCUGGUUUCUAUUCUGCUUUCUUAAUUGAACCAGAACUUUUCGAGCUACCCUAUUAUUCACAGAUCAAAGAUGGGAAAGGAGAGGAUCAAAAGAGUGAAAUGUUCCAUAAAAUGUAUUCCACUAUCAAACACACGAGAUUUACAAGAAAGAUUACCACCAAAUAAGAAAACUUGCCUAAUACUGCUUCUGUCCAAGAUCAUAAUGAUCUAAGAAGCUAUACCACUUUUCUGAGUUAAAUAGUUAAAGAUCCACUGAACCAUCUCACAAUUUCUUUUAGUGUAUACAUGUAGUCUGCAGAAAUAAGUUCUGUUCAUAUGAUCCUCAACAUUUAUACUUCCUCAUUUCAAUUAAUUGUUUACCAAAAAAACAUUCAACAUUAAACCUGGUCCUUUUAUAUAUUGCACAAUCUUUUUCUAGCUUAAGCCGAGACACUAGGAGAAUACUAAACUUACAAUCCCUAAUUUAGUGCUUCAAACUUUCCUCAAAAUGAACAUUGAUGUUCUUCCAAAAAAAGUUUGAUGUUACUGUAUUAAGACUCCCAAUAGAAUGUCAAAACAUCAAAAACAUAUCAAUAAUUAUAUCGCCUUGAGGGCAGCUACAGUUAACUUGCUCAUCCAUGAUUACUAGGCCACUAAGACGAGCCUAAAACUCAUGGAUUAAGAACUUCUUAUGGGCCACACUGGACAAUAUUUGAAUAUCUUGAAAAUGAGAAAGAACCAAAACCAAAAUAGCAUAAAGAAUUAAACUGAGUUGACACUCUCAUCUCAGCAUCAUUGAAGAGCCAAUUAACAUAUAUCAAAAGCUAUACUGCUAAAGCACACAGCCCCCAACGAAAAUUUAGUUUCUACAAUCCAAAGAGAACAUUAAAUGUGUGAAGUAAACAAGAUCAAGAUAUAUUGAACAGACCUUAUUGAAUUACUUAAAAGGCCUUUUGCCCUCUCCAGCUCUUCCACUGCUUGAGGAACAUUUUUCUUCCUUAGCUGGUUAGACUUGAGCGUUUUCACCCUAGCAAUGUAGAGCAUAUUUGCAGCAGUCUGCAUGUGAACCAAAUUAAUCAUCUUAGUUGAGAUCAUGUUUCUUGUUCUUUCUUCUUUUUCUUUCAACUGGGAUAAGUUAGGCAGCAGCAACUAUGUUCCCACCCAACUUUGUUGAUUCAUAAAAUAGUUGCCAAAGUUAACCAAUCAAUCAGGCUUCAUGAGGUAAUUAAAGGAAUAAGUUCGUUGUUAUAGGAAAUUCCAAUGUUUCCAGCCUUCAAGAUAAGCAGACUUUUCAAUUAGAAAGAACCGCUAAAAAUUGACAACUACAGGGGUGGACAAUGUCAGUGUUUUUUGUUGACACAAACCUCAAUAUGGUCUUCAGGAAGUAAGGUUUUUCUGGCAUCAAGACAUCUGCCAUGUAAAUUGAUGCAUUAAACAUUUUUGCAAAUGGAAUUAGUAAACUUGACAAACUUCUGUCUUUGAUAUAUGAAAUUCACCUUUCUAAGAGCUCUUCUGCUUCCUUUAAGUUUACAACUGAUUGAAGAGUCAGGGCAAGGCGUUCUGCAGCAAUUACAGUAUCCAAGGAAGCCCAACCCUAAGAAAUAGGCUACUUGUUAUGCAUGUAUCGUGUACAUGAUGACCAGAAAAAAAUGGAAUACAUAAGUACAGAAAAAAGGUAGCAGCAAUAAGACAUAUCAAGAAAAACGAGUGUAGUGCAUACAACCAAGAUCAGAUCAAAGCCAAAAUACAAUAGUAACACGAAGAUUGUGAAGGCAGCUAAACAUCAGCAGCUGCAAUUGGUAUGACAUCUGAUGGAAAGAGCACAUAACACAAUGAAGCAUUGUUGGGGUUCAGUCACAGAAAAUGAGAAAACGUUUCUUCCCAUUGGACAAUUUCAAUGUGUCCAUAUCUUGAUAAGAAUAACUUGUUUGAAGCAAAGGGACAAUAUACAGCGAGAGACUUACUGUAACAUGAAGAAAUUCAAGUUCUUGAAAAGAAGAAGAAAAAGUGAAAGUGUGCAGGGAGUUGCGAAAAGAAGCUAUCUGAGCUGUCCACGUUGAUACUGUGGGCACUGUUGGCACAAAAAAUCGGCUUAUGAAGGAGACUUCAACCAUCAGCCACGCUACUACCCUAUUUUGUGAUUGCAUUUCAAUUCAGCUGAUUUGAAACACCAAGGUUGUUGAUUUUCUAUAUGCAUCCUCAAUUUUGUAUUCAUUCAUGAAGAGAUAUAAUCCAGAAGGCUAUUUAUGACCAUCCCGUCCCAUCGUGAAUACCAUUCAGCAACUGGGAAAAGCUAUAGAAAAUCCCAGCCAGUUGUAAAAACAACUAUUCAGCGAGUAUCAUUUCCACUUCACUAGAAAAGCUAAAGUAUAACCAAACAACACCAAAUGAGACAGAUUCUUGACUAGAGUUUGAAUAAGUAGUAAAGACAGAAAAAGGAACAUGCAAUACCUUUGAUAAUUCCAUCAUGUGUAAGAUCUUUCUCUGUAUAUUCUCAGCUUCUGCAAUUUGGUUGGACAUUAUGUAGAUCUACAAACCCAAAAAAAAAAAAUCUUAUUGAAGGGCUUUCAAUGAUUCCGCAUGAGAUAAUCAGGAUACAGGAUCCUGUUACAUCCACAAAGCAACUGAAUAUAUGCACAACAUAAAAGAAGGAAAAUGAAGGACUGAAUACAAUUAUGCACGUAAAGUAGAUGAGCAUCUUUGAAGAACUGAACAUGGUUUAGGCAGAGGCAAGCAAAUGGUUGAGGUAACAAGCUAAAGCAAAAUCUUAGGAUAAUUAUGUUUAUCUGUUCUGUCUGCUUACGUCAUUGUCUUCACAAUCAACAGCCUAAUCAAGAGCUUAAGAAUAAACUGAACAAUUUUCAAAAACAGAAUAUAUUUACUGAAACUCCUUGAAAGACCUUCUAUCUAGAUUUAAGAUAUUUAUAAAAUUAAAAAAAAAAAAAGAGCAGGUAGCUGACACCAUAGGAACAAUAAUAGACGCAAAAUCAGGGUUGCAUCCUCCAUGACAAUGAAUUUAGAGAACCUUCCUCAACUAGAUGGUACAGAAAUACAACCUGAGCAAGAUAUUGCAGCCUCCUGAGACAUGUAAAUGAUUCCCCUAGCCCAGCUUCCUACAUUUUAUGUACAAAGCCAAUGAGGAAAAGAGAAGAGAAGAAAUCAUUGACAGCAAACAACCAGCAAUUGCAACAGAUUAAUGGACCUCAAGUAUUCGAACAGAAUCUCGAACCAAAGCCUCAGCAUCCUUCUCUUUUCCUUCAAGAAACAUUACCUGGAAGUCAGGUUACAUGUAUAAGACAAAGAACAGUGAAAGAACCAUUAUACAUAACAAAAAGACCUUAAUCUAGCUGUCCUAACAGAAAAAAGUUUAAUCCCAUUAAUGCAUACAAGAGAAUUCACCCAACUGGAAGCAUCUGAGAAGGAAAAUUAUGUUCGCCUCUCAUAUUACUUAAUCCUGACCUUCCCAAUGUGAAUCUAAAAUUCAUGCAAGGGCUCAAUUUCUGAAGACUUUGAAAUGCUUUUCACUAGUGGCCACAUAAUAGAAUCAAUAGAAUAAAUAGAGCGCUCUCAUCCUUUAUACUUGUUAGAACAAAAAAGGAAAACAUAGUAAAAACACCAGAUGAAUUAUUGCAACUGCUUAACCACUAAAACAAUAAUUAAGUAGCGUCACAACUGUAUCUGUUACUCAAGAUCUAAUAAUAAGGCUGAAUCAAUCGCCUCUAAAAAUCAUGAGGCAUAUUAACACUUUCAAGAGUAUAACCAAAUAAAGCUUUUGAAAAAUUUACCAAUGGCAAAAAGUACCAUUUUUUCCUGAGAAUUUACUGGUCCCUAAGUCUAAUGGAGGAUCACCAAAUAAAACCUAUUAAUUUGGCAAAUAACAGAAAUGAAAUCUGAACAAACUGAGAAUCAAAUUAAGGAACUCCAAGAGUAAAAAACUUCAGCCAAUAGCAGUAGCCAAGCAUUGCUGCCAAAGUAAUCUAUUCAAGUAUGAGGGACAAUAUUAGAUAUCUAAAUGUUGAACUGAUCUGCAAUCUGAAGUUGUGGGCAAAAAGUAAUCAUAAAUAAACAACAACUCCUAGGAAAGCAUAUGCCAGGACUGGCCAUACUUAACUUAAUGGCCUUUAGGCAUCUAAUGAUCAUAGCUUUUCAUUAUUGUGCCAAUCAUAACCCAGGCGCCAAUUAGAGCCUAAAUGUAUCUUUCAUAUCAGAUCAUUCCUUAGACCUAAUUUUUGCAACUGAACAAUGUUAAGGUUAAGAACAUAAGCUACCAGAAUGCAGCAAGUAUGGGAAGAUUUAACAGUAAGGCAGAAAAUUAAGGCAUUACAGUUCCAAGAUGAUACAUUGUAUCAGCAUGGUCUGGGUGGCCCUCUCCCAAAACACGCCUCUUUAUCUAGAUAAGAAAUCCAGGAAAUAAGACUAGAUGUCAGUAAUUUUAUUUAUCAGAGUAAAGGAGAGAAACCAGUUCAAUGAUUAUAGCAUACCUUUAGAGCACGCUGCCAAAGGAAUUGUGAAAGAGAAAGGCAGAAAACAGUAUUAGUAAUUAUUACACAUGAUGUAUACCACUUCUUCUUAAGCACAAAAAUGAAAUAUAUAUUCUUGAAUAAUUCAAAUCACUCGAAAGGAGAGAAUCAAAGUCUAUAAGGUAACAUGUCGGAUGCAGAAACUCAAAAUGCAUGACUUUCUAUGUUUUGACUGCAAAAGCGAUAUAGUUAUGGGCAAAUUUGCAAAGGCGAAGUGCACAGGACCAGAAGUAUCUCACUUUGGUAUUUCCAUUGUAUCCCUUGAACUUAAUCAACAAUCUCAUAGAAUUGAUAACAGCUCCAUGAUUCCUUGCCAGAAACACUGACAUCCAAUUUUCCAGGAAUAAUUACAAAUUCAGUUUCAGGCCUUUCUGUUAAAAAUUUGUGCUUCCAAAUCUGGGCUGUAGUACAAAAAUUUUGGUCCUUUUGAGCCAAAAUCGGCUAAUUUGUGGAUGUUAUGCUUUAUAGAGAAUAGCCAAGCAUACAAUUGGUUUUUGCACUAAACUCUUAUAUUCGGAUUAAAAGGGAAACAAAUAUGCCAGGCCCAGUCACUAUGCCAUAUUAAAGCUUAAAGUUCAUUUGAACCAGGGGCUAUGCCAGAUUGAAUUACACAACUAGACGCUGGUCCUUAACAAGAACAGAAUUAGACUGAUGGAGAAAUGGAAUCCUGAAGGAGAAAACAAAGAAGCAGUGAAGACAUGCCGGAAAGUUACGGUGCUUUGUUCAUGCAGUUACCUCAUAGCAAGCACGAGCUUUUUCCAAUUUCCGCUGGACUAGGUAGAAUUGGCCAAGGUUGUGAAGGGCAGCCCCAACUCUAUAAUAAAGCCCGUGCAAAUGUAUAACAGUUAUAUAGUGGUUAGACAUGUACAGUGAAGCGUCAAAUGAGUUACUCAACUAGUAGCCCAGUAAAUCACAUAAAACCAUGCUACUUCUCUUUAAGGAAUGAGCAUGAAUGUAAAUGUCACUAAAUGCAUGCAAUAGGCAGCCAGUUAAAUAGCUUAAUCACAGAAGUUAUAGCAAUUUAAACUUGUUUAUGCUUCAUUAGUCAUCCAUGCAUUGGACACAAAUAGGUAUAUUACUAAACAAAGAAAAUCUUGGUGAAGUUCAAAGUAUAGUUAACCAAGAAAGGACAAACAAAUGCAGUUUUGUACAUAGUAGUAACUCAGUGAACAAAAAAGAGAAUUUCCUACCUUAUGUCAUCAGGUCCAAAUGACUCCUCAAGUAUACUGAUAGCUUCCAAAUAUAAAGGUUCAGCUUUAUUAAGUUCCUUCUUAACUCUAUAUAAUUCUGCCUGCAACAUUAUCAGAGUUGCAAUAACAUGAAAAUUCAAUUUUUUCUAAAGUAGAAAAAUAAAGAGAAAGAUAUCUAUUGAUAUUUGUUAACCAUAUUUAAUACUGGGAGUGUGCAUUAAAAUAAUGUAAACACAAAAUUAGCAUUUGGACCAAAGCAACAUUUCAAAGUAUGAUUUUAGAUCUUUAUCUGCAAAACAAGGCAUCAGAAUUUGCCAAAUAUUGCACUCUCAUACAUCUUGGAGAGAAGCCAUAUCCAGGUAUCACUACAUUCAAUUCAAUAGUAAUACUUAUUCCUACCCAAACUUCAAGAGAAAAAUCUAUGUAAUUGUUCAAACAUCAAGAGAAAAACAAUGUACAUAAUUGUUCAUAAGUUGUGAAUGACAACAUAAUGAACGCCCAUGACCAAUUUAGAUGAAUUGAAGCCGUUAAGACUGAAGUUUGCCAAUCUGACGGCACCUCCAAUUACGUAUUGUCCACGGAAUUGUUUUUCUAGUCAAAACAAUAAAUCAAGCAGACAUUUAUAUGGAGAGUCCUAAGAAUUAUAUUUGAAAUUUCUCCAUCUACAACCUACCAAGUUGUUGCAUGCCGAUGCAACAUGUGGGUCUCUCUUGCCAAACCCCUCUUUAGCUUCUUGUAAUGCAGAAAGAAACAACUUUUCGGCUUCAUCCAGUUUUCCCUUGGAUACAGUAAAAUAACAAAGAUAAGUCCCUAAUCACGACGCGCACACUCAGAGAAAGAUAAAUCUCUGGGAAAAGAGUCAGAACAUUGCUUACCUGCAAAAAGAAGUCCCUUGCAUUAUCUGUAAAAACUCUCCAUUUAGAAGUAUGUAUGUUAGACACCACAGAACCGUCCUCAACUCGGUGCAAAUCAGCUAUCUCGGGACCGCUUGUAUUUUCAGAACUUAACUGAAUUGAAGAAUCAUCUGCCAAGGCUGGGGUUCCAUUGAUCCCAAGAAAUAUUGCUGAGAAGAAGGGUACAAGGAGAGAAAAGAAAACUCAUGAGCAGGAGAUUUUCUAAAUAGAAUCCGAUGUUUCUGAACAUUAUUUAUAAAUAUUCAGUACCAUUUGUUAUCUAGGUACACUCAAAAGUGGCUAAAUGUGUGCUUUGAACCAAGAAACGUUCAAAGUUAGAUAGAAUGGAAGAGAAUUCCAAACAUUGCAUUUCUCGGUUAUUGUGAAGUGUCAACUAUUACUAUGUAGUGCACAAGAUAUCUAAAAUCUCAUAAUAUGCAUUUUCCCUCGUGCAGAAACAUGAUAUAGUGACUAUAACAACCCUCAUUUUCAAAUGCUGCCAUAAAAGAAUGAUACUACCAGCUUGACCAGACAGAAGAAUCCAUUGAAAGGUUUCCUUAUGCUGCCCACUCUUGCCAUAAUCUCCAAAACCAUUUUCAGCAAAAUAUUUUCGCCUUCCUGGAAACAAAAGGAAUCACCUUCUUCAAUGAGGAAGCACUAAAACAUAUAUCAUCAACUAAAUUUAUCUAAUUUUCAGCUACCAAGUAUAUUACCACUCCAUAAAUUUUAUCCCGCCAAGAGACUAUUACUGAUUUUGCUGUGGCAAUGAGAUCAUCUAAAACCCUUUAUUCAGUUAAUGGUUAAAAAUGACAACUUUAUCAUCUGAUCAAAUAGAAUUCUCACGUUGGAAUAUAUGAAAGCUCAACUUAAAAAUCAAGAAAUCACAUAAUAGUUUCAUUCAAAUUCGAGCAAUGCAGUUUCAUAAAUCACCUGGAAGCGGCAAAUAAUUCGUGGGCUUUCUUGAAAAUGGAAAGGUAGAGCGAGCAUAAGGAGAAUUCCGGAGCUUUCUCAGCAAAUUAACUGCUGCUUGGCCGAAGGAAGACAUCGUCUGGUUAAUAGAAAACUAAAGUUUUGGGUAUAAUUAGAGAAACCUCUGCAGAUAGAUUAUUUGGUCAAUUUUUGGUUUUUCCAGAUAAAGAUUUUGAAGUUUAUGUCGUUUAUUGAUCAAAUUCUUAAACCCUUCACAGCCGAAAUAGAGGGAUUUUGCAUUUUCACUUUGUCAGCGCUGCCAUCAGCAGAGGUGACAUGCUAAACCGGAAUACUGUUUCUGGUUCAACCGGGAAGAUUAACUCGGGUUGCUAAAUGACAAAUCAGUUGCAGGUAUUUUCUAUGGGGUUUAAACCAAUUUAAAAUUUUGUUGAGCUUAACUUGGUUAUUAUUCAAAAAAAAAAAAAAAAACUUGGUUAUUAUUCACAAGUCACAAUCGGAUAAACUUUUAUUGAAUCUAAGUCGAGCAUCUAUUUAUAUAUAAAAUAUAGAUUUUAGCUUACAGAAUUAAAUUAUUAAUGCAAUUUAAAAUCUUUGGUAACACCAAAUAUUGUUGACAUGUACUAGUUUGAUUAGAUAACAAAAUCGAUCUUAAUAUAACUCUCUCAUUUAUUGAGCACAAAUUGGGCAAAAUCUUGAGUUCAAAUUGGGUAAUGAAUAAUUCGACUUGUCUUUCAAUCCUAGUAGGUAGGCUUCUAUGUCAUAUUGCUUGCAAUUUGACAACUAGGCAGUUUCACCGGCUUUGCUUCUAGGCAACUUAGUAGAGAACGCAUUGAUGUUAGUCACCGGCUUGUUCAAUUGUUCUUCACACAAUUGUUGUAUUGUUGAGCAUCAUUUUUCACGCCUUUAUUCUCUUGAUGGCCUCAUCUUUUUCCCCUCUUGGCAAUAUUCUCUGAGGGCAAUAUCGAUACUUUCAAGUUUGACGCCAACUUCCAAGUUUUAGAAUGACAAAAAGGAAAUCACGCUUCAACUGUCAUUAGUAAAAUGACAACUGUUAUUUUAAGACUGCUGCAAAAGCACUAGGCAACAACGCAAUGAACUAUAGUCCUUGCUGCCUGAAAUACAUGGUAGCAAACAACAAGGACACUAUUCUAUUCAGUAAUACAAGAUAGCAAUUGUAAGUGAAACACAAUUCUCCUGUGUCGAAGGCCCCAGAGUUGAAUUAUCUCGUCUUCAGUUCAGGCUAAUAGAGCUUUCAAGAUUUCCAGAGGAUGGUAGUAUCUGCAAU
rnacentral:lncRNA from 1 species